UUUUUUUUUAAAAAAAAUAUAACAAAUAAAAAAAAAUACAUACAUAGAAUAAUUUUGAAAAUAGAAAAAUACGAUCGUGUAUAAUUCUUCUUCUAAACGAUAAUCAUCAUACGCAAUCGUGUACAAUCAUGAUACGCGAUUGUGUAAAUCGAGUAGAAAAUGAUACACAAUCUUGUACUAAAUCUAAAUCAUUCUAGUUUAGGAUUGUGUACCAAUAUCGUUUAAAUUUGGUUCAUCAUCAUGUAUCCAAAUCUUACCAAUAUCCUUAUAAAAUAUUUAUAUUUGGUAAACGAUUUUGUAAAUUUGGUAUAUGUACCAAAAUCUAAACAAUCGUGUACAAAUAUCCAACUAUUUUUGUUCAAUAUCGAGUAUCAAAUAUAAAUAUUUUAUAUAUGAUACAUGAUUUUAAACCAAAUAACACUUUAACAAAAACAAUACAAGAUUGAUCAUUAAUUGAAAACAAAGAUAAUGAUUUCAAAAAGAAAAAAUUGCAUUAAACUAAGAGAAAAAAUAAGAAAAAUGAAGAAAGAAAAAAUUUAAAAACGACAAACGCAAACCUAGAAUAUUUUAGAAAAUGUCCGAUCUUAUUAACAUUUUAAUUUUGUUACAUGAACAGCCAUAAAUAUUUUGUUGUUUUAUUAUAUUUAUGAAAAUUAACUAAUAUUUUACACAUCAAAAUGUUAUAUAUAUAAAAAGCGUUAAAAAUGUAUUGACAACCAGAAGGAACUAAUAGCAUUUGGAUUUUGGAGAAUAGGUCAGUGUCAAUAGAAUGUGGUUGAGUUAAUUAAUAAUAAUGAUGUUGUUAUUAUUUAGAUUUAAAUUUGAGAAUAAUACUAAAUUAAUUAAGGGAUAAAUAAGUGACAUACUAAACUCAUGUGAAAUGAAUAAACUGACUACACUGAUUAGUUUAAAUAUAAUUAGGUUAGGUUUAAAGAAUAAUUAAGUAAAAAGAAGUUGGUUUAAACAACUCAAAUCCCAAAAACAAAUCUAAAAUCACAGUGGAAAUUUCAAAGGGGCAAUCAUACUUAACUUCUGUUUUAUAGUAAAAGCCUAAACCAAAGUUCAAAGUUAGUAAAAGCAACUCAUUCAGGAAUAUUAUUAUUAGGAUUAAACAAAUUAGAAAGAGAAAAAAAAAGAGAUGGGUUUGGUGCUUCCACCUAUUUCUAAAGUAAAGAAUCAAUUCUCCCCUUUAAUAAGAAAGGUUGAUCCGAGUAAUUAUUUAGACUUCGUUUCGUAACUAUUUCAAUCUUUUAAUUUUUUUAAAAUUAAAAUUAUUUUCUUUUCAUUUUUGUAAAAUAGACUCCACUUUAGUAAGGAAUGUUGUUUUAAUAUUCUACCGUUUUAUUAUCAUUAAGUGUAGAAUAUUAAAACAACGAUACCGUUCUUUUUGUUACUAAAAUUAAUUUUGAGAUCUAAAUUAGUUUCUACCAUUAAAACUUUCAAAAACAUCUUUGCUUCUUCUUCCUCGAAAUGAAUAUCUUUUUGGAACUUUGUACAGAAAAAAUCUACUUCUUUUUUAUUUCUUUUCUGUUUCUAACCUACAGUUUUUAUUGAUUCCAAUUCAUUCUUGGACAAGUACACAUCUGAGUUAGAGUAUUGUGUGAAUUUUGGAUAGCAAUCGACCGACGUUUUGCUAUUUAUUACCAAGGUUGCGUUGUUCUUGCUUUCAUGACAAUUGUCUAUAUAUUCUAUGACACAACAACGAUCAUCCAAUCUUACAUUUAGUUCUUAUAGUUUGAAAAAAAAUCAAAUUUUGGUUAUGAUGAUUUAUAAUUUGAAUUUAGCUAAGGUAUACCGUUUGAUUAUUGAUAAAGAUGAGAAUUUUAUCGAGGCAUAAGAACUAUUUUUAUUGUUUUUUUAAAUUAAGGCAUAAGAACGGAUCAAUUAUUCUUUUUGACCAACUAUAGAAACAAAAUUUAAAACUUUUAAAAUUAGUUGUUUUAAAUUUGACUUUGAGUUUGAGAGCACUUUAAUAGAUAACAAAAUAUAAAAUUAAUAGAUGAAAUAAUUUUUAUAGACUCAAUUUUAAUUUUUUAGGUAAAAAUAUUAAAAUAUUAAAAUGAUUAUCAAAGUAUGGCCUUUUGAUAAAACAAAGUAUAUGUCAAUAGUUGUACUUUGAGUAUAGAUAUAUCUCCGUUAAUAAAUGGAAGAUAAACAGAAGAUACAACAAAAUAAGAAGUAAACAAAAUAAGAAGUAAGAACACAACACAUUGUUAACUAUCUAUGUCUAGAGGGUUCUUGACUUGAAAUCAAAGAUUUUGUAUUACUUUGAAAUAUAAAUCAUAAUUACAUCCUUGCGAUCAUAAGUACAAAAUUUACAAUUCAGUUUUAUCAUUUUGUACUAAUUAAGUGAUUCUAUAUCUUAUUAAAUAGUAAAUCAAUCACUAAUAUCUUUCCUUUAAUUAUGUAUCUCAUCAAUCAACAUAUUAAUGUGUUAUACGUGAAGCUCUCACCCUUAAUCAAGUAUCAUAUCAAUCAUCAAACUAAGGUACUCUUAAUCUUCGUUAUCGUGAAGCUUGAUCUUCUUCUUUAAGAAGAAAGACUUUUAAAAGUCUUUCUAUAUGAUCUUCUUCUUUAAGUCGAAAUACUCUUCGUACUGAGAACUUACAUAAGAACUUACUUUGCUUCUUUGAUUACCACACAGAAUACGAUCAAUAUUUCGUUUUUGAUGCACACCCACAAAGACACCAAAGACCAUGAUAUAUAUAAGCAACCAAGAUUGUGCCAAAACCCAUGGAAUGAGGAGAAGCAGAAUCUUAGAAACAAAUCGUUUUCUAAAAAUCAUAUGUCGAGAGAUAAAGACUCUAAAUUAAAAGAAUAUGUACUUAGUACAUAAUACUUUUGUCAAAGAAUAUCUUUUAAUAAAAUAGAGGCUUCAAAUCUUUGAAAAUAAUAUCUUUGCCACGAAAACUUCCAUGAAAGAAAUUCUUAAUAAAUAUUUGGACACGGACCUACCCAUUUUAAAAGACCUUAAUUAGUUAUUGUCUUUUAAAACAUGAUAGUGCAAUUUAAUCUCUAAAAAUCAUUUUAAUUUAGAGAAAACUUAUAUUCUAUGUCAUACAAAUUUAUGUGUUGUUAUGGGAGACGUUUCUUCAUGCAUAGAUAAGUUAUUUGAAGUAAUUAAAACGUGAUCAGGGGCUAACGGGUUGUUUAAGUUUAGAAAUUGAAGUUAAGAGAUGGAAAGUUGUGAAAUUCACUCUUUACUUCGUCCAACGAGUUCAUUGCUCCAAUUUUAAAAACUAACAUAAUUUUUGUGUUUUAUUAACAUUUACAUUAAAGUGAGAGGAAGGCAUAUGUGGUGUUGUACAGUCGAUUUGAGCACUACCACUGAUUCUCGUGCCCUUGGGUUGGGUGCUCAAAUGAACGACGAAGGAUUUGGUUGCGACUCAAGCUCUUGUUUGUCUGGGUUGUUUUGGAAGUUGAGGCAGGAGAGGUGAUGGUGAUUGUGAUGGAGUCACUUCUUGCUGAAGCUUGCAGUUGAUGAGGAAGAAUCAUUCAUGUCUUUUGCCCUUUUCCUUUUUGGUGUUAUUCAUACAAAAGUUUAUUAUUUUACAUUUUCAACCUCAGAUACACCGACUCAAUUUGAACAAGCGGCAUCAACCAAAAUCUUGUCCCGUCUACCGACUAAACUUGCCUGCAAACCGGGCAAGCAUCUCCAUACCAACCUCAUGAUCAGACCCUUGUUACACCCAACUCCUCACCCUACAAAAUUCGUUCACAUAAUUAACCACUCACUGACAUUUCACACCUUCAAACUCGUCACACACCCCUUAAGACGCUAAGUAUUCCGAUCAUUCCACGGAAACCUUAGCACCCAACACACCACACCGUUCAAAAUCGUAGUUCGAAAAGCUCAUUCAACAACGACAGCAAACACAAUUGCAUACCAAACAUAACGCAGAAACAUCCAUACCUCUCUCGAUCAGCAAGACAGGCUAGUGUCGAGAGAUCUUAGUUAUUCUUCUAAUUUUCGACGGUAUACAUACCUUCCAAACUCGAGUUCAUCAGUUUGCCACCAAAGAAACGUCAUAGCUAUCUAUACCAACUCCGAAUACUAUACAGCGUCUUAGAAUCAUAAUGCCACAUCCUGCAGCCACCACUUCAACUUGUCAUGUUUUAUAUGUAUAUGACUUUCACCUUUAUUAAUAAAGAAAACAGUUUAAAAUGCUUUAGGAUGAUGUAAGCAAAUUAAGAUCUAAAUUAUAACAGAGAGUAUGAGUGAUGAUGAUGCUGAAAGGAAGGUGUGGGCAUAGAUUGAGUGUAAAAGGUGUGUUCUUUAGGCUUAAGAAAUUGGCACAUUGAUUGUGGAAUCAAGUUGAAUCGUUUUUUUUCUUCUUUUUUUUUGGCUUUUUAAUAUUAUUCCCCAAUAAGCAUCUUUUGAAAAUGUUUGAUUUCUUUUAACAUAAGUUAAGGAAAAAAAACUAAAUCAUGAUUCAUUCAUUUAUGAUACAGUUCUGAAUUUGUGGAUAUUCAAUUAAUAUAUUAUAAUAUAUGAAUUUGAUGAAAAGAUUAAGAUAAAAUGAAUUCAACUCGUUGCGAUUAUCUCAUCAACGAUUUAAUAUCUUACGAAUUUUCUUUCAUAUCCUCACAUGUUAACAGAGAUUUACAAAAUUAUUUUGACAAAAAUUAAAAAGGUAAUAAUUUACAUAUAUAUUUAACAUGUGAGUUGGUAUAUUAAUUAUAAGUUAUAAAUUUCUUAUUUAUGAAACUUAUUUUGUUCAUAUGUUUUUUUACAAACAUUAAUUAUAAACCUAAAAAGUUGAAUGUAUGUUUGUGAAGGGCAAGCAUCUGUAACUGAUCUAACUCUUAACUCUAAAUUAAAUUCAAAUUAAACUAUGAUUAAAGUGAAACAUGGGAUAGAAUGUUUAUUUAAUAAUAAUUUGAAAUUGAAAUAGGUUUUAAUUUUUUAAUACCACCUUUUAAAAAGUAAUUAAAAAGUAAUGAUUAUAUAUCGAUCAUGAUUAUUCUUCUUUAUUACCAAUAUAGUGACUUAAAAAAUGGUGAGUGGUAAUUUUAUGAAUUUUGAAAAUAUAAAAUUAUGUCCGACUAUAUUUAAAAUAAUAAUAAUAAUAAUAAUAAUAAUAAUAAUAAUAAUAAUGAUAAGGUUUAGGUUAUUUAGAAUAAAUAAGGAACCGACAAAUGUGAUUGGCCAAUGAGAUGACAAUCCAACUAUUUAUUUAAUAUUCACACCAUACCCUUCCCUACUCUUUUUCUUUCUUUUUAAAAUCAAAUUUAUUUUCAAACAAUCAUAUAAUUAAUAUAUCAAAAUACCCUUUCAACCAAAAACAUCUUUGUCAAUUAAUCAUUCAUAAGCUAACUCUACAAAUUAAGAGGAAAUUUCUUUCCUUUUUUAUGGUUGAAUUUUCAACUUUCUUUCAAAAAUAUUCUUUUCGGGACUACUUCUGUUAAAAUAAAAUGGAAAACCAAAUUAUUAAAAAGAUAAAAGAUUUCGAUGCAUAUUAUAUCAUGUCAAUUUUCAUUUUUUAUUUUAUGAAAGAAUAUAGUUUUCAACAUAAUUUGGAAGUUAUUAGUACAACUACUUUUGACUAGAAGACUCAAUGGUUCAAAUCUCCAUCUCUAAUUUCAAAGUUCACAAUUAGUUAUAAUUGAUAUAUACACAAGUUAUAUUAGGGUUCAUUUUGUCUUUUUAAAAAGUUUAGAACUCUUCAAAUUCAAGAAGUCAUUCAAAUUCAAGAAGUCAUCAAAACAAGAUAAACAAUUUUGCAUCUUUAAAAUAUGAGCGAGAUAAUUUGAGAAAGUAUCUCUAAUAAAGUUGUAUCUAAUAAUACUUAUUAAGGAUAUUCUUAAUCUUUUAACCUAAGUUUGAUAAUUAUCGAAGGCGAUUGUGAUAUAAUGUUCGAAUCGUUAAUUGUUUUUUCAAAAGGAAGUCCACUCUCUAACAUCCACACCUAACAUAUAUAUGUGGGAAAGAUCCCAAGCAAAUCUUAAGAUUCAUUGAAAUUUUGAGGAACAAUAAAGGGCUAGUGGUCAAUGUUACAAUUUAACAAAAAAUAUAACAUUAUCGAUAGAUAAUAUGAAAAGAUUCUAUUUCAUUAACAUUAUAUUUUUUUUCUUCUUAUUCAUGUGUUUAUUAAAAUAAUUGAUGGGUUUUAUUUGAUUACAUUUUUCAAUUUUGCAAUAUAAAAUUUUAACAACAAAAGAAUCCCAUUCUUUAAAAAUUAAUAAUUGGUUUUGUCCUUACAUAUAAGUGGAACACAAAGCAUGAAAGGACCAUAAGGUUGUGCAUCAAUUUUGGUCUCAUCUUUGCAAUUAUACUUGUUUUAUAUAAAUUUAACUUACAACACAUGUUGGGAUUGAAUGAAGGAUUUCAUUCCUUUCUCAAACAUUAUUUUGAAUAAAAAAAACUUUGAAAGUGUUUUUUCUUUUUAUCAAAUAACUCUUAUUAUAAAAAAUGCUCCACUCCAACAUUUUUGUAAAUAUAGAAGAUAAUUAAUCUUAUCGAAAACUUAAGGAGCAUGAUUGGGAUAAAGAGUAAGUUACUAUAAUGUAAUUGAUUAUUUUAAUUUAGCUAGAGGUGGUUAUUAUAGUCUUGCGUAAUCUUCGUCUCAAAUGACAUCUAAGAAGGUUGAUGAUAGAUAUGUAAGAUUUGUAGUACGGAGUUGAAAGAAGGGUAAUGAAGUAAUUUUGUUUUGAAUUAAAAUAUGUGGAAAGAGGUCAUAUAAGACAACUUUGGAAUUGAAAGAAAAAAGAGAAUUAGGAAAAUGGAGAUUUAAAAGUGCAAAAAAUGGGAUAAGAGAGAGAAGAAAGGAAGUUUGAAAAUGAAAAUAGAGAGAGGUUUUUGAGUUGGAGUAUUGGAGAGGCAACCAAACCCACCUUUUGUGUGCAGCUGUGUUUUGGGUAUUAAUUAAAAAAAGAAAAGAGUAUUACUUUUCCUCAGCCUUAGCUUAGCUCUCAUAUAAAUUAUAAUGUUAGGUAUAUUAUAGCUGUAUUCACAAGCAAUCACAUGCACUUUCACCCCUUCCAUCUAUAUCCCUUCUCUCUCUUUCCCCCUCUUUCUUUUCUUAUAUAUAUAUAUAUGUAUUUCUUUUUUAUUUCUCUUCUUUGGAUCUCUCUAUUCUCUAUUCUCUCUCUCUCGUUAGACACAACAAAGAUUUUCAUUUUAGUUAUGCAUUGGACUCCACCCAUUAAAGUGUUCAUAUACCUAAAUCAAAGGACUACAUCUCAGAUAACUUGGUAUCUUUAACUAUGGAAUUUGAUUUGUUUUAGUACAAUCAUAAAGGGUACCUAACUAGAAUUUUUGUUUUUUGUUUUUAUAAAUGUUAUGAGUAUAAUUAUAAUUGCUUGCGAUUUUAUGAUUUUAAAGUAAUAGAUAUUUCAAUUUGUAUUGAAAAAAUUAUUAAUAAAAUAUUGUUGGUAUAUAUAUUGGUAUUUAUUUAAUUUUUUUUAAAAAAGGUAUUAUAUUAGAUGUAUCGGUAUAAUAUAAAAUAUUUGACCUACAACUUUUUAGAAAUAUUGGAACUAACAAGCUAAGCUUUUGUAUAUACAUACAUAUACACACUACUAGUUAAGACUAAAGUCACAUAAUAUUUAUUUUAUAAAUAUUUUUAAAAGUUUUAUUAUUUAUGAUAAUCUUUCAUAAAGGAAAAAUGAGAGUGGCACUUUGAAUUGGUUUUAAUUGAAAAAAAGUGUAUUAAUUACAUGUCUCGUCAAAAACAAAGUAAUGAAUAAAACAGGAGUUUGGGAGAUUUAUUUGAUUUUAUGUUGUUUUGACAACUAACAUUCUACCAUUUAUGUAUUUAAUAAACUUAUUUUACUUACUUUAAAAAAAAAAUUGUAUUAAAUUCUGUUUAUGCUUUUUUUAGUUCAAUGCAAUUAUGGUGGAUUUAGCUGUUAACUAUAAUGUCUUAAUUAAUUAAACUAUGUUUAAAUUAAAGCUUUAUCGCAAGCUUGCAACAAUAGGAAGGAUUGUUCUUAAAAGUAUGAGCAAUAGUCGUUGGUGCAUAGGAGUUGGUUCUAUUGUAUUUGUUUUGAGUAAUGAUAAGUUAAACUAGUAGUAUGAUAAUAAUAUAUAUGAUUAUUAACGAUAAAGAAAGAUGUGUUAACCUCGACUUAAUUAACUUAAUUAGUAGUGGUUUUCUUAUUUGACUUAAUAGUGGGGGAAGAUUGGUUUGCUUAAUUUUCUAAAUUUUUAACAAUGUGAAGAUUUGAAUUGGAUUUAAGAAAUUUUAUAAUAUAUUUACUGAAAAAAGGUAGUUUCAAGUUAGCACUUACAUUUAUUCUAUACUAUGAAUUUCAUAAUAAAACAAUUUACUUUGGUCUGAAUUUUGGAAUAUAAAAAUUAGGCAAAUAUAAUCAUUUAAUUCUUGUGUGUUGCAUUUAAUAUAAUGUUUAGGCCAUAUUCAUUCUAAAAACUAGAUACAUGUGACUCAAACCACAACUCCACAUGCCAUCUUUUGUAAUUCUUUUCCUUUUUUGUUAAAUGUAUGGUAGAAAUUAAAUAACAUGACUAUAAUUUAACUUUUUGAGAAAAAUAUAUAAUUCAAACAUUGUGUAUUAAUUGUAAUGUUAUACUUUGGGGGUUCAAACAAAUUAUGAUGAAUAGGGCAUGGUGCAAUUGGUUUAAAGGCUCUAAACAUGUAAUUAAUUAAUAUAUAAGAUACAAUCCAAUUACACAGUAUUUUAUUGGCAAGAUUCUUUCUCCAUUAAAACUCAAUUAUUUGGGCAAUCAUGAUCGUAAUUCGUAGCAUGGUUAUUUUAUAAACUGUUAAUAAUAAGGUUUAAAUAUCAUUUUGUUCUUUGUAUUAUAUAUUUUGAAUUUCCAUUGCAUUUAUAUAUAUAUAUAUAUACUUUUUAUUGUUAAUUACGUUAAUUUUGUGUAAACUUAAGAAGUUUUUACUUACAACAAAAAAAUAAUUUCAACCUUUUAGGGAAGAAAUUAUUCAUUUAAAAAUAAGAAAAAAAUAUUAAUUAAUUCAAUAUUUACAAUUUUAUAUUAAAACAGAGAUCAAUUAGAUUUAAAGUAUUAUUGUAUAUAUCAUAAUAAAAAAUUACAUAUAUAACAAAAAAAUUACUUUUGGAGUAGUGAUAAAAUAUAUCACUAAAAUAGAAGUUUAUUAACCUUUUAAUUUCGAAUAUCACGUUUACAUUAUGUUAUUGUUGAUGUUGACUAAAAUGUCAAACAAUUUUUUUUUUCCUUUUAUUGAGAUAUCUCUAAGGUCAUUUAAAUUUUAGCAUACAUAUAUAUAUCCAUCUAAUUAUUAAAUGUCAUUCCACAUUUCUCAUAUUUCUUAGUAUAGUUAUAUAUAUAUAUAAAGCAAGUUUUAUACGUUAAGUAAACAAUUCAAACUUUAUUCAAUCAAUUCUAAGUAUAAACAUAUUUCCUUUUUACAAUUCAAUGUCUUGAAUCUUGAUUAUUUAAAGUGGUCAAAAUGGAUGGGUUCAUCUAAUAAAUAACAAAAAUUAGAGAUUAGAGUAUUUAGAUUUAGUCUCUAAAAAGUAUUUAGAUUUAUUGUUUAAACAUUUUCAACGUGAAAAAUUGAAUAUAAAUAUUUUAUAUAAAAUUUUCUGUAAUACAAAUUGAAAUCUAAGAGACCAAAAAGCAAAAAGAUGAAUAAAAAUGGUACUAUUUUAAAAAGGUGAACCUACCAAAAAAAAAGUUUGUGGUCUAUAAACCCUAAACCCAUAACUAUAAAUGUUGAAUAGUAGCUAUAUACUCUAUAAAGUUUAAAUAAAACCUCAAAACUUUGGGUUGCAUUAUUAUGGCUCUCUAAUUAACUCAACCUUAAAAAAAAAUUGACCACAAAGAUGAUAAAGAUUGAAGUAUAGACAUGUUGCCUCUUCAAAUCCUAAAAUAAACAAUUAAUUAAAGUAGUGAAAUACAUUUGGUACUAAUUAAACUUUAAAAUAUGUUGAAUUUUAGUUUUUUAAAUUUUACUAUGGUCUAAUUUUAUUUCUUAUAUUUAGACUAUUCCUAUUUUUUUAAUAAUUUUUUUCUUUUUAAAUCUAUGAGUUCUUUUAUUAAGUAUCCAAACUAUUUAACUAAUUUCGAUAAAAGUUAAUUUUGAAUGACUAAAUUUAAGAUCUACCAAAGACUUUGUUUGGUGACAAUUUUUGUUUUUUACUUUUUGGUUAUGGACAAUUAAAGUAAAAAGAAUCAAUUUGACCACUAAAUCUCUUGGUUUGGUAUUUGUUCACGUUUAUUAAAACAAAAUAAAAACCUAAAAAUUAUAGUGUUUUAAACGAUAUUGAUAAAGAAAACAACUUGUCUAUUUAAUAUGAAUACCAUGAAAUGAAAAAAGUAGACAUAAUUUUUGAAAAGAAGAGAUAAAAAUAAAAUGAUUAGGAAAUGAAAAAUAUAAAAACAAAAAUUGAAAACACAUAAAAUGUUAAUAAUAAGAAGAAGAAGAAGAAGAAUAUUGGAAAAGAGGUUCCAAAAAGUAAGGAAACCCGACCCGAGGAAGAGGGUCGAAGAGAGGGAAUGCGGGACCCAGAGGAGACACGUGGAGAGAAAGGAAGGGUCUAUCCAAUAAAAUAACAAUUGGCGUAUAGUAAAGCGCGCUUUAUCUAUCCACCUGUCUGGACGAGACGUGUCCCACACGGAUAAUGCUUAAUUCCUUUCUUUUUUUUCAACUUUUUUUAUUUAUAUUUUUCUUUAUUAAAAGAAAAAAGAAAAAAGAAAAUAAUAGGAUAUCCGCAAACCACUUUGGUCCACUCCUCUAUCCAUACUCUUACGCCUCUCUCUUCACCACAUUUUUUUCUUCAAUUAUCCCUCUUUUUUUUUUUUUAUUAUUUCUUCUUCUUCUUCUAAUUUUCCCAAUAAAUUACAAUUACAAUUACAUUCAUAAUUUAUUAUUUUCAAUUUAUUAGGUCCACCAAAUUGAAAUCCCCCCCAACUUAAUCUUGAAUAUGACUACACAAUGCACAUCCACUAAUCAAUCUUAUUUUAUUUUCAUGCACAAUCAUUUUAUUUACCUUUUUCUCUUCCUUUAUAAUUUGUACUAUCAAAAAACCCUUUACAGGUAUAACUAACUAACUAACCAAAUUUAACAAAAGUUUCAAAUGAGUAUUUAAGAUGGUGAGUGAGUUAUUAUAGUUGGAUUACAACCAUUUGUGUAGGGAGUGUAGAUUAUUUUAGUUUGUGAAGAAAAAACAGUAAAAACUAUAUCAAAGAGUAAAAGAAAUAAAAAUAUAAAAGAGUUAAAAUGUUUUAAAUAAAUAUUUAUUGCACCAAAAUCAUGAGUAUAACAUAUACUCGAACAAUCAUUUCUGUAAUAGAUUAUCAAUCAUUCUCAUAAUUUUUUUAGGAAAAAAGUUUAGGAUUUUGGUUAAAAAGAUGAAGGAAAAGAAAAAAAAAAAAAAAAAGGAAAGAGAGAACCACUAUAUAUAUAUAUAUAUAUAAAAUUUGUUAGUUGAUUUGAAUAAUAAGUAAAAUAAAAAAAGAAAAGAAGGUUGCGUAUGGAGAAAAAAAAAAAAAGAAAAAAAGGGGAUGCCACGUGGCAAAAGGUAAGUUGGAAGGGAGUGGGAGUUAUUACGUUAAGAAGCAGUCUCUCUCGAUUUUUACACGGAAAAAAAUGGAAAAAAAGAAAAGAAAAAGAAAAGGGUUUUGGUGGGUUUAACCCGAUAUAGCCGGUUACCGUGAUGGCUGUCCACCGGUUGUGCCGGUUUCGUGGUCAAACAUUUUAGGAUAUAUGUCUGUAAGAGGUUUUAGCCACUGUUUAUGUUCUUCCUUUUUUCUUUUCUUCACAAACACCACCCGGGGUUUUUCAUUUUCUCUUCUCCAAUUCUCUCUCUCUCUCUCUCUCUCUCUCUCUUUUACCCAAAUCAAAUUUUAAUUCUCAAUUUUCUUUCUUUGGGAUUUGUGUUCUUAAAAAUUUCAUGGAUCUCUUCCCUUUUCUCCCCACUGGAUUCUGGAUCUUCCCUUUCAAUUCCCUCUAAUUUUCUUACAUUUCUCUUCUUCUUCUUCUUCUUCUUCUAAUUUCAAAUCUUUAGCUCCAAUUUGGAUCUGGGUUUGAUUGAAUCAUUAGGAUCCUUCUUCUACAGGUGAGUUUUUAUUUUUCCUGCUCAGAGAUUUUCUCGGAGUUUUGGAUUUUAUAUUUUGGGUCGUGUUCUUCGGGUUGUUUGGUUCUCGCAAAAUAUGGGAAUCUGUCUGGAUUUUGCUUCUUCUUCUUUUUUUUUUUUAAAUGGGUUUUGGGUUGCUUGUGGUGUAUUUCUGUCGGAAUUUUGAACAAUCGGGUCUCUUCAGAAAUUGUCUCGAGUUCGUAAGCUAUGGUUUUGGGUUUAAGAUCGGAUCCAGUUGAAUUGUUUGAAAUUGGUUUGGUUUCGGUUGAUCCGAUCUUCUCUGUUUGGUUUAUAUGCUUCUUGAAGCAAGUAACUUAUGAAUUGGGGUUUUUGAUUUGGAGGUUUUGGAAUUGGGUUUUUUUUCGGAAUUCUGAAUUUUUAGUGGGUUUUCCAUUUCUCCAAUCUCUAGUUGAAAUUUUGAUUUCCAUUUCAAGUUUAUUUGAAUGUUUUCUUUCAUUUCUAAAUCUGGGGUUUUUUGUUUUUUGUUCUUGCUGACGUUGUGAAUUUUGGGAAGUCUUCCUUUGCUUAGAUGGGGUUUAACAAGGGAUCAUUGCUUUCACAUUGCUGUUGUAAUGCUAAUUGUGGUAGCCUUUUUGUUGUAUUCGUGUUCGUGUUUGGCUGUAUAGAGUUUCAAAUUUGAAUGAAUCUGUUGUUUUGAUGAUUGGCAGUGAAACUGGCGAAUCUCUCUGCGUUUGAUGAGUUUUUACCACAAUGAAUGCCUAAGAUAUGGUGAUGAAGAAGAGAUUGGAUAAUGGAUUCAGUGGCUUUUCAAAUUGGACCGUGCCCAGAGGUCCGAGAUCUCUUAGAGUGAGUUCAAUUUCUUCUUUAGAUCUCUCUAUAUAUCUUCACUGUUCUGUUGAACUGGUACUCACGUUUUGCCUUUGAUUCUAGAAGAAGGUUCAUCGAAAGAAAGAUUUCGAAGAUGGCCAGAUCUGCGCAAUUGAAUUGCUGGCUUCUUUAGCGGGGAAGCUUUUGCAGGAUGGCGAAAGCACAGCAUGCAGUAAUACGUCGGAUGGAGAUCGCUCGGUGAUUGGCACAAAUGUCGUCAAGGAAGAACGGUCAAGUGAGGAGAAAGCUUUCAAGGUGGAGUGUUGUGAUGGUGGUAGCAGCCAAAGUUGUGAUCUUGAUUUAGAAGAGAAGACUGAUCAGAAGCAAAAUCUGAACAAACUCCAAUAUGUAGAUAAUAAUACUGUUUUGGAUUGUACUUCAGUCGUAGUAAAUUCUAACAGCUCAGACGAGGCCUGUGGUGAUGUUAAGCCUGUGAUCCACAAGACGGAAUUCGAAGAUUAUCGCACGAAACCAGAGGAAGGCUCCCCUGAUUUUCUAGAAACAACAAAUACUGGUAUGAACAUUGUUGAUGAAGAACAUGAGCCCAAAGGAUUUGGAAUCGGAUUUCAAAAGAUUACUCAUUCACACAAUUCUAAGGAUUUGAAGAAGUCCUAUGGAAAAUUAUCAACUAUGCCCAAUUCAAGCUUCAAAACUAAAUUGCCCUUGUCAACAGAUGCCAUUCGUAGUUCGUUUUCCAGAUAUAGGAAUUACCUUAAGUUAGCAAGUAGAGAUGAUGAUGAAAAAUUUAGGUCCAAUAAAUCUAGCAUUCACUCAAACUCGUAUAGGCCUCCAUCGCGAAUUGCAGGUCGACGAAUAAGGAAAUUACUGAAUUCGAAACACUGGAAAGUAGCUCCAAAGUUGAAGGACUGUGAGGUUGCUAGAUCUGGUGAGAUUUCUUGUUUCUGCCACUUUUGAGGUGUAUGUGUGAAAUAGUUUGACCACAUAUUUCAAGUUUUUGUCUUGGAGUGAAAUGUCUGUCUUUAUAACUUACAAUUCGUUUUUGCAACAGAAUCUAUAGGCGAAGAAACAAGAAACCCUUUUCGCAAGAGAAAACUAUAUUUUAACAGUGAGAGGUACCAGGAUAGUCUUUACAAAAGGAAGAGAUUUUUCGACCGAAGCUCCAUGGUGAAUUCUGAUGGAGGAAUGAGCAGUGAAAGCGUAACCAACUCUCCUGAAAAGAGCGUCCACAUCGAUAAGUCUAGUUUGGCUGCAAUAUUGCAUGGAGGUCCUUAGCUAACUUAUUGCUUGAAUUUAUAGUCCUUGUGAAUUGUAAAACUAACAUUUCUUUUCUCCAGUAAUCUCAUAAAUUUCCUUUGUGUAUUAUGCAGCAAGUGUUUCACCAUCAUCAGGUCAACAAGCAUCUUUCCUCUCCAAAGAUGCUCAUGGUAUGAAAAUUUCCUUGCAACUCAACAUCUUUCUUUCAUCUGUCUCGCAAAUUUGGUAUCAUGCGGUUGGUUCCUCAUCAUCUGCUUGGGGUUGUUUGACAGUGAAAUUUAGCAUUAGAUCUUUCAAGGUGCCAGAACUAUUCAUUGAUGUCCCUGAAAACGCAACUGUUGGUUCCCUGAAGGUAAAUGAAGUGCAGUUCACCUGAAUUUUUUUUUUUUUUUUUUAACUUAUAAACGCAAUGUAAUAACUUUCUAUUGAUGAAAGUGCCAAGAAGCCAUGAAUUUGUAAAUUGAACUUCUUUAAGUGAAUGGAAAAUGUUGGUAAAGGAUCUUGGAUUUUUCCUAAAGCAGUUUUUAUGUUGUGUUACUUUACCAGAAGAUAGUACUUGAGGCAGUAACUGCUAUUCUCAAGGAUGGAUUACACGUUGGGGUUCUUGUUCACGGGAAAAAGGUUAGAGAUGAUAACAGAACCCUGUUGCAGACAGGACUUACUUGUAAAGAUAAUUUGGAUACUGUUGGUUUCACGCUGGAGCCAAAUCUUGUGCAUAAUACUACACCAGCUUUGUGUUCUGAGGAUCCUCCUCAGAUAUUAGCAUGUGAAAUGACUGAACUUCCACCCAGGUAUUACCAUUGCGUUUAUUUCAUUCUAUCUUGUGAGAUUUCAGAGGGCUCGGGAAAUAUUUGCAAUUGUUUUCUAGCGAGUUCCUAUACUUGGGUCACUAGCUUCUGUCUGAUGGCUUAUAUGUUGUUCAACUUCUUUACAGCUCUCCUGUAAAUCCUGUUUCGAGCUCGGUAAUACUAGAUCUUGCCUUACCAAAUCAUUCAUUGACCUACUCCCAAAACCAAGAUGAAAAUAAACACGAACUGGUUACUACCAGCAUUGACAAGUUACCUGACAAUUCUUUACAAGAUUGCAAAGCUUUGGUUCCUGUUCCAGAAAUGACUAUGGAAGCAUUAGCUGCAGUUCCCUUGAAUCCAAAAUCUAAGCGUUUGGAAGUUGUACAGCGUCGAACCAGAAGACCGUUCUCCGUUACAGAAGUAGAAGCGCUGGUUCAGGCCGUUGAGGAGCUAGGAACUGGAAGGUUUGACAAUGCUCUCUAACAACAUAAUUGACCUUGUGCACGAAGCAUGAGUUAAACCAAUCUAAACAGUGUAUUACCCUUUUGCAGGUGGCGGGAUGUUAAAUUCCGUGCAUUUGAGAAUGCAGAUCACCGAACUUACGUGGAUUUGAAGGUGGUUUUCCAUAUCCUUAACAAACAUGUGUUAGGGUGAUCGAUGAUUACUUUUGAAAUAAAAUUUUAACCCAAUGAGGAUGUUUUACAGGAUAAAUGGAAAACCUUGGUUCACACGGCGAGAAUAUCGCCUCAGCAGAGAAGAGGAGAGCCUGUCCCCCAAGAACUUUUGGACCGGGUGCUGGCUGCACAUGCUUAUUGGUCGCAACAUCAGGCAAAGCAACAUGGUGGCAAGCAUCUUCAAGCUGGAGUCGUGAAGGCCAUUGAGGGCUCUAGCAGUUAGGCUUGUCAUCUAAAAGAAACUCCCACAUAUAAUGUAAAAAGGAAUAGUAGGUACAUUUGACACUUUGCUGUAAUCAAUCAAGGCAAAUUGUAAGCAUGAUUUUAAUUUCUUGUAUUCUCUCACACUUUGAUUCAUUGUUUAGCUUUCCCAUUUGGGAAGAAUUGUCAUUUGUAAAUAUGAUUCUUGUAAUAAUGAGAUUCUAACAGAAUUCUUUUCUGUGUUUAGACAUUCAGUGUAUUUAGUUUUAUUGUAGUCUAUCAAUAUCAUGAAACUCAACUGUAAAUCUUUGUUGGGUAAUAUUUUGACCCUAAAGUCUCUUAUUCCUUUUAUGGUUUACUGAAUUAUUAUGCUUACUAAAUCUUUAUAGCAUUCUUUUAAGCUAAAUAUGAAUAUUCUUAAGAAUGGACCAAAGUGAGAUUGUGUUUAACAUUGUAUGUACUUCAUUAGUUAACUGAAAAGGUGGAUUUUGAAACAAUAUAGAUAUUAAGUUUCUAUUCAUGUCAUCACAAUAUCUAAUUCCUUAGAACUCAAGGCAUAGUCGUACAGCCUAAAAAACAGAUCUUGUUCAAGCAAGGUAGUGGAAUCUCAAGGUCUAAUUUUAACGAAGUUAAAACUUCAAAACCAAAAUUAGCUGCUCAAGUACGACAUUGAAAAAUGAAACGUUCACCUAAAAAUAAACAAAUGAAAUGGCAGGUAAUAUGCAAAGAACAUGUAUUAAUUAUCGACAUUAUAUAUUGAAACAUGUCAGAUCAUGAGUAAGUAGUAUACAACAAUUAAACAUGAAUUAUGAAAGAUACGGCAGCCAUCAUCGAACUUAAAUUUACUAAAGAGAGUACCGUAAUUGGUAUCUGCGAAGCCAAUCCUCUCCCUUCUCAUAAUAAUCCAACCUACUGAAAGUCUGCGUUGUGAAUUGUGAAGCAGCAGCAUAAACAGAGGCCCCUCGCCAUGCAUCGAGAAUUGGAUCCAGCGCUCUGACCACCCUAAUAGGUGAUCCACAUGGCCUAAUCAUCCGAAUUCCAGCCUCUAAGCGUUCCCUUAUGCCAGGAAAAAGACAACUCCCUCCUGUAAUGAGUAUUGAAUUGGUUAAUCUUUCUGCAAUAUCGUCACUGUAAGAUGGCAACCUACGUAAUGAGACGCCAGUCAUUUCAUCCAAUCCUGUCUGAUCAACUCCAAUCCAGUUGGGAUGAAAUAGAAUUUCAGGACACCGAAACCUUUCGACCCCCAUAACUAUCUGGAAGUCUUCCUUGGUAAGUGGACGAAAUUUUGGCAAUUCGGUUGUUUGAACAUCUGACUUGGGAACAAAAGAGGGGUCUAUGUCCUGAUAAGAGUAGUAUGGCAUUAGACUUGAAAUCAGUAAUAGGUAAAGCAGACUUGUAAGUGGGUACUGACCUGAAGCCUAGAUGAUAAACGAACCAAUUCAGCUUCAUCCUCAUCAGGGCCUUCAUCGUCUUCGUCAUUGUUAUCUUUGCUCAUAAGUUUAUAAAGCUGCCAGUCUUCAUCUCUUGCACCAAAGGUGUCCUCACCCUUCCCACGAUCAAAGGCUGCUGUUGUUAAAAGCCGCAUUCUCUCUCUCUGGGCAGCGUUCAGUCUCUCACCACGUCCUACUCCUCCAGACACAUUAUGCCCAUUUGUAUGGCCUCCAUUAGUCUUGAGUCGUUUUCGCUGCUCCACUUUUUCAGAAAGCUCCUUGUAUUUGACAUGCAGUUCCUCUAAAUAAAGCUCAGGAUUCUCCCUAGAAGAGAAGAAAUAUGAAAUGGAAAGAAGGCAUUAAAAUAGUAAUUCAUAGCAACAAAUGCAGUAUACUAGCAUCGUAGUCCUGGAACCAUUUAACUGAACAAUGGUAACUUCCAGGACAGCAAGCACAAUAUUAUUAAUAAUUUGAGUCCUCUGGAAACUAAAAUUGUGAAGGUUGGAAGACAUUGGUACGCACAUUCUCCUUUCUUCAUCUAGCUGGUUUCUCCUUUCUCGUUCCAACUCUAUUUCAUAACGUUUCUGCUUUGCACGCUGCCGUCCUUCAGAUGUGGUUUUGAGAAACAAUUGUCUUCUUUUCUCCUUGAGCUGCCAAGGAACACGAUCAUGUUUAGAAAAUGUAUUGACGGUUGUGAACAAUAGAAAUAAACAAAUGUAUAAAACAUUCAGGCCCUUAUCAUGCAUAUACAGCUUUCUUUUACCUGCUCAGGUGAAAGCACGUCAUCAGGGACAUUGAUGAGAUGAAACUUCUCAUUUAUAGCAUCAGCAUGAUCCUCAGCUUCCGCUUGCUCAUCCUUCGGUUCACCCUUUGCUUUCCGCAAAGAUUGUGUUGCUUUGGUCAGAGCAGACUCAAUUUCUUGCUUAGAGAUGUACCCAGUCUCUGACAAGAAAGAUGGAAUAUCAUCCUCUGCCACUUGCACAAGCUGAUGCAAAAGAAACUCCAAACCACGCACUUCAUUUUCUAGCUCAUUGAUCCUUGAAGAUCUUUUUGCUUCAGCCAUUUCUCUCAAUCGUUGCCCUUGUUUCUCCUUAAUUGCAGCCUUUCUCGCAAUCUCUUCUUCCGAAGGAGGCUCUUCAGUAGGUGGUGGAAUCCAUGGGAGCUGCCAACACCUAGUUUUCUCUUCUGCUUCCUUAGUCCCUUUCUGUUUGUAGACAUAGUAUUCAUAACUGAAUGAUGCAAUGAUGACGAUAACAAUAGUAAUAAAGCCAAGAAGGCCACCUGAAACAAUUGAGCCUCUGAUGCAUAAUCUGAAGCUAUAUAGCAAUGCUCCAUCUUCAGAUCUUCAACCUUCUCCCAUGUGAAUCGGGCCCUGUUGCAUGAACUAUAAGUAUGACUUUUUUUCCUUCCUUUUUCCCAACUUUCACCCACUAUACAUGUUAAAUGAAUUGAACUUACAUAUGAUGAGGAUAUUUUAGUGAAAGAAGUUGCUUUAGAGAAUCAGUCACAUGGUAUCCACCAAUAUUCGUUCUGCAGCAUCCUUUAUAAACAGGCUCCCCAUCAAUGAACUGAUAAUGAUGACCAGUGAUAAAACUAUCAAAGAUUAUUAAAAUCAAGUGUCCAAGAGGCAAUUCACAAUAGCCAAUAAUAAAAACUAUGCAUGAUUAGCACAACUAGAAACCAUCAUAGUCGAGAGAAAAUGCAAUAAUACAUAAAGGUUGAAAGAAAAGAAAAUGCAGUAGACACUUGGAUCAUAAACAAGAAAGUUCGUAUAGACUAGAAAUGAUAUCAUUACCAACUCAAGCAUUGAUAAAGUCAGAAAGAUCAAUAGCUGAAUCAACACAAGCAAGUAAGCUCAUACACACAGUGACAGCCAACACAGAAGUAGGAAAACCAACUUUGACCAUGUAUUUAACCCUUGUUGAAUCGGAAUCAACAACUUCUCAAAUGAUAGAAAGUAAAACAACUCAUGAACUCUAGUAAGAGGAUGAAAGAACAAAGCAAACCGGAAUAACGUGGCUUGCGGUAAAUCCUGGGCAUAUAGCAAGGCCAUCUUUAUCACAUAUCCCAAGUUGUUGGUUGUACAAAUAGCUGAAUGCUGCAUCAACACCAAAUGCUGCAGUAAUGGCAAAUAAGGUAAGUAAACCCAUUCAGCCAAAUGUUAUAAAUAAAUUUAAUUAUAGCUUAUGUCUAGAUGUACAAGUCAAACAUAAUAUAUUAAGUUUUAAUCUGUAGCAGCAGAAAAGGACGGCCACAGCAGUAAAGAGCUUGAAAACACUACUGCACAAAGAUUACGAUUCUCAUCCGUUAAUUCAAUAAGGACCAUACCUAUCGAAGGAACUCCAUAGGUUUCAAAUAAAAGCUCUGCCAUUUUACUACGAGAUUGAACUGGAUUGCAUACACAUUCUGUUAUCAGGACAGGGUGAUCAAUCUGCUCUGCCCUCAAAGGAACAUAAAUCAAAUUAAGAAAUUCAUUGAGAACAAAAAGUUAGGGACAAGUAAAGACACAUUAUUUGAAAUUGUAAGGAAAAUAGAUCAUCAAAUUAGUGGGAAAGAGAAAGAGAAAGAUUCAUUGAAGUUAAACUUGUAAAACAAAGAAGAAGAAUGAAUAUUGAAUCAUAAAAACUAAUGCCUACCUGUUUCACCAAGUGAAAGUUGUAUUCUAUACCAUCAUUAAUGUCUAAACUAUUUUGUAAUUUCAAAUCCAAGUAAAGAUAAUGACUUAAAAUUCAUUUCACCACAUAUAACCUCCAAAGCUGCAAUAAGGACCCCCAGUUGUUGAUCAUUGCAAAAAGAAAUAACAUAAUUUCGAAAGCAAUUUUCAAAUAGUGCACCCAAAGAGAAGCUAUGCUAAAAUACAUAAAAUUUCAAAUCUCUUCCCACAAAGCAAGUCCUAUUUAGACCCGAUGUUCUUUCCUAUUUUUUCACAACCAAAUAUUCCAAAGAGCACAAAACCAAUGCGCCCUAGCCAAGAAAGCUUACUCCAUCAUCAUAUAUGUUCAAGCAUAUGAAAUAAAGAUAUGCCAAAAGUCGACCAAAAUAGAAAGAUUAAUGUGAGAAAUAAAAGGUACCUACAAAAAGCUUGCUCCAUCAUCAUAUUUUUUCAAACAAGAAAGCAAUUAGGUACGACAGAACAAGGUACCAGAAAGAGGUUGAAACUUAAUGUUUGCACAAUUACCUCUGGUCCACUUGCUCCAAGUCGAUCAAAUCCAAAGUCAAGAACCUAGAAGAUGCAAGGAAAUAUUAAAAAGCUACAACCUUAUAUUCUCAAGGUUCAUUUAAGUAUACACGGGCAUGCACUGACACCAUUAUUCAAUCUCCAAAUACUUUUUACACUUUUCUUCUGUUUCCCACCUAUGAUUAUCUCCGAGAUACAAUGAAAUUAACAACUUCAGACAAUGCAUUUAGUUCAUAAAAUUAGAUCGCAAUUUUCCUUUUCAUUCAAUGAGGGACCUCUUAAAUGAAAGUGUUUGUUUUAUAAGUCAGUUGAACUAUGCUUAGGUUGGCAUUGGCUUGUAUGUAGGUUGUUAUUGGCUUGUAUGUAGGUUGUUACUAAAAGUGACAAUAGAUAAAACAAAAAUCCAACUUACGUAUUCCAUAAUCUCAAACUGAUAAACAACAUUGCCAUCAAAAGCAGAGCGAGGACCUGAACGUGUGCAAUCAAAGUAUUUCAUCAAAGACGGAUCAUGAUCUCCAACUAUAGUAACCGUUUCACCUGAAUUGCAAUAAGAAGAACAGUAGAUUACACUUCAGUAAAGAACAAUACAUUUUCCGCACAGGUGGAAGUGCGAUAAGAAUAAGACAGUAACAUCUCCACAUAAAUGGACAAGUAAAGCUAAGCCCCAAUCGUAAAUACCCAUCAAGGAUUCUAUCUUCAUUUUACUUUGAAAGUGUAAAUUCUUCAAAAGUAGACCUACCAGUGGCUUUGUGGCGAGGUCUCUGGACAAUGUUACGGAAAAUAACGCGAGGGUCGGACUCUCCAGCCCAUCUGAAAGAAUAAAACAGAACACAUUUUGAUUGAACGUAAAAAGAAAAAGGAUAGAUUGUGGUGCUUAUCCUAAGAGUUGAAGCCAUGAAAAUGGAGACUACCCAAUGCGAAAAGCGGAGGCACCAUUGUCGAUAACGAUGGGAGUAGUAGAAGGGAAGUGAUUGAAAUCAGAUUGUCUCUGAAUUUCCGAUACGAAUGGCAUGUUUAACGAGUCCAAAAGCUGAAACAGAGAGAAAUUGGGAGUUUAGAAGAAGGUAUGUUCUUGUUUGCCCUAGCUUUGCAGCGAACUGAAGAAGAAGAAGAAGGAAGAAAAACAAAGGUGAAGGAUGUUUUCGGUUGUUGAAACUUGGAACAAAGCUGACUGGCACGGUCAAGAUGGAAGAAAAAACCGACGGUUUAAUUGAACCGGUCUUUGGUAAUUAUAGUAAAAUUCGACAUUUGAAUAUUUCGUUUCGUGGGUUCAUAAUUUAAUUGACGGAGUUACGUGUCGAUGACGGAAGUUUCAAUCUUGAUCUUAUGGAUAGUUUUAGAAAAGUAGUGGUGUUCAACCAAAAAAAUUAUCCAAUUAAAGUCCUCAUGUCAUCACACCCAAAAACAACCGUAAUUAUAAUUUGAUUUUGUUCGAGUAAUUAAAAUUUUUUAUAUCCGGCUCGAAAAAUUGAAUUAAAGAAGGUAACGAAGGAAAGUCCAAACUCAAGUCCACAAUUAAUGAAUCUAAACACAAGUCCAUCAAGUCCAAUCCUAAUAAGUAAGUAGGUCCAAGCCUAAACCCAACUAACAAAUAGGCCUAAGCCCACAUGAAGUCCAUAAAAAUUCUCUAUAAAUAGAAACAUUACAAUUCAUUUAGGAGAUCAUUGGUUGGAGCAAGAAAACUCAAUAAUUGAAUAUUCAAACUUUUAAAGUUCUCACGAUCAACUUUAAGGUUAUCAUCUUAUGAAAGAUUGAUAAAAAAAAUUGAAAGAUUAAACAUUCCAUCAAUUUCAUAAUAUUAACUUCAAACCACAACUGUUUAAAGAUUGAGGAGCAAGAAUUUCUAAGUUUUAAUUUAUAUUCGAGAUAGAGUAUCAAAUGAGUAAAUAUUGAAGAUUGUAUCUACUAUACUAUAAAUCAAUAUACAAAGUUCAAAUUCCACAAACUAUAUUUAUCUGAACAUGUCGUGUAAAUAAUUGGGGAAAAAAUAUAAUGGUAAAUGAGCAAUUUAUGAUCGUUUAUUUAUUAUAUCUUGCAAAUUGUCAACAAUAUAAUAUAAAUAUCAAUUCACCUUUUAUACAAAUGUUGAACUUAUCAGAAGUGGAAUAUAUUGAAAUGUUAAUGAAAAUUUAAUGUCAUAUCCUAUUAUAUAUUAAGUUGGUCUUUUUUAGUACAAUAGUUGUAGGAAGAAGGUUUGAGCCUUCCACCUCUAGGAUCGAAAAGCAUACUAAUUAGCACGGAGCUAAAUUCACUUAGGUAUAUAUUAAUCAAUUGGUCUAAUAGACAUUAUCUUACAUAAAUCUCAAAAUUAAUAUUAAUAUAUAAUCUAAAAAGUUGAUUGGCAUUUUCAAUCUAUCGUAAAUAGUACAUAUAGAAUAUGUAUAUUGGUGGUUUUAAAAAUUAAGUUAGUAUAGGUCUUAAUUGAUGCAACGCGGUGAUAUAACUGGGGGCUAUUUGGGUUUAUCAUUGUGGAGUUGGGUCACCCUAACCUUAACCCUUGUUUGGGGUCCAAUUUAUGGAAAUUCUAGUUUUAGGUUUACAUAAUCAUCCCAAAUCAUUUUCACACUACUUUUCACUGUGCAUAACACCCCUUCAAAUGUGUAAUGCUUCAUCAUUUUCUUCAAUGUCCAAUCUCAUCUUCUUUCUCUUUUACCGUUUUUGUCCUUAUUCGUUUUUCUCUUCAAAAAUCUUCCUUUUUCACCUCCAAGUCAAUAGAGAGAUGCAUGUAAAGAUAUAAAUUAAUAUUUUCAAAUAAAUAUAAAGUUGUUAAUAGACAAUGGAAAAUGUCAUUAUGUUAGAAUUUUGAAUAUAAUGUGAUAUUUACUCUAAACAAAUAUCUAAAUAUGUGUAUCAUUACAUUCAUUUCAAGUCUCAAAUUUCUUUUAAAAUUGUAAUGAAUUUUUACUUUAGUAGUAGUUAUGAACCAACUAUAUAGAAGGUGCUACAAAAUCGACAAGUAAAGAAUAAAACAAAAGCAUAAAAAAAAAAAUCGACAGACAAAUGUACAUAAUUUACUAAUAGUGUGUUAGCUACGUUCACAAGCAGAUAAACACCAAUAGUACUAGAGAAAAGUGUUUUUAGAAUGUAAAUAGUGUCACCACGGCUAAAGAGUUUAUAUAUAUUGUACACUUUUUCUAAAUUUCAUGAUCUAAUCAUAAAAAUCCAUAAAUAAUUAAAUACGUUGAUACGAAUUUGAAUAGAUUAGUUGUUCGUAGAUCCAAAUAAAAAAUUUGACAUUAUUUGAACAAAAGGUUGAUGCAAUAUUGCAACUUUGAAAACAAUAAAAGAGUAUAUGAAGAGCUAAUUAAGCUAGUUAUUAUAGCAAAUGGUUAUUAUAAUAUAUGGUUUUCAAAACUUCUUUUUAACCUUUGUCGACAUUUCAUAUUGAAUAAUGUGAUAUUAAAUUCAUCUUUAUCAAUCAAUAUAAACUUUUUGGACCAAUAAGUGACAAACUUGCUUCAAGAUUUUACGAGAGAAUUGUCUUUUCUAGACAUCAAAUCUUUUACCAACUUUUUUUGUUGUUUAAAAUUAAAAGAUACAUCGACGAAAAAUAUAAUGAAAAGUUAGAGGUAAAAUUACAAUUUAUGAUAUCAACUAGAAUUUAAUAUAAGUUUAAAAAGUUAUAGCAUACUCUGUAUGAUUUAAUCAAAUGUAAGAAAUUGUAUUGAAAUUUUUGUAGGAGAAUAAAUUUACCUCCUAAAGUGAAAAUCUAUCAUUGUAACAAAAACUUUAAAGAAAUGGAAUUUCGAUCCCCACUAACACAUCUUGUUUACAUUAUGUCAUUGUUGUGGAAAUGCCUAAGUUAAUAUGUGACAAAAAUAGUUAGCUAGGUUUCUAUUGAUAAUUUUGGGUGAGAUUGUUAAUUUAUAUAAGGAUAUGAUGUUGCAAAAUUUAAAGUUAUAGAUAUACAUUGUUGCGUUUGCGGGAGUAUCAAAACAUAUAUAUCUUUCCAUAAGAUGUUUUUUCGAUAAAGUUGUUGGAAUCAACGGGUACUUUUAUUAAGGUGAGCUUUGAUAAUUAAUCUAACUCGUGUUUAAUUUCCUUCGAUAUCAAUGGUUGUCAAAGUAGGUUAAACCUUAAGAAUUAAUGAUGUAUUUGCAUGUAAUGUACUUCAUGGUCGAAUGUUGUUGGCACAAGAGGGCUUGGUUGGGUGUUAAAGAAACCAUCGUACCAAUAUCAUUAGGUCAAAGUGUCACUAGGUGAUCAAGUAUUUAUUUUAUACUAUUCGAUUUUUAAAUUAAACGGAUGAAAAUCAUGUCAUCAUGAAGGAGGUUUCUCAAUUAGCUUCCUUAGUGAAAUAUGCAAUGUUUUAUUGUAUCAAUCAAUUGAAAAAUGUUACGUAAAUUAUAUACUUUAUUAGACAGUGAUCAAAGAAAACUUUACUUAUUAGCUUGCUAACAAUACUUGUUAAUUUCUUUAUGCUUUUAGAGAUACACGUAAGCUAAGCUCGGUUUACAAACUAAAUUUGUAUAACUGAAUGGAAGUAAAAAAUAUUGUUGUUGAUAUGGACCACCAAAUGAAGGUAUAUUACAAAAAAGGACAUGAUGUGUCAUAAUCAAGGUAAAUUUUAAUAGUUAUUUUAUUUCCUAUGUUGGUGAAAAUGUUAAUGAAAAUAAUGUGUACAUUGAAUACUUUUCCAAAUAGAGAUAAAACAAAAUAAAUUCCAUAGUAAAUAGCAUACUUGUAUUCAAUUAAUAAUUAAAUGAAAUAGUAAAGUUUUUUCUUAUCAAUUCACCGCAUUUCCAUUUAAUAUUGCGAGCCAAACCCAAGGCAUUGAUAAAAGCAAUUAAUCACUGCCGCUAAUACACAAACAAACGCGGGAGAACACACAUCAAUCCAACGCUCAUCAUUCAAAACCAUACUUCUACUAACCUCUUCAUCUCCCGACACGUCACUAAUCCCAAAUUCUUCCUUCCCUUGCACGUUCUUUCAAAUGUUAUAUCUUCCACAGCAAGUUCCUCUUACUUCUAAUCAUUAUAAAUCCCACAAACCCAUUCUCUCAUUUUCUCUAUUGCAAUUCAUGGCGGAGGAGACAGUGGAACUUUGCAGGACCCCACGACGGAGGAGCUGCAGGAUCCCGGUGGCAAUGGCGUGUCCGUCGGCGCCGAGGAAGAAGCCGGUUUGCUUGAAGCGGAAGGCUCCGCCGAAGGAGGGGUAUUUUCGAUCGCCAGAUUUGGAGGUUUUGUUUGGUUUUGUUACUCCAAGAGAAGAGGCUUGUACUUAAGUUCUUUUUUUCCUUUCUUUUGCAUUGUAUAUAAAAUAGAGAUUUAAUUUUCUGUUGUGUGUGUUUUCUUUAAAAUGCAUUUUAGAGGUUAGUGAUUUCGAAGAAUGAAUUUGUAAAAGUAGUUUUGGAAAUAAUUUGGUUUUAAUUUUGUGAAUGUUGGAAUUUGAGCCUCGUUAUCAAAGAUGGAAAAGGGUAUAAUAAUUAAUUUACUUGGUAGUGAACAGUUAUGGUAGAUGUUUAUUUAUGGUAUCAAAGAAUUGUGUUGUUUGUGUUUAGGUUUAGCAUAGCUCAGCCUCGUACACACUUCAUUAAUACAAUAUCUUUGAGAAAAUAAAUUUGGUUAAUUUUUAUUUUAUUUACUUAAUAUAGAAAGUCAAUGAUCUAAUCAAUCAAAGCCCAACUAUAAUGUAUAUAUAAAUCUUAAAUAUGAAUUUAGAUAAAAAAUAACAUUGUUAUUUUAGUCUUUUUGAAUUAUUUUGGUGAACACAUGUUUCUUAAUUAUUUAGAAAAUAAAUCUAUUAUUUUAUAUAUGAAAAAAGAGAUUAAAAAUCUCCCAACUUUAUAAUGUCAUGGAGAAAAUUUGUUAUUAUUAAACUAACAAUGUGAUUGGAACAUUUGAUUUGUAUUCGAAAUAAGUAUUUAAGAUUUUAACCUUUUCACAUCGGUAAUUGCUUAAUCAAUAAAAUCGAGUUUUGAGGGAAAAUUUUCUCGUAUAUGUUUAGAGGUUUUCAUUGAUGAGGUUCUAUGUAUCUUUUUCUUUUAUGUGUCGAGGUUUUUCGAACCAUUAUUAAUAAAAAAGAAUAUUUAUCUUUUAGUCUGUAAUUCAUUGAAAUUCAAGUAAAAGAUAUUGUAGCCGCCUUGUUUGAUGGAGGUUUUUGCUUUCUUGAUUGAAUAUGGAAAUACUAAAAGCAUAUCCUAUUUUCUAUUUACAUGGGUAAGGGUAUUCACAUCAUGCCCUUGUCAAGGAGAGAAAAUAAGCUUUAUAACUACACAUUCAUUUAUUUAUGUUUUUUUUAAUAAUAUAGUUAAUGAAGUUUAUAAACUAUUAAUUGAUAUUAAUUUAUCAAACUCAAUGCAAUUAUAUUGAGUUUUUUUUUUUUUUCAAAAAAAACAACUUGAACAAGUCUUAACAUUUCAUUUAAAUGUAUACUUAAAUUCAAUUUUACAAAUCAAAACUUAUUAAACGGAUGCAAUUAUUUAUUUUGAUUGAAUUUAUUUAUAUAUUUAAUUAGUUAAUUAAGAUUAGUUAAAUCAAUUUAUUUAGUAUAAAAAAUUGUCUUUAAAUUACCAUAAUUAAUUAAAGCUUACUUGGGUUUAGGUUGGGUUGGAGUGAGAUGGAGUAGGUUAUUAGUGAGUGGGAGCAUGCUAUGAUAAUUAACCUUCUUCUUUCGACUACUUAUUAAGAAAAAGUAUAUAACGGUCAGAAUCACAUAAAAUUGGAUAACAAACUGAAAAAUAGCAAAUUUAAAAAAUAUUACCAUUUAUAGCAAAAUUGGGGUUGUAGACUUCUUGUUUUACUUUUUUUUUAAUCGAUUAUACCUUUUUGUAUUUGAAAAUUAUUUUAUGUCAUAUAUAGUAUAUUUGUAUAGGUAAAAAGAUGAUACGGGAUAUCACAUAUUCACAUAUACAAUGUAUUUACAAAAAUCAUCAAUUUUAGAAAAUAUUAAUAAUUUUUUCUUUUCAAACUAUAUAAGAUUACGCUGACAUCCCUAGAUUUAUGCCUACAAUUUAUUUAGAAUUUUUGUAUUUUUAGGUUUCAAAUCAAUUAAUUAACAAUUUAUUUAUAUAAUUCAUAAUAUAUAUAGUAAUGACUAUUUGAAUUCAAAUUUUUUUAUCACCUCUAAAAUAAUGGUUAAUAUAAUCUCAUCACUUUUUGUUUCAUAAGGUACCUUUUAAUAGUUAUUAAUAUUUUAUUAUAUAAUACAUAAUACACAUUUUUCAUAUUUCUAAUAACAAUUUGAAGUUAUAUUUUAUAACAUCCAAUAAAAUCGUCAAUUUGAAUUCUUUUAAACGAUCAUAUCCCUAAAAUUGACAAACAUAAACAUAAAUUCAACAUUUUUUUUAGUUAUUUAUAUUUCAAAAUAUUUAUAAAAGAAUUUUGAAUUUAAAUACUUCAAAAAUACAUAUGCUUAAUAACAAUUUGAAUUUAAAAUUUUAUCAUCCUCCAAAAUCGUGCUAAUUACGAUUAUCCACUUAUUUUAUUAAAGCAAAUUCUAAGUCGUGCUAUUUAGUUUAGUUGAUAUUUUUUAUAUUUUCAACCAAUUUUACAGGAAAAUUCUUAUCCGUUAGUUACCGUGUAUUUGUGUAUAAGGUUAAAAUGAUGGAAUAUAACCCAGAAUCACAUAUACAGUGUAUUUGCAAAUAAUUCAGUUGUGUAAAAAUAUUAAAUAAAUAUUUAUUUUCGAGAUGAAUAUGAUUGAAUCAACCUCCAUAGAUUUAUGCCUGUAAUUUAUACCAGAUUUUGGUGUUUAUAGGUUUCAAAUCAAGUAAUUAACAAUUUAUUUAGUUGUGGUUGUUAAAAUUAAAAUUGUAUAUUACCCUACAAUUAUGAUACACUUAAUGUAUAUAUGAUUAUUCUAAUAAAAUUAUGAUAUUUUCCUUAUAAUCUACUCGAUUGAUUUCCCUAAAAUUUUCAUAUUUUUAAUAACAAUUAUUUAACAUAAUAAUAAAUUAAAAUUAAAAUUGUAUCUUACCCUUAUAAUUAUGCUACAUUUAAUAGGAUUAUUGUAAGAAAAUUUUGUAAGAAAAUUUUGAUAUCCCCUAUAAUCGUGCGAUUGAUUUCCCUAAAACGAUGUCAAACAUAAUUUCAAAAUUUUAGGAUUAUCUUGUUAAUAUCCUUAUCUAUUUUUCAUAAUUUUUUUUAAAAAAAAUAGAUUUUAAAUUUGUAUUUGAAACCGUCAAAAUAUCAAAAUUGCUUUAAAAAAUUUAAAAAUUAUAAAAAUGGGUAUUGUUAAUAAUAAUUUGAAUUUAAAAUUUUAUCAUCCCUGAAAUCGUGCUAAGAUUAUCAACGGAUGUUAUUAAAAAUUUUAUCAUCCCCUAAAAUUGUGAUAUUUGCUUUAUAUCUCCAAAUAAUGACAAACACAAAUUUAACAUUUUUGAAUUAUUUAUAUUUCAAAAUUUAUAAAAAAAUUGAAUAUUUUAUUUUUGGAAGGAAUCAAUGGAGAAGAAAAGAUUUGUUUUAUUUAAAUUGGAAAAGGAAAAAGGGAAAUAUUUAAGGGAAAUUAAUAAUAUAAUAAUAUUUAUUAUUAUUUUAUUAUUACUAUUAUUUUUCAUCUUCUUCACUCUCACCCAAACCCUAGUUGCCAACGACACCUCCAUCUCCGUUCGAGUGUUCUCCAUCCAGUCGAGAUCUCUAGUUUUGUAGUCAUCCCCUCCAUUCUGUUGACUGAGAACUAAGCCGUAAGGAAAUGUCUAGUUUUGUAGUCAUCCCCUCCAUUCUGUUGACUGAGAACUAAGCCGUAAGGAAAUGUCUCCUUCGCUGCACGCCACUAGUCGUAUUUUUACUUCAUCCGAAGUUGAGCGCCUUUGCGUCGCGCUUCUUCCUUCAUGCAUCGCACGCCCAGCCGCGCCGAUCUUCUUCAUCACCAUUCGUUCACCAGUAUGUGGUUGAUGUUUGAUAUUCACAACUGUAUCUAUAUAUAAACUAUAAUUAAAAACUAAAAAGAUAUUAGAUUUUACAUUUUUUCUUUUUGACCUCGAAGGUUUUGAGGAGAAAAUCUUUUGAUUUAUGUUGAAUGUAUGAAGACUCAAUAUUUUAUGCAACUAAUGGAAGACUUUGGAAACUUGGUGAAAUCUAAGAAAGUGGAAGAUAUGAAGCUUGGUGAAAUCUAAGAAAGUGGAAGAUAUGAAGUUUGAUUCUUUUCUACUUUAAAUACCUAAAUGUAUACAAUUUCAACAAGGAUGUGUUAUUUAAUUACAUGGUAUUUGGGUGGUAUUUGAGUUUUAGGGGUUUUAGGUGAACAAUUGUAUUUAGUACUGUUUUUGAAUUGGUUGGGGGCAUUUGAGAUAUUGUUCUAUUUAUUUAUUUCUCACAUUUUUUAAUUUUGCUAUUUUAAUCAUUUAAAAAUAAAUUUACAAUUUUUUUCAAAAUAAAAAUCAUAAUUUGCUAUUUUGGUUGAGAACCCCAAAAUCAACCAACAACCUACAAAAAAAAAAAUGAAUAGUAGCAUUCCCAUAUUGAAAUAGUUCAAAAGAGUGACACACCAAACCACGUAACCAAUGUCUUUCCCCUAACCAAUAUGCUUCGGCCUGGUUACUUUUGGGCCCAGUAAUUGGGCUUGGGCUAAAAUUACGUUAUACUUUAAUCUUUAUCUUUAUAUUUAUUUAUUUAUUUAUUAUUAGAUGUGAUUGUAAAUAAGUUUUCUUUUAUCCUAGAUUUCUUAAUGAAGCAUUUUCUUUUUUUUUUUUUUAUCUUCUUUCAAUUUUUGUUUAUUUAGUUUCUCGAUUUAAAAAAAAAUGAAAUGAGAUAUUUUUUCUUUUCCUUCCAAAAAGUAGAUAGGUUUUUAAACAAAGGUUUGACUGGGGGGUUGGAAGUUAGCGGCGACGGUUGAAAGUUGAAAAUAAAAAGAACGUGGACAUCCACGUGGGCGCAUGUGUGAGGUAAUUAAUUAAAUUCACCCAAUAAUAUUAUUACUAAAAAUAAUAAAAUAACCAAUAUUUUGAGUUAGUCAUUUUUAGUGUCUUCACAAUUACCAUUCCAUUUCAUGUCUAACCAUAUAUACUUUUAUCAACUUCUUUGUGCUGUCACUUCAAUAACCAUAACCAUUUCACAAAUACAUUUUUGGUUACCUUAAUUAUGCAUUAUUAGUUAAAAUACUAGUACAAGUCACAUCCUCAUGGAUAAAAAUAGUAUUUUAAUUGCAUUAGUAACGAUGGAAAAAUACAUAAUAAAUAAAAUAAUAGUUAAAAUUCGCUUAAAUAUAUAUAUAUAUGUAUAUGUAUAUAUAAAAGAGAUACAUGCAUGCAAAUUUUAUAGAAUGAGAGUCACAUUGUACCACUCUUUGAAUAUUUAGGUUUAGUCAUAUUUGUUAUUUAAUUAUUUAUUUUAUUUUCCUCUCUUUAUAGUUUUUGUUAUUUUUUUUAAAAAAAGUUUUGUUAUUAUUUGUGGAAUUUUGUUUUAUUGGUGUUGUGGUUAAUGUGAAUGGCUCUCAGCAUUCAAACAUGAAAGAAUGAGAGAACGUGAGGGUGUCAUGGGGCAUCGGUUACUUUCUUUAAUUUUGAAUAUUUUUUCAUCUUUUUUUACCCUAAUAAUGCCAAUAUGUAUGCUUAUUUUUCAUGUUUUCAUUUGCUUUUAUUAUCAACAGUUUUGAUUCUCUAUUUCUCCAUAAAAGUAAUGAACAAGAGGGAUGAAUCUUCUCUCUCCCUUUCCCCCCACACACACUAUAUAUAUAUAUAUAUAUAUAAUUUUUUUAAUUGAUGUAAUUAGUUGAGAUAAAGAUAUUUCUAACGUAUCAAGUUUUUGGAAAAGAAUUAUUUGACGUCAAUUAUAGUUGAAUUAUACAAAUUUUAAUAAAAGUAAUAAGGAGAUAACUAUUGCUUAUGCACUUACUUCACGUUCUAUUUUUAUCACUCAAAUUAGUAUUCAAGAGAAAUUUUGUUACUCGGUGGUGUUUGGAUGAAGGGAUUGGAUCAAGAGUAGAACUUCAAAACAAGUGGAGAGCUUGUGAAUUUCACACUCUUUAUAAAAAUAUAAAUUUUAUGUCUUGUUAACUUCUCAUGCAAUGAUAAGUUUAAAGUAAAUUUAAUUAAGUGAAAAUUAACUUCAUCUUCCACACUAGCUAAACGUGUGAGAGGUGGUAGAAUGUUUGAUCUUCCAUCUAUAUGAUUUUGUAUAAAAAAAACUUCCUUCACUCUAGGUCAUAAGAGUUUACAAUUUGUCAGAUUUUAUAACUCACGUGGAAUUUGCCACUACAUGUCCCACACAUUAUUCUUUAAGGCCGACUCUAAAAAAAAAUUCAUGGAAGGUGAAGAGUUAAAUGGUCAAACCCACGGGAGAGAAGAGGCAAUCCCUAUAGGUUAGUCAUUGUAAUUAAAGAAGAAGACCGUGAAAUUAAAGUUGACUCGAAAUGAAAAGAAUUAAGUUCGAGUGUUCAAUUACACGAACUUAACUAAAUUUAUCACAACAAAGUUAUAUAUUACGAUGAUUCGUCGAUCAAGUAAUACUUCAUGAAGUGUUAAGUAACUAUAUGACAAACAAUAUUUUUUAUAACUAAGAGAGAACACGUUAUAAAAUUAGAUUUUUAUAACAAAACUAUUACUAACUUAACAUUCAAGUGUUGAUGACUAAUCACCACAUGUUAAAUUUUUUAUUAUUACAAAAUAUUGCAAUUGGUAAUUUUCAUUUAGCAUAUAUAUAUAUAUAUAGACUAAGCCAUCAAACAUUGUUAUGUUUUUCGAAUCGAUUGUUUGGAUGAAAGAAAUGUCAAGGAAAAUAAAAAAUAAAAAAUAAAGAAGUAAAGAAGACUUUUGAAGAUAGAACUUUUUGCAUUAAAAUUUGAAAGAGCCAUUAAUUAGUUAAUAUAGUCUAAUGAGAGUGGCCCAUCUAACUUAAUGGUCUCACUUUUCUAAGAUCUAAAAUAUUUAAUCAAACAUAAAAGUAGAUUUAGUAGGAACAAACAUAUCUUAGUGAAAAAAGAUUUAUUUAAUUUUUGUUCACAAAAUAUUUUUCAAAACCUAAAUUUAUCAUUAAAUUUUUUAUCAUUUCUCUUUUAUUGAAAUAUACUACCAAUUUAUAGAUUAAUUUAAAUUAUUAACGUGUAUAAUAAUAAUGGUAACAAUACUAAUACAACUUUAUUCUUAAUUAUUAAUAAUUAAAUAUAACAAAUAUGAAUGUGUUUCAAUUUCGCAUCACAAUUAAUAUUGAGUCACACUUUAAUUUAUUAAAUUGCAUCAUAUAUAUACAUAAAAUGAUUAUAAAACCUGAUCAAUAUCAAAGUAAAAUAAUGUUAUAUACCUAAUUUUAAAAAUAAAAUAAUUAUAAUACACAAUAAAAUCAUAUAAUUUAAAAUUCAUAAAAUUUUAGGUCCACAAACCCUAUUUUCCAUUAAAGAAAGUCAUUAUUAUGACUAUCAAUAUUUUUUUAAAAAAAUUUAUCUUCAUGUCCAACUUGCAAUUUUUGUCUCUUAAUUAAAAGCAUGAAAUAAAUGAAAGGAAAAUAAAGCUGCUUAACAAAUAUAAACAAAUAUAUAAUUAUUUUCAUUGAUUUAUUUAAAGAGAGUUGCUGUUCCCUAACCUAUGAACAUGCCAUAAUCUUUGGUGGUUUAUUGCCUAUUCCUUCUAUUUUAUUUUUCAUUAUUUGUUAUUAAUAAAACCUUAUGCCAAAUUAAUCAGUUUAAUUACAUUAUAUAAAAUUUCCCAAUUAAUUAAACAAAAACAAAAAGACAAAUUAAUUAUUUGUAUUUUUUCUUAUAUUGAAGUUUGUUGGUGGAAAUCAUCAUUAGUGUAUGAUUGAAUUUUGGUCUUAUUUGUUCUUAUAAUUAUUAUUAAUUUUAGUGUAAAUUAAAAUGUACAUUAAUCUUAUUAUGUUAUAUGAUCUAAUAAAACUUUAUCAAAGUUUCUAUAUAAUCUUUCCAAAUCUACUUUUCAACUUUUCGCAAUUGAAAAAUAUUAUAUGUUAUGGAAAAAGUUAAUCAAUUUGCCAUGUUAUUACGUUAGAUUGACAAAGUUGGAUUGGAAAGAUUUUUAAAUGAUUUAUAUAUAUUAUAAGAAAAAGUGUUUUAUUUUGUGUACUCCCAUCUUUUCAAAAUGUUUUGUUUUUAUCGAAAACCCUAUGGAUAUUGUUCUUCUACUAAAAUAAACCGUUACAACACACGUUAGUUUAUGAACGUUCAAGUGCAUCUCUACUUAAUGUAUGAACUUUAAGCAACGUUCAAUUAGUAUUUGAACUUUGAUUUUGUAUCCAAUAAAGUCAACUGUGUCUAAACAUAUCUUUAAAUCACCUUCAAUUUUGUGUCCAAUGAAUUUCUAAUCUAUAAAACAUUUUUUUAAAAAGUCACAAAUCUACUUGACACGAAAUUGAAAGUUUAGAGUUACGUAACACAAAAUUUCAUUUCAUAUUCAAUAGCUAGCUAUAAUUUUUAAAAGUUUCAAGUAUGUCAAGAAUUUGUCCAAUACAAAGCUAAAAUUGGUUGGUAACACGAGCGUAGUUGAAUGACAUAGAUUUCGUACUAUCAACGUCGAUGUUAAAGAUUUGAUCUUCUCAAGCAAAUUUAUUACACUUUUUUUUUAUAGAAAAGAAAUAAAAAUAAGGAUUUAUUAUUGAGUGAGAGUGGGAAAAAAGAUGAUGUGUGAUGAUAAUUAGUGAGAGAGGAAUAAUAAUUAGGAGGUGAAAUGGUAGAGAACGAGACAUAAUUUUGAUUUGCACUCAAAAUCAUCUUUGAGGAUUUUCUUGUCUCCUUUUUAUAUAUAUAUAUUUUAUUCUAUAAACUUGGAUUUCACCCUCACAAAUCUUUGUUUCCAAAUUACUUAUUUCUUUAUUUAUUACUAAGAGUUAUAUAUAUACAAUUUGCAUAUUGUCAUCUUCAAAAGGGAAAGCAACCGAAAAAAAAAUAAGUACUUUUCAACUUUUCAUCAUGUAGUCAACGUCAUCAUAAAUUUUUUUUAAAAAUGUUUGUUGAUUUACAUGAAUCUACUUUUACUACUUUAAAUUUUUUGAAAAUUAGUUUUUGUUUUUAUGUAAAAGAAAUUUGUUUUUUUUUCACAAAGUUAAAAGGGAUCCAACCAUUGAAUAGUAACAAGAAUAUGGUAAGCAAUAUAAAUAUUUAAUGUUCAUAAAUCAAACUCUUUCAAGCAAUAUACGUACUUAAGAUUUUAAAGGCGUUUGAAUGCCUAUCUAGUGUUAUACCACUUCGAGAAGUUUAUCAAUUUGUAUGAUUAAUAAAAUAAUUUUGAGAUUGAGGUCAAAUUGUUGUACCCAGGUAGUAAAAUUAGGUUAUCUGGGCCGGAUGAUAGUUGUUUGAAGUUGAAACUUAGGUAAGCAAAAGAGAAAGAGAGUGAUGAAGGGAGAAAUUGGGAUUCAUGAAUCUGAAACAAAUGAACACAAUUUGGGCAUUGGUACUUCACUUUCAGCGCCUUCAUUUCUCUGUUCAUUGAAGAAGGGCAGUGGUUCAGGAUUUGAGGUUUUAAGCAGGAAGGAAACAUGUCUUUUUGGGGGAAAGUGAAAGCUUAGAAUCCCAACCAUGGACCGACCACUGUUUUAAAUGAGAAUCAACGAUUUGGGUCACUGAACAAUUAUCAGAAUCAAUCAUUUGCGGGGGUCAAACUAAGAAAAGUAUCCUCAAGGUGUUCGAUGAAAGGCCUGUGAGACAAUCCAAGGGACAACAAUAUCUUGUGCUUGUUAGGAAACUUGUCUGGUGAGGUUAGUAGUACCAAACAACUACUUCUUUUUAAACUCUUUUUCUCUAUUUUGUUUUUUCUCAGGAUUCAGUCAUUGCUUAUAUCUAAAAUGUUUGGAGUGGAUAAUUUUUUUUUGUUUGGAGACUAAGUGCAUUUAAUCCCAGAAAACUAGCAAAUUGCACAUGUUUUGAGAUUGUAAAAUCCCCAUGGAAAUGGGAACUGUUGAGAAUCUGAAUGUAUACUUUGUUUUAGUACAUUGGUUUGCUCUGUGUUAAAGUCAUCUCACUUGCAUUCUUCCUGUUUCUUUAGGUUUAGUUUUUCAGCUCCAUGGGGUAAUGAGAAUGAAAUUUGAUGGUCUUUUAGGCUGAUUUCUUUGCUAUUUGAGAAUCUUGUGUGUUUAGACUUUGACCCAUUUGUUGUCAGUAGGAUUACUGAAAGUAGUUGAGUGGGUAAUUUUUUAGAUCAGUUUAAGGUUUAGAUUAAAUUUACAUCAACACAUGGGAUCAUGUGCUUCUGUUUUUGGGGCAGCCAGAGAGAGAAAGGUUUGACUUGACCAAAUGGGGGAAUAAAAUCCUUGUUUGUAUAAUCUGAAGUUAAAUUAACAUCCUAACAUUUUCUCAUUAAAUUUAGUGUUGUCCAUGCAUGCAUAUGCAAAAUAUACUAAUUUAGCUUAUUUUAUUCUUAUUGACAUUCAUAUAAUGUAUAAACAAAAGUGUUAGGUAUGGUUUAUAAUGUAUAAUGAACUAAGUAAUAGGCACAGAAAACGAGAUCACCUUUUUUAAAUAAAAUUAUAUAUUUUCAGAAAUUUUUUUUAGAGAAUAUUUUUUUUCUUAUUAGUUUGUUAGAUUUAAAGUAAUCUGAAAUUAUUUGAGUUUGAUACUAAUUUGGACGAGAGUCCUCUUCUAAAACAAACAAAAAAUUAUUUUAAACAGUGAUUUCUUAAAUCAUCUCAUCAAAAUAUUCUCUUGAACAGAUGAUCUUGGAAGGGUAUAUAUCUUUCAAUUAAUUAAUAAACCCAAACUUUAAUUCACUGUUCAAUGGUAAAGCAGCCAUGCCUUGAAAGAAACUUUUCAACCGCAGUAAUAAUAUGUUAAAGGGAAAAAAGAUGAAAACAAAAGGGAAUUUAAAUGCUUUUUUAUGAGCUGGUAAGCACAUCCAAGAAGAGAGAUAAACUUUCUAUUGACUUAAUUAAAAACACAUGACCUCUGUUUUGUUGUGUCCAUAAAUUAUCCCUCCAAGUUAUUCAUUCACAUGACUUUUUUAUCUUAACAUUUCAUAAGUUAAAGAAUCGUAGUUCUUUGUGUUUUGACAUCUAGAACUCAAGCCAUCUAUCUUAACUGCUAAAGAUAGACAUUUGAUCCCAACAAUCCAAAAGAUAAAUAAAGAUUUUCAACAACCGAAGGAAUCAUUAAAAGCUAAAGAGAGCAUCUUGAAUUCUAUAUACAACACAUGAACAUGACAAGAUUUGCAAUAUGAAUCAUCUGUUAUUUAAAAUGUCUGUAAUGUCUUAACCUUUCACAUAUGAAAUCCCGUAUGGAAUCAAGAUUUUUUUUUUUAUUAUUAUUAUUGGAAAGAUUACAAAAUUAAACAGAGCCAAUUAGCUCUAACCUUCAAUAACCCCCUAAUGAUUGCUCUUUCACUUCUUUAAUUAUUUAGUUGCUUUUAGCUCUUCAUGCAGAGAAUGAGCCAAAAGCAUACGGUUUUUUUUCCCACUCUUUUCCUUUCUUUCUGCUAGCAAUUUCAAGCGUUUCUAUUUGCAGCUGGAAAUGUUUCAAAUGGUUAGUCAAAGAUUCCUCGUUCAUCCAAUGAGCAAAAAAAAACGGGAACAGAAAGCAAAGAGAGAGCUACUGAUCAUUUUCAUGCUUACUUCCUUUUCUUUUAUUUUAAUCAAAUAAUCAUUUUCAUCUUUGUUUCUCUGUCAUUAUGUAAGAAAUUAAUGUCAGCCGUUGUCGUGACAUUCAUAAUCGUGUCUUAAUAUAUGAUUUCUUCAAAUUGUAAUAGUUUUCCAUUUUGUUGUCCCUUUUUGUUUUUGCUUUAAAGAGGGCAGUUGCAUGUUGAUAAAAUAGAUUUCAACUAUUUAUAAAGUCUAUUUUGAACUAUUUAAUCUGGACUUUCAUGUUACAUUUUUCUCCAUAGGCAUUUUUCAAUAUACUGUCAACACGUGAGCUAGGCCUCACAGUAAAAAAAAGAAAAAUAGGCACUCGCAUUCCUCUCCAUCAUGGCCGCAUGGACAAUGAAAGAGACUUGGCCACACAAUUCAAUACAUCCCGAUAAGCUUGGCCAUUUUCUUUUUCCAACUAUUCCCUUGAUCAAGUUCCAUAGUCUCUGAGAUAUAUCUAGUUCACACGUUUGGGAAGUUUUGAUUUGUUUAGUAUGAGAUUGAAAAGUUUGAAAUCUAUGCCUGAAUUUAUGAAGAAUUCUAGAAGUAUGAGUUCAUCAAACUUGGCUUAUAUUCAGUUUUAAAUUUAUGGUUUUGUGUGAGCUAUUGUUUGGUUGGUUAUUUGAGAUGUGAUUGCAAAACUUAUAAAAUUAGCCAGCACUAAGUUAAACUAAACAUUGCUCAACAAGAUAUACUCAACAACAAUUAGUAUCUACUCAAUAAAGGAUCAAAUCUCUCCUACCUCACUUGUUGUAUUCAAAAUAACAGCAAAAUGACAAACAAACUAAACAUGAUCAAGUAUAAGUGAGAAUUCUUAGGCAGUUCAAAAAUUGGGAAGCAAUAUAAUCCCAUAAAGAGAUGAAUUACACAACGCCUCCUUCAAAACCUUUCACUGGUCUGUACGCCUUUGAGGUCACCAUGUGCUGUGGUAACUUGGACGAAUCCCACAUGGGAACAUCUCACUGUCUCACAAUUCUCCUAUUGUACCAAUGAACUUGGAUUAUUUUCUCGAAAACUCUAGAUAGCAGUGGAUUGUUUCUAUAAUUAGAUAAUGUUUUGUAGUGAUGAAGAGGAGCCAUAUAUAGAUACAAAAGAGAUGUAAGAUGUGAAGAGGAUUUCAAACUGGAUAGGGAAAGAAGAAUGAGAAUGAGAUUUCGAAUGGGAAGAAGUUGCGUAGAGUAGACCAAAGAGACUUGACAUAUCACAUCAGGGGGGUUGUGUUUGUUGAAUAUGUGUAUAGGCAGGCAUGAUAAAGAAAAAGGAAAGAAGUGAAAAUUCAUGAUGGUGAAUCCUCAGGCUCAUACCCCUCUCGUCUUGUUCAGAAAAAAAAAAAAGCUCAAAAUGCCAAAUCUUUUGUGAUUCAUCAUUCAAACCCCUGAUAUGUCACUCUUCAUCAAUUCUCCCCCUUUACUUUUCUAAUUCUGAUUGAUCUAGCCCCCACCAUGCCUACCUGACCCCACCAAUCCCUCCCUCUUUCUUUCUCUCUUACUUACUGUCAAACACCUCUUUUCAUUUCAACUUCUCUCCUAAAAUUUUUUUUCACUUGGGAUUGCCAAAAGAUUGUGGACAUCUUUCAAAUCUCUGUGUCUGAAAAAGUAUUAUGAUACUUCUUUAGCUAAUUUGGUUCUUUGGAUUUGAGGGUGUUCCAUAAGAAUACAACAAAUUGGUUUGCUUUGUGGUGUGAAAAAAGUGGGUGUAGUGUUAUGUUAGAGACAUAAUUCCCAUCACUUGAUGUAAAAUUUUUAAUUUCCAUUUUCAAUAUAUAUAGUCAAAACUAGCGUGUAAGAUAUAAUUUGCCUUCCUAAUGAUUGAAAAUCCUUAGAAAAUAUAUUAGGAGUUAAAUGUCAUUUGGCUAAACCUUAGUUUUGAACAAACACUUCAAGAUGCUUGGUCUUUCAAGAUUCUAGUUUUCUGACAUUUACUACCAAGCAAAUGUAAAGAACUUCAACCUAAAAUCAUCCCAUUUCCAACUUCUUAAACAUCGUUAGAAGAUGAUAUCAAUAAAUGAAGCUAACAAAACAAUGAGCUUGAAAUACUGGCAAUGGAGUAAGGAAGCCAAUUUUUACAAUCCCUAGAAUUUUCUAUUUUUUUUCUUUUACAGUUACUGUCACUAAUCCCUUUUUUCUGUCUACAAUUUCAGUGGGUUAAUUAGCAGAGCUCCAUGACGUGUGCUUUGGAAACACUCCUCCAUUAAAAUAAUCCCUACUCGAAUUAGAUUCUUUAUUUUCAAAAAUAUUAUUUAUAUAUCUAUACACAUACUCAUAAUUCAUUUUUUUUAAAAAAAGAUAUUAUUAUAAUGGCGCAUCUCUGGAUAGGGAAAGGAAAGAAAACCAGGUGUGUGAUACCCACUGCCACGCCCCUUUCUUUUAACCUGUUUAAGGGCCCCUUCCCCUUAUAAAUACCGCCGGAGCCUCUCUCCCUAAACUAAAUUAAUCCACUCUUUCUCUCUCUCUAAACAGCUCUUCAGUCUUCAACUUCAUUCACUCUCUACAACCUUCCAUUUUUGUCAAAGCUCAAUCCUUUCCUUAACCCCAUUUCCCACUUCACACUUCACUCAAAAUAUGACUUCUAUUUCUUCUUCUGCCGCCGCCGCCGCAGCAGCAGCCGUUCCGUCGCCGUUUUACAUGGAGGAGAAAUGGAAGCUGCCAAAGAAAGGAGCUCCGGCUAGAACCCGAUCAUCUUCUUCCUCAUGUCCUCUGAUGAGAAAUUCUUCAGACAGGAGAUGUUCUUUUACAAGAAAAUGUGCAAAAUUGGUGAAGGAACAAAGGGCACGAUUUUACAUCAUGAGGCGAUGUGUUACCAUGCUCAUUUGUUGGCAUAACUACAACGAUUCCUAGAAUCUCACUCCUUUUUGUUCUUCCCUUUUAAGAGAAAGAUCAGAAUCAGAAUCAGAAUCAAAACCAGAAUCAGAUCAAAUCAUUUGGGUUUUCUUUUUCUCUUUCUUUUCCUUUUUGGAGAAACGUGCAAUGUUCUAUCUCCUCUGGUCCUCAAAAUGGGAGCUAUUGUGGCCAAAGCCCAGAUGGGAUUUUCCAGAAACAUUGCAAAGCCGGAUCUUUGAGCAAGCUUAGAGAGGAAAUUUUAUAUACUUGUAAAUAGUUAUAUGAUGUAGUAUUGGAAUCUCUGAUAGUUCUUGUUUGGGAUUUAAAUUUUGUUUCUUCUUCUUCUUUUUUUUUUUCUUUAGUCUGAUGGGUGAGACUGAGAUUUGUAGGGUUCUUUAUUGACAAGCAUUGAUCUCUGUAACUUCUUCCAUUGUUUUUUUUUUCUCUAAUCAAAUGAAAUUUCAUCAUCCUUAUAUCUCUCUGAAUUUUCUUGGGGAAUUUUUAUUGUUUAGCUCUGUUUUGGUUCUGAGUCGUUCUCAGAGUUCCUCCCUCUAUGAUUUUAGAUAGAGAGAGAUUCAGUUGGUUGAAUCACACCAAAACAAAGGCAACUAAGCUAGGUUGAAGCUGGAGAUGGAUCUAUCUCUGAGGUUCACUGACAUAGCAAAGAAAAUCACUAUAAAAGCUCAAAUUUAGAGAAAAAAAAGGAAGUAUUUGGAUAUUAGUUAAGAUUGAAUGAAGUUCAAAGCAAAGCAAGGAAAAAUCAGGGUCUACAGUGAUUAAAGCUAGUGUAAGAAAUUCAUUAGCCCCAAUUUAGAGAAAAAGAUGUCAUGGAUAUUAGUUAUAUUAAAUAUAUGAAGCUCAAAGGCACAGCAAGGAAGAACAGGCUUUGCAGUGAUUAAAGUUGUGCAAGAAAUUGGAACAAGUAACCUCAAAAACAUUUGGAUUAGAUCAAAGGAAAUUUUUUUUGCAGUAAAAAAAGAAAAAAGAAAAAAGGAGAAAAGGGGGAUUUAAGUAAGAUUGACCAAAUAGCUGGAGAAAUAAAUAAUAAAGCCUGGAGGAUAUGAAUACACAUUGUACCUCUCCUAAUCCACAGUUACAUUUGUUGCCUAUAGGGCUCUAAACCUUUUACUUUUUUCCAUCUUUAGAGCCAUUUUCACCCUCUUAGUUUCUGCAGUUAUUAUGGUAAAAAAGAACCACCAAAGAUGAGCAUUUCCCUUUCUUUCUAUUAAAUAGGUUAAAGUUUUAAAUUUGGUCCAAGUGAGUUGCAUCACAUUUCCAUACAAGAUCAUAACAUCUAAAUUCCUCUUUCUCCAUUCAAAUGUUGGGACCCCUGACUCGAAAUUAUUAGAGUAGCCUAUUAUCCACUCCAAGUAUAAUAACUUGAUUACAUUUAGUUUAGUUAUGACCUACAUUUCACUUGUCUAAUACUAUUUGUAAUCUCUUUUUGUUAUGUCGUUCACCGUUUUCUACCUCAUCACUCUUUUUUUUUUCGUUAUAAUGUUUACUAUUUGCUAACAUAUUAUAAUAAUCUACAAUCCAACACAUAGGGUAUCACACCCUUGGAGUUGCAAUGAAACGAGCUUAUAUUGUAAUAUAAUCCAAAAUCCAUGUUUGAUUGAGUAAUUUAUGCUCUACUUGUAAUAUCAAAUUCAUUAGGUAAACACGACCAUUUUUUCGUGUUUUUACGCUUCAUGGUCUCAUUUUUGUUUCUCCCUCAAUUCCUCACUCAUUCCAACAUCCCUCGUAUUCGUGAGUACAUUCCAUAUGCACCAAAACACAGAUUAUUAUAUAAUAAUCAAAUCAACACCUCAAACAUCUCCUUAAUGAUACAAUUAACACGUAAGAAAAUAUAGGUAAUGGCAGAGAACUUGUUCGAUAGUUUGGAGACCAAAUUUAUAAGAUAUGCCAAUUAAACCUUUGCACUGUUUUUUGUUAUAGAUAAAAUUAUGGAAGAAGUAACCAACAGUAGAUAGAUAAUAGAACUUGCAACACUUAUUCAAGUAUUGAUCAAAUUGGAAGUUUAGGGUAAAAGUUAGAUACUUAACUUAGAGAAGUUGGAGGGUAAAAAAUUGUUUUUUCAUAUAUAAUUAAAAGAGAGAAAAAGAAAAAAAAAAGUUAGUAAGCAAUGACAAUAUUUUGGUGUGUAAGUAAAUGAAGGGGCAGAGUGUGUAGGGACAUAAGGCAGCGGUAAAGAAUGAAUUAUCAUCUGAGAGUUUCUUCAGAAAAGUACAAAUUGGUAAAAAGGGUGAGAUAGGUCCCUUUCUUUUGGUCUUCCUCCCCUUUUACCCUUCUCUUAAAUCUUCUCAUACCCUAAUUUUAGCCACACAUGUUCUUAAAUUAUAAAUGAUUUUAGAUUAUGAUCUUUUAUGAUCGAAUUCUUUAUCAUCGUGAAAGGUUGAAAUAGUAGAAACUGAGGAGGGUAAUCGUAUAUGUAGAAAUUUAAUGUGUAGUUUUGUUCAAAGGUGACUUAUGAGUCAUCUUUUUCAAGAUAAUUUUGAAGAAACUAAACUCUACAAAUUAGACAUACUCACGUAUUCAAUCAAUGAUCGACUAGUAUAUUUGACGUCAAUCACGUUAGUUAUUGAUUUGGCGAAUGAUGAUAUACUAAAUUACCAUACUUAUUUGUGAACAUAGUCUUUUGUUUUAAAAAAUACUGGUAUUAUUUCAGAAGUUGCAACAUUGUUUUCAACAUUUUAAUAGAUGUUUCUAAACUAAUCUUGAAGUGGAAUAUGUUAUAACUUUGUAAAAUGAAGAAACGAACUUGUAUACAUGAUUAGAAACUAAUGAGAGUGAGGGAGAUCAUUUAAGCAGGUAAAAGUUAAUACAAUUCCACUAUCUAUAACCAUACUUUUGUUUUACUCUUUUUUUCAUUUUUUUUGUAAAUUUAGACUAGUCAAUCUCAUUCCCAAUGCCAUUAUAUUUACAACUGCCUCAAUGAAAAAUAAAAUCUUUGAUUUCCCCCCUCCUUUUAAACACUUUAAAUUUCUCCAAAGUCAAGUGAGAAAAUCUUCUUUUACUAUACACAAUCAUCUUCUUUAUCCCUCAAAUCUAACAAAAAAAAAAAAAAAAUUGACCCAAAAAAGAAAGAAAAAGAAAAAGAAAAGACAAACUUUCAAAUCUUAUAAAUAAUUACAAUUUUCCCUUGGCGUGCUUAAGUAGGACCAAACUUAAAAUCAAAAUAGUGCAUUUUUUUCUUUUGUUAUGUUUGAUUUUAGAGUGUGCUUGACUCAAUGAUUGAAGAAGAACAAAAACAAAAAAAAAGGUUUAAGAAUCACAAUAAUAAUAACCUACAAAUCCCUAAUGCAGUCUUUGUGUUUAUUCAAAAGAGCACACCACACCACACCACUUUUGUUUUCCCAUCUUUUCACAUUUAUACGAAGUGAAUCCCAAAAGGGGUUUCUUUCUUCUCCCCUCAAAGGAGAGAGCAAGAGAGGGAGUUUAGGUUGUUGUCAAUUCGGGAGAUUUUAGAAAAUUCAAAUAAUCUUCUUUUUUUCUUUUUCUUUCCUAAGUUGAUUACAAGUUACAUGUCGUGUUUAUUCAAGAAAUCUCAAGUCUAGGUUAUGUUUGAGAAAUGAGUUUUAAUAUACUUUUAUAAUUAAAAAAAGUAGGUCGAACUACUUGAUUGAAUAUUAUAAAAAAAUGAUAAAUGCAUUGAUAUAAUCGAUUUUUUUUUAAAAGUACUUUCAAUGGUUUUGUUAUUUACCAUCAUUUUUAAAUCUAAAUAAUAAUAGAGUGAAAAUAUAAAUGUAAAAUUAUGUUUUGGUCUAAAAAUUCUUAAACAUAUAGUUAUUUUGUAUGAGAAGAUGAAGUUAGAGUAAUAAUUGAUAUUAAUCGGUGAGAAUAUUGAGAAAAUGUGAUGGGUAAAUGAAAGGUAUAAUAAUAACAAUUCCCUUAGUCAUUGAUUGACAUAAUAAUCAUUUUUAUGGAUCCACCACCUAACCUAUAAUACAUAAAAGCAUUCCUUAAGGUCAAACAAAUCCUCCUUCCCACCACACUUUCUUUUAACCCCUAAACCCUUUUUAUCAUUCAAAUUCUAUGCCCUUACCCUUUUCUUUUUCAUUUCAUGAUAUAAAUCUCUUGCUUUCCUAUCUACAAUCUUUCACCUAUAUUUUUUAAAACUAAACCAAAAUUUAAAAAUUAAAUAAUUGAUGUAAAAAACUUAUUUUUGAAAUUUAGAAUUUAACUAAGAAUGCAACUUUUUAAGAAAUUUGUAAAAUGUAGUAAAAUUUCAAAUUUUAUAAUAGACGUUGAUAUGCUUCAAUAAAAUUAAUAAACAGGUAAUAAAAGUUUUUUAUUUUAUUUUAUAAAUUUUUUAUUUUAUUUUACUAUAGUUAAAAUAAAAUAAAUAGAAAGCAUCAGAGGAAAAAGGAAAGAAAAUGGUGGUUUAAUUUUGAAUGGGGUAAAGUUAAGUUAAAUCCUUCGGUCUUAAAAUCUAAUAUUUCCUAUUGAGAUGGGGCCAUUAUGGGCCCUACGAAAUCUAAUCCUAAUAAAGUCCUAUGGGCCUUUCCCCCAUAGCAGUGGCCCAUUAUGGGCCCAUCUCGGAACUUGAACCAUAAACGGCGUUUUCUCCAAUUAGGUACGGGCGUUACCAUGGGAUGGGCAUGCUACAUGCUUCCAAAUCGAAGACUUUCAAAUACAUUACGUGGCCUCAUGUGGUUGGACUGUCAGCUUUGCUGUUGAUGAACGUUUUGGUUUUUAGUCGGACACACGUCACGGGAUUUUGGCUCCCGAUGACACGUGGAGCCCAGCGUCAGUGUACACGUUACAUUCCUUGUUUUGCUUGUUUUGCCCACAUUUCUUCAUUUUACCCCUCCCAAUAAAUAAAUAAAUAAAUACUCUCUUGAAUUUAAAAUACAUUACAUUUACAAUAUUAUUUUUCGUGAAAUUUCAUUUCGUUACUUUAUGUAUUAUUAGUCUCUCCUAUAAUAUGUACAUUAAAUUUCUAACGUCUUUAUACUUAUAAUGUCUAAUUAAUACCAAGAUGUUUUUCAUAUUUUUGUUUACCUAUUAAAAUUACCAAAUUUAAACCUUACAUUUACAUUAUUGGAAUCAGCUUAGACUCUCCUUACAGCUAUUAAUAUAAUGAUUUUCAAGAAUUUAAUAGUAUUACAUAUUGAUUUUCAAAGAAUGCAAUGACAGCUUUUAAAUGUUAUAUGUUUUCAUGGUAUUGUUUUUUCAUUCUUCCUUACUGAUUCACAUAAUUAUUUUCUCCAAGGUAGAACAAUGCUCUGAUACCAUUAAAGAUCCGAUGCAAUAGAACUAUAAGUUAAUUAGAAUUUAUUAGUUACUUUAUCAAUUAAUAAAUCAUGAUUAUAUACCUUCAUCAAAAUAAACUAUCAAAUUACCCAUUUUACAAUAUUUAAUUAAUAUUAUUACUUAAUUGUUAAAUAAUUUGUUUUUCUCAAAAUUUUCAACUAUUUUAAUUGUUUAUCAAUUAAUAUAUUAAAACUUUAUGAUAGAGGUAGAUUUAAAAAAAGAAACCUCUUCCCAUGAAACUCGAAACAUAAUUCCCAAAAAUCUCAUUCUCAGUCUUCAUCUUCGAUUCAAAUGACCCCUUGAUGCCAUAACACUCCUAUUAUUCAAUUCAUACCAAGUUCUAGACACAGACUCGUGUGCUUUGUUCAAUCUUUAAUUACUUCAAAUAUAAAAUCCCACAAAAUUUCAGACUAACCCCAUGGAAUUGCCAGAUAAGAAAAUGAUAGAUCAAAAGAAAUAUCAUCUUUGAUCGUUGAAAAACCUUUCGAACUGACCGAAAAAGAACAGAAAAUUGAAGAGGAGAAGAAAUGGGAGAGGAAUGGAAUGAGUGUUCACAAACAAUUUUCAUCCCUUAGGUAAGGUAUAUUUGAACUUUUUAUUAAAGGUUAUCAUCGCCAGAUUUCAAUAAGCUACAAAUGAUAAGGUAUAUCUAAAAAUUGUCAAGACAUAAGGGUCAAAACAAUUUUUUCUUUUUAAUAUCAGAGACCAAUUCAAAAACCACCAACAAAAAACAUGUCUUAUACAAGUAUCAAAAUAAUAUAUUAUUAUAGAAGUUAGCUUUCUUUUUUUUAUUUGAACAAUACCAACCCAGCAAGAAAGAAUACUUCUCUUCCUCAAGACAACUCUUACACACCUACCAAACUGUUGUUUGAGGAUGCUGCCUUAGUAACUCUCAAAACACCAACUCUUUACCUAUACUUUCCUCAACUAAAAGUUAGGUUCCAAUAUAGCAGUUGUCUUCUCAAAGGACCCCUACACCAGAAAACUGCCAAACUCAUCAAUCCACCAAACAAAUCGAAACUGAUGAAGCCGUAAGAAUUGAAAUCAAACCCACAGACUAAUCUUCUGUUUUAUAUCUCAUCAAACCAGACCAACAAGAUUCCCUCACUUCCAUUGGUUCCAUGGUUCCUUCUGAAUCUCUGAUUCCAAUGAAAGAGUCUUUUCUGUAAUCCUCCAUCUAAAUCAUUACCAAAAAUCUCAGUGACAAAGAAAUACAACUACUUCAUGUCUCUUUUGAAAAAGAAAUCUACAAGUUACUCUAUAAACUUUUAAAAAGCGUAUAGCUAUAUCUCAUAUAACCGAAGGCAUCCAGAGAAUGUGCACUUGCGAAAGUGACAGUAGAAACAUGCUAAAAAUUCCCCUACUUGGACCAAAUAAAUCUAGCGCUAUUACUAAUAUUUAUAACUAGUAACCAGGAGUAGGAACUUCGCCCCCUACGCCCUAUAGCAUCCACACCUGUCCCAGGACUCGAACACGGGAGACAUCAAGGGCUUUUGGUAUUAAGCUCAAUUGAGAACUUGGAUUUGAGACCUCAAAAUCAGGAUGGAGUUAUACGUAACACACAUAAAAACUACGAUUUGUUGAUUGAACAAAAAUGGAAUAGCCUGAACUAGUCCACAACAUUAACCAUGUAUCCUGUAGUCUUCGGUAUUGGAUAGUUUUCUAUUAUAAUUUAGCUCCUAAUUGCAGUCUACCAACACAACUGUUAGAAAACAGUAGCAUAGCCUGAGAAGAAUAUUUCAAAAUUCCAGUUUCUACCACGUGUUGCAUGGUCUUUUAUCUUACAGAUUGAUGUUCGGCAACAUAAUUUCAAAAUCAAUCCAAUCAAAAUUUUGAUGCCAAACCUUUUCGAGAAAAGUUCCUCUUAUCUCAUCAAGGGUGGAAAUAAUCAAGAGUUACUGUUUGUCUCAUUAAGAACAGUUUGCUUCUUGCUAAACACGAGAUAAAAGGUACAAAACCAAUGAUUCAGCAAAUAGAAGAACAAGCUAAGAAUAUAACUCAGAUCAUCAAUCUCCCUAACAUUACAAUAGACACUACUAAUAGGAAUCUAAAUCUAUUAUCAAUCUGAACCCCUCUACAAUGAUUAAGCAAAUAGAAGAAUAAGCCAAGAUCUCAGCCCAAUAAGUAGGAAUCUAAAUCUAAUCACACCGACUCUAAUAUAAAGGCACAUAACAGGUUAACCAAGUAUGGACUAUGGAGAGCUCUUGAAUUUAAAUAUGAACACUGGUUAGCAGCCAGUUGAAUACAAACGCCAAUAAAGCAAUUUAUUUCUAGCAAUAUACAUCAUCAUUACAAGCAUAAGAUGUGAAAAACAAUAGUCAAGCAAGUAAUUAACUUGAUGCAGUAUUCAUCAUGUGCAUCACAAGAGCUCACAUAUUCUUUAAAAUAACCGAAUCAUAUUAAGAAGGAAAAAAAAAAAAAAACUGAGCCUAACAACAUAUUUAAGUAGUAAAUACUUGAUAGCAGAUAUUGUAAAGAUACGAAGUUGCAAGUGCUCUAGCUCCAUCUCUGAGACUGGUUUCUAAAAGACUAUAUUAAUGGGAUUAUGCACCUUGCUCUACUAAAGAACCUUCAAGCAUUUAAAUGUAAACCUUGUGUUUUCCAUCAUUUUCUAAUGCAGUAGGAGGUACCUCUCUUCUUUUCUUCCGCUUAAGGAUGACUGCAUUUAUUUUCCACAUUUCUAUUGCAAUAUCUCUUAUCAAAUAACCCAAAAAGGAGAAAAAAAAUCUUCUUCACCCGAGAAACUCUGAUUUUGAUCAAUAUAAAGCUGGGAGAACUGCAUCCAUUCCCACCCAAGUUCAAAUUUUGCUAUUUACAGCAAUAAAUAAGCCUAUCCCUCAAAGUCCCAAUCCCAGCUAGAACUUCUUCAAGUAAUUAACUUUCCUAACCAACCAAAUUCCCAAAUCACCAGCUGAUUGUUCCGCUGUUAACCUCCAUAGACCAUGUACGCCGUCGCCUUGGCUCGCUAUUGAAAUGCGGAAGUGGUCUACUACUCCUUGAAGGACCAGAAUCACUUGUGGAGUUUGAAGUAGAUGCAAUUGACCUCAUUGAUCCGCCAAAGCAAGCAAACAUAUUGCGAAUCAUUUGGCCCCACCUGCCUCUCUCCCUACCCCUGCCUCUAGAAGCAAAUGAUACUCUUCUAGGAAGACCACCAUUAGUAAAACCGCCAUCCACUUCAGUGUAAACAACCGGGAGCUCUCUCUCCCCCCCUCUCCUGCCACCAUGAAACCGCCCUACCGCAAACCCCCCACCCGGUAACCUCCAAAUGGUUAAGCCAACAUUCUCCUCCCCAUUCGAGGUCACAGAUCCCCCAUUUUCGCCACUUUCAGCAGCAUCCAGAGAGUUCUGAUUAUCAGAUGGUAAUUCGUGACGACAAACUGGACAAGAAUUUCGAAUGGAAAGCCACGGUAAAAUACAAUCACAAUGAUAAAUAUGCUUACAGGGCAUCUCCCGUGCUUCGGUUCCCAAUUCGAAUGCUUCUUUACAAACAGCACAGUGUGACUCAGUUGCCAAAUAAUUUUCACAGAUUUGAAUAGUGGGCAUUGAUUCAAUAGCAGCCUUCGACGCCGGCGGAUUCUCAAACCGCCCAAUACCGUUCAUUUCAAUCUGAGAAAGUUGUUCCAGAAGCCUAUCAAACCCGGACCCCAACAAAAACUCGGACAUACUCGGUGGGAGAGGUCUCAGGCCAGAACCACCACCAUCAUCAUAAUAAAGCUCAAACCGACGACUUUCUCCAGCUUCACUCCCAUCAGACGGCCCACGAAGAACAAUCACAGGAUUAAAAGGCGAGCGAUCCCCUCCAUUCCUCCGAGAUCUUCUCAGCCCAGAUCCCAAAUUCUGCCCCGAAUUCGAGCGGUUGCCGAUCAUAUACAUCGCCGCAGCCGGAAAUCUCCUCCGCGGCGCAGCUUCCACGUUCACCAACCUCGAGGGAUGUUCGAUCUGUUCAACGAAUCCACUAUUACAAUCAGGGCACACAACUGAAUCCUGAUUAGAAACCCUAACAAAGUGACUGCAACGGUGACACCAGUAGGAAGACGCCGCCGCCAUCGACGACAUCAACAAAACUCAAUCAAACCAAUCACCAACCCCACAAAUCAAAGAUCCCACAAACUUUCAAUCCUACCAGGACCAGAAAACAACAGAAACGAACAACCCCAGAAACAAAAACAAAACGCAACGCCCCCCCCACGAUCAAAAUGUCGGCCACGAACCCCAAAAAGAAAAAUGAAGUCAAAUUAAAAACAAAACAAAAAAAAAAGGAGAAAAAGAAGAAGAAGAAGAAGAAGAAGAAGAAGAAGAAGAAGAAGGUUGAAUUGAAUUAGGAGAGUGUGAAUUGGGAAAUGGGGGAUUCGAUUAAAGAACCCUAGAAACAGUGGGGCCAACGAAAUUGGGGGUGGAAAAGGUUUGAAAGGGCAGAGGAUUUGAUUUUGGGAAUUUUGUAAAGAAAACAGAAAAUGGAACGAAGAGAAAAAUUGGCUUUAAACGGUAAAACCGCGUCGUCUUCGUUACUGUUAGCGUCUUAGCAACGCCUUUUUCAGUUUGGGGACACGUGGUCCCAAUCUUCUUCGUUCAAUUUAACGGCGUUACGAGAUCUCCAAGAUGCUGUGUACUUCCCCCGACUGACUACCCGUUUGCCGCUUCAUAGUUUAACUUUUCAACGCUUCCACCACCAACUCUUUUAUUCCCUUCCUUUUUAUCCAUCUCUUUUUUUUAAAAAAAUAAAAUUCAAUUAACAUUUUUCUGUUUUUUAUAAUAUGAUCUAAAAUCAUUUUGGAUGUUGUUUAUAUUUAUAAUUAUUAUACUUUAUACUCUUCACUAUUAAUUUUAUAAACUUUGUUCUUCCUAAAUAUGUUUUUCAAAGUUUGUUUAACCAUAAUUUUUUCAUAGUUUUUUAAAGCUAUAAUUAUGCUUAUAUCAAACAUUUGAUUGCAGCUCUGUUUUUUAAUAUAAAAAUUAGUGUCGACGAAUUCUCUAAAAAUAAAGUUGAUGUUAAUUAAUUAUCAUUAGCAUACUCUUGUGUUUUUUUUAGUAUAUGUGUUUAAUCUAUCAUGUAAUUCUUAAACAACAUGAUGCUUAGUUGAUUUAGUUAGCGAUUAAAUUUUACAAUGAGAGUUAAAAUUAAACUCUUAUUCAGCCAAUACUCUUUCAAAAAAAAUAUAAAUCAAAUAAAUAUUUUUAUUUGAGUGAGUUUCAAUUAGCAGGUACCCAUUUGUUAUAGUUAAGUUUUAUUGUUGAUUUUAAUUAAAAUGUUUAGAAAUUUAUUAUAAUUUUUUAAAAGUAUAUGUGAACUGCCACGUGAAUAUAGUUCAAAAGUAUGAAACAAUAUUAUAACUUCAAACCAAUAAUUAUAAAGUUUGAAUUAUAUUUGAAGUCCAAAAAUAACAUUCAAACGUUAAUUGUGUUUGUUCUCCAACUUUCUGAAAUCAAUGAGUUUAGUUUUUAUAAUUAUUUUGUAUAUAUAUAAUAUACAUGCAUGUUUUGUUCAUUAAGUAGUUAAAUAAUUUAAUGUAGCAUCAAUUAAAUCUUGGAUCUCAAUAUGGAUCCAUUUUUAUGUUAAAAAAUUAAAUACAUUUUUUUUUAUGAAAAUAAUAUAUUUAAAUGUUGGAUAUAUGUAGAUUUUAUUUAAAAAAGUUAAAAUUUUUUAACUAUUUUUUUAAGUCAAUCCAAACGAAAUGUGAGAGACUCAAACUACAGUGCAGUUCCAUUUGUUCUUUUAGUUAAAAGGCAUGAAUUUCUCUUUCUAAAAUUUUAAAUAACCCAUGAACUCAUACACAUGAAUUUCACUAUUUAACUCUUGUCUAUAUGUGGUAGCACAAUCUUCAAUCACAAGCCCUAAUAAUCUCUCCUCCCUUCAUCGCUCAAUCGCCCUACUUCCAGGUUUGUCCAUUCUAGGUUUUCUUCAGUUACGCUUGCUAGAGUCUCAAUUGUGUAUAUAUAUAUGGUUCAAUAUAUACCUUUCAUAGUUUCGAAAUAAACCUUAUGCCAUUUUAUCUGAUUUCAUAAGCAUGAUUUACUUCUUCUUGUGAAAUAUGAUCAUGAUUUUGAUAAAGUUUUUCUAUUAACGAUUUUAGGAGUAUUUACUGUGUUUGUUCAUAUCCUAAUUUUAUUAUGGACAUCUAUGUGGAAAUUAUUUGUUUUAAUUUUGAAAUUAGUUACUUGAAAUGUUUGGAAUGAAUGUAUGAUCUUGUGUUAGAUUUGGAUACAAAGACAUUGUGAGGAAUUGAAAGUGUUAAUUGUUUUAGCUUUCUUUCUUGGCUAACCUACUAUCACUUGACUUGAUUAGGUGGGAUUCAAGUACGAAUGUUAGCGAGUUUGAUGGUCAUUCUAGGCGGGUUUUAAAGUUGUGCAUUUAACCAACAAGACUCUUUCGCAUUUUCACCUGCAGAGAGGAUUUCCUAGUGAAUUUUUAUGAAGGACCAUCAUUUGGAUUUAAGCUAUCUCUCAUGUUUGUUGAUUGUUAUUCUUUCUAAAGGUAGGUUGUCUCUACUUUCCUGCCACAUCGAUUGAUGACAUUAUAACGAACUUCAAUUGCAUUGAGUUAUUGGAGUCUGUUACUUUCGAAACUUAGUGCUAAUUCUUCAAACUUUAUACAAAUCUUAUUGCUAUUAAGGUAUUAUACAAAUCUUUAUCUUUGUCUCAUACUUUGAAGAACAUAAAUGAAUAAUUAAUCUCUCUUUAUACUUCCAAGCUUAUUUUCUUGUAAUUAGAGAUAUUAUAGUAGUGGAUAUAUUAAUGCUUUAAGCUUUUCAUUUUUAUUUUCUAUGCAUUGUCUCUUUGGACUAGCAAAUAAGUACAGUAAUGUAUGAUAAAAUGAUGCUUCCAAUUGCAAUGAGAUAAAAAUAUUCUUCUUACAAUUAAGAGUUGUCAUGUCAACUUUGUGUUUCUCAACUAUCUCAUGGGACAAUAACAUAACCCUUACUACAUUUAGUUGCCAACAAAACUUAUAUCAACUUUCUUGAGAUUGCACUCAUUUAGCUUUUCAACUUUUCAACUAUCCUUGUAUUUUGAGCACUAGUCUCAUUCAUUUUAUCAAUGAAAAUUUUGUGUCAUCAUAUAUGAAAUUAACAAGCCUGCAUCCAACUGUCCAACAAUAAAGGGAGCUCAUUUGUUUCAAACUUGAUUGGAAAUGUUCUAAUUUAAGCUAUGGUUGUUAUUCUCUUCUGUUGUGUGGAUUUUUCAUUGUGCAUCAUUCAUUGGUUGAGUAUACCCAUUAGUGCUUUCUUGUAUUACACCAUUUUUUAUGGAGCUUGGCUAAUAAUAUAGCAUGCCAUGUUAGAAUAAAUAUGGGGAGCUGCUUGUGCAUGAGUUCUUCAAACUUUCAUUAAUUUUGUUAUUUUAACAUGUUUGACAUAAUCACAUUAACAAUAAAUAUCCAACUUAAAAGAAUUGGAUGUCAAUUUUGUGUUGUCAAACUACUUCUUAGGUUUGCAUAAGUGUAAUGAAUCCUGGAUAAAGAUAUAUUUUGUUCUUUGUUUGUAGCUCAAACCUUAUGUAUCUCAAUGCCUCAUAGAACUUAAGACAAAUGACAACAAUGAAUCAACUAAAUCAUAAACGAAGAGGUAUAACAUCUUGUAAUGCUCUUUGUUUUUUUCCCCUCAAAUUAAUUGAUUUAGCACAAUUGAUGUAUAGUGGUAUUCGAUUCAAAUCCUAAGUUUUCUUUUACUUCAGUUUUGAGUAAUUAUUAAGUCAAGUGGGCCUUAAUUAGCUUUAAUUAGAAUAGCAGUGAAGUCAACUUAGAGCAAUUGAUUGAUAUAAGACUUUUUGUAUGGUUGGUAGUAAAAUCUUGAUUCCAAUGUACUUAUUUUAGGCUUAUUGGUAGCUAAAGAUGUCAAUGUUUAUUCUUUUUGUAUGUAAACUACUCUUUAACAAAAAAAAAAAAAAAAAGGUUAUAAGUUAAUUCUAGUGUAUGAAUAUUACAAAGUGUAUCAUAACAUAUAUAUAUUAGAACAACUUGUGUAAUGUAUAUAUAAAGUGUUGACUUGUUUUCAUACGAGUGUAAUGUAUUAGAACAACUUAUAUAACAUAUAUAUAAAGUGUUGACUCUCUGUUUUCAUAUGGGUGUGAUGUAUUAGAACAACUUUGUGAUUGAAUUGGUUAGUGUAAUGACAGAGCGGCAAGAAGAAAAAAACAUGUAUUUUAUUGUAAAAAAAAUGUAGUAAUUGAGAAAGAUAUGACAUAAAAAAAUGUCAUAGUAAAAAAUGUCAUAAUAUAUGAAUUCGUGACACUUUGUAACUGUCAUCAAUAUCGAAAUAAUGACAUUUUAAUUUUAUAAAAACUGUUACGAAUGACAUAUCCUCAACAGAAAAAAAAGUCAUAAUAUACGAAUUUGUGACAUUUUGUAACUAUCGUUAAUAUUGAAAAAAAAUGACAUUUAAUUUUAUAAAAAUGGUCACCAUUGACAUAUCCUUGACAGAAAAAAAAAAAUGUCAUAAUAUACGAAUUCGUGACAUUUUAUAACUGUCGUCAAUAUGCAAAAGAUGACAGUCAUUCGUUGUCAUGAAAAUAAAUAAUAGUAGUUAUUUGUUGUCAUAAAAUAUUAAAUAAUGACGUUUAUUUUCUGUUAUGAAAACACUUAUUGUGACAAAUUUUUAAAACUGUCUUCGAUGGUUUGUCCACAACAGGUGAUUCUAUGACUGUAAAUAAUUGUCACGAAAUUUUAUUUACGACAGAAAAUAACUGACGUCAUAGACCAUUUUUCUUGUAGUGCUGAUUCUUAACACGUGACAUUUGUGUUUCAUUUUUAUUUUAUUGCCUAACUUGAUAUUUUCUUUGUAAAAACAUUUUAUUUUUGUUUGUUAAGUAUCUUCAUUUUCAAUUGAUUAAUUUUCCUCCCGAUUGUUGUUUAAGAUUAAACUUAUAAAUAGUUCUUAAAAUGUAAUAUUAUAAUGAUUGUUAGACAAUUCUACUUUGCAAUCACUUGAAAAUUAAAUUAAAUAUACUACAUUGGUUUACCAUGCUAAAUUCUAGAAACUUUGAAGGAAGAGAGUUGAUGAAUGAAUUAAAAAACACAAAUUAAGAUAAUGUGGCAAACCCAAAGCUUUCUUCUUAUAUACAUAUGCAUAGAUAUUCUUAAAAAUGUCAAUUGAUGAGAUAAUUCAUCUAGAAAAGUAUAAAAAAGAAAAGAAAAAAAAAAGAAAUAAACAACCCACGAUCGGAAACAUGCAAUGAAACAGAGAUAUUCCUUCUUAUUUGGAAGACUAUCCCAACUGUGCGCAAAUUGGAGAUAGAAAAUGGAGUUUUAUAGUCAUCAAUAUUUAAGAAUCUCUAAAGACUCAUUCAUUGUAUUUUGUGUAAAAAUCAAUAACUAAAUGUAUUGUUAAUUUUUUUCAUUUAGAAGAUUAACUUUUUGAUUUCAUUAGCUAUAAAAUUGUUCAUUAGUUACCAUUAACAUAAUUAGUUGAGUAAGACAAAUAAAUUAUUCAUUAUUUACAUUUUAGAAGUUUGAAAGACUUUUCAUUUGAUUGAGUUAUUAGAAGUUGGAAAGACUUUCAGUUUUGUUAAGCUAUUAGUUAUUCAGAAGUUACGAUUAGCCUAAUUAAUUCAUAACAUUAUCUCAUUUCUUCCUCAAUUAACAAAAAUUAAAAUAAGAGAUAGUAUGUAAAGAGUAUACUAAACCUAUAUUAAAUUUGAUGCUAAUCUUACAUAUUCUAAUAAAACUUUUGUUACAAUCUUAAUCCAUAUUGUAAAAUGGCUUAUAAUUAAUCAAAAAACAUAUGAAAAGUACAGUUUACGAAUUUUUCAAAAAAAGUGGAAACACUUCUCUAAGCUAAAAAAAUCAAAAUUGAUACAACUGCUUAAGUUUCAAAAUUGUUUCUUAUUCUCUAUUUCAUUUAUUAGCAACACAAAUAAAUUAUCCUUCCAAUCUCUGUCUCUCAUUUUAUUUUAGACUAAAAUACCAUUUUAAUUUUCAUAUUUGGAAAGUAAUUUUCUAUUGACAUACUUGAAUAAAUACCUAUCACACUUUAAUAAUAUCUCAUAGAUGUUUACUUAGUCCAUCAGAAUCUACCCGUAAAACUUUAUUAUAUUUUAAAAUAUUUUAUGCAAUUUUGAUAUAUUUAAAAACUAAAAUUUUUACGAAAUUAAAAAUGAGUAAAAGUAUAUGGAGAGAAAAGAAGCAAAGUUGAAUAUACAAAAGCAACGUAAUAUUUCAAUAUUGUGAUGGAUUUUAGGCUUAUUAUUGGAUAUUAAUAGAAAGAGUGUAUUUGAAUAACAUUUUCUAUUUCUAAUUUAUGUCCUAAAUAAUUGUCCCUUUUUAGUUUAUCAUCAUUUAUAACCCUAAACCCUAAGAAUGGUACAUUAAUUAAUAUGUAAAUAUUGAAGAAUGUGGUACUAAAAAAGCAAUAAUUCUCAAAGUUAUCACUUUCAAGCUUAAAUAAUUUAUUACAUUCAAAGGCUACAAUUAUGGCUUUGACUAACAAAGUAGUUCUCAUAAGAAUAUAUCUUCUUCUUUUUUUUUCUUCUUAUUCUAAUUUCCAAAGUUAGGUCACUUCUUUCUAUUUUCUCUCUUUCUAUGUUCAAUAUUCCUUCAAUUAAAAAGAAGAAAAAGGAAAAUCACUUUGGAACCUUGCAAAAGUAAAUUACUUGAUUCUUAUUAAAGAUGGUUGAAUAUUCCUUUGUUUUAAGAUAUAUGUUUGAAAAUCUCAAUUAAUGGUGACUCUAUUUAUAGUAAAUUGUACAAGAUAUUAUUCUCUUUAAUUUUGUAGUUGCUUUUAAUUCCUCACUACUCACUACUUUAAUGGAGAAUUUGUGCACAUUUUCAUGACAACACACCUUUUCAAUUCUCUUCAAUAUUCAGAUUUCAAUUUCCCAACUUUCAUUUAACAAUUUCAUAUUUGCUUUAUUAAAGAAAAAUCUCUUCAAAUCCUCUUUUUCCUUUUUAGUAUUUUAAUUUUUGUUUCAUACAUUUUGAAAAGACAAGCUCAAAAGUUAAAUUGUUAUAAAAUUAUGAACCAAAUUACUUCAACCACUAAAUUGUUACUUAUAAGUAAAAAACUUAAGAUACUAAGACUGAUUUUUAACAAUAAAUAUAUAAUAUAUACAGACGUAUCUAUAAUUUCAAAAGUUUUAAUUUAUAUAAUAUCCAAUUUCAUAUUAUUUCGUGGAUUGGGUGGAUAUAAUUCUAAACAUUCUAAUUAGGUGCUCUUAUUAAUUGUUCAACCUUAGUAUUAAUUUAGGUCCUUUUGGUUUAAUUAAGCUUCACAAGUUAUACCCUAAAUUGUAAUGUUUUCAACUAAAAAAAUCAAAUUUACUUUCCUUUUUAUCUUUGUUCAUUUAUAAACUCUAAUAUAUAUAUUUAACCAACACUAUUAUCCAUAAAUAAAAACUGCCCCAAUACCAUUAAAAUGGUAAUAUAAAAGUUUUGUUAAAUUUUAGACACCAAACAAAUGUAUUUUUUAGAGAAAAAAACUUAAUACAACUAAAAAUAAAUAACCCUAGACCAUAAGUAUAUGAAAUAAUAAAUUUAAAACAUAAGCAUCAUAUAUUUAAAUUUGCCAAAAUUUGAAGGGACUAAAUCCAUAGUUUCAAAUUUGUUUUUUAAUUUUAAUUUUUGUGAAUUUUACCCCUCAAUUUAAAUGAAGCAACAGCUAUCCUGACUAAACCAUAUGGUAAAUUAGGUAUUUGAUUCUUCUCUCAACAUUCCACAUAUAAUUGUGAUAGACUUGAAGAUCAUGACUUUUUUAUUGCACAUUUAACAAUUUUCUUCUUGAAUCAUACAAAGAAGUAUGCUCAAACUUUCCAUUAAAUUAAAACAUUAGUUUCUUUUGCAUUUCAUUAGAUUUAUCCAACCAAAUAUUUAUGCUUUCUAUCGUAGUCUCAUAACUUAACAAUAAUAAAUAAUGUAGAAUCUUUUUAUAUACAUCAAUGUAAGUAUAAUUCCAUUUAAUUAUCAAUACAUUAUAAAUUUAAAAUCAAAACAUAUGAUUAUUUAAAUUCUACAUUUCCACAAAAUUUAUUAUACAUUUCCACAAAAUUCAAAACAAAAGAAUCUAAAUUCCAAUUAAGAAAAACAACAAAUUUGCAAAAAAUAAGUAAUGAACAAACGAAACAAAACCAAACCUAAGAAAAGCAAAUAGAUAUGAUCUAAAUAAGGUGAAUAAAGGGUUUUAAUUUGGCAACCACCUUCUUGAGUUGAUCAACCAACGAAACAUACGACACCGUUCCGUCGUUCCCCGCCAGAACCCUAUACUUAUCUUUUCUAGUAAAAUUCGUACAUUCAAAUCCCAAACUUGCCGCCAACAUCCUCUGCACGUGAUUCGCCACCUCAUGCGGGUUUUUCCCGGCCGAGCAUGUUGCCUCCACCGGCAACUGGUUCAAGAACGUCACCUCAUACACCGGUCGUGGGUUCAUGAAGAAGAAAACCGGGUCCAACCCCUUCCAUCCUCGUGCCGUAGUUGCAUGGAAAAACCCAACUCGGUAAUUCAUAGCCACCGGUACAAUUCUAUCCGUUAGUUCCGCAAAUAGCGCGCUGAAUCUCAAGAGGAACGGUUCCCGACAUGUCGUUCCCUCGGGGCAAACGACUAGGUCUCCUUUGGAUAACUCUCUUUUGAUCUUCUCCGCGUCGACAUGUCGGAUUCGGGUUAAUCGCACGGUGGGGAUUGGGGAAAGGAUUUCGGUUAGGCGGGAGAUGGAGUAGGUGACGGCGGGGACUUUGCGGCGGAGUACGGUGGCGAGGACGACGGGAUCCAUUAAGGUGCGGUGGGUGCAGACGAAGAGUACACCAGAGGUGGAGUUGCCUGAGAGGGGCGGCGGGGGGUGGCCUCUGACGAUGACUUUUCCGCCGAAAAGGCGAGUGACGUAAGGGAUGGCCCACAUUGGUAGAAUUAUGCCGAUGGUGAUUCGGAGGAUGGCGAGGAUUAUGCCGAGUGGGACCCAUAGGAUGAUUAGCAAGGCGGUGGCCGGAGUUGGGCGGUUGACGAGGCGACCGUCGUGGAAAAUGACCGGUGACGGUCGGAGAUCUUGGUGACGUGGAGUGUGGUCACGAACUUGGGCGAUUGUUAAUGGUGAGUGCAUCUGUUCCUGCGAUUUUAAAAGGAGUAAAGUAGCCAAAGAAAAGUGUUAACUUUUAGUACUAUCUAAGUAUAUAUAGCUACCAAUUUGCAAUAUCUUUUGUCUAAACCUUACAGUUAAUUAAAACAAAGCUUAGUUGGAAAUCCUAUUUACUCAAAAAAAAAAAAAAAAAAACAUGUAACAUUUAGUCUUGUUAGAGCAUGCAAAAAAUCGUCAAACUAACCUCACAAAGAUCCAAAAUGGAAGAACAUGAUGAAGGUCUUCCUAAACCCAUAGUAGGCUGUCUUCCACCAUUACCCAAGUCAAAAACCUCACAAAUCUCAUCAACAGCAGAACCAAAUCCUCCCUCCAUAAGCCCCGUCGCAAACCCGAAUCGAUUAAACCCGAGCUCGCACCCAAUGACCUCGUCAGCAAGUAAAUGCUCCUUUACAAACAUCUCUACCAUAACCCUUGGCAACUUGGUCACCACCACUCGUUUGUUAAACCCGCUUGUCACUUUCCAAACAUUUAUAUUCAAAUCAUCCAUAAAAAACUUCGGUAAAACUGCUCUCGAAACCGACUCGAUCUCUGCCUUUCGAACACCAAACACUGCCACGAACGUUGCCAAUCUCAGCCCUAACUCUUCCAUCCCCGCUGCCUCAAGAAGACGUAUGAGUGGCCACGAGAAGAGCAAUAACGCAAAACGGAUGAGACCGGAGGCCUCGAAAGCCAUCAACAUGAAGUAGGAGAAUACAUCAGAGCUCUUCAACAAAGUGCCUUCUAGCUCUGCAAUUACAGACUCCAUUUUUCCUUUGUUUUCUUGUUUUCCUUAAUUUGGGUUUGUGAAAGAUUAUUAUAUCUAAUUUUUUGGAUUAUAAAUUGUAAUUGGGUUUUGGUUUCUUGCUUUGGAUUGGAAAUGAAAGAAGGGUUUAUAAAAUGGGAUUGGUGUCUUCUUUUGACUGUUUUAUGAUUUUAAUACUUAUUUUAAUUUUAAUUUAUUUGCAAGUGGGAAUUUUGGCAGUUUAUCAGUUUACAACUACCAACUCUCCUUUUAUGCUAUUUCUUCCAAAUCUCACCCAUAUUUCUUUCUCUCUAACUUUGUAAACAAAAAUUAAUCUAACUCAAUAAAUAGAUUUACAUAAUUUGUCUAAAAAAUAAAUUAAAUUACCAAACGUAUUUUUAGAUUUGUGUUUAUUUUGUUCUUUAUUACGACAUCUUUGAAAAUUCAUAAACUUCUAUAAACCAAAUUUAGAGUUUAGAGUUAUUACAAAAACAUAAAAUUUAAUUAUUAAAACAUAAAAUGAUGUAAAAUGUGUAAUUAUGUUUUUUUAAAAAAGAAAAUAAAAAAUAGUAAUGUCAUUGGAAUAUUUAGAAGAAAGAAAAAGAAAAUACGGCACGGAAAAUACAAAAAUAACGUUGGAUGACUAAACCCCAACAACCUGGGGGGAAAUCAGAAUUGGAAUUGUUGUAUGUACACGUGUCAUCAUGUAAAUGGAUGAGCUGGCGUGAGACUUUAGGUUUACUUAACAUGGAAUUAUCCACAUCACCCACAUAUACGUACGUAGGUUAUCUACGUGGAAUUCAUUUAUAUAUUCAAAACCCACCACCUUUUCUUUUCUUUUUUGUUAAAUUUGAUUGUUUCAAAUUUUAUUAGAAAUUUCCAUUCUCAUUCCAUGAAAGUUGUUCAUCUAGCUACAAUAUAUAUAUAUAUAUAUAGUAUUUAUUAUUUAUUUGCUUUUUUUUUUGGGGUUCUUUUGACCUUUUAUAUUACUUUGACUAUUUCAUAAUGAAAUUAGAGAAUUAUUGUAGCUAUUUUCUUAUACUUUCUUAUAGAUGUUAAUACCAAAAUUUGACCAAAAAAGUGUACUUCAUCACUAGAACACUUCUAUGCUAUUUGAGUUAUGCUUGGUUUGAAAAAUAAUUCUUAUUUUUAAGUUGCAUUAUUAAAGUUUAAGAGGUGUGGUAUUAUUAAACUUUUGAUUUUAAAAGACAACUAAUAUUAAAAAUGUAAUGAAAUAAAAUUUACAAAAAAAAAAGAAAAAGAAAAGUACUUUAAAUUAAAAAAGAUUAGUGAUCUCUAAUACUCAUGCAUGUUUGCUCUAUUAUUUGGGAGCAAACUUGAUGGUUUUAUUGUUUAACAAGAAAUCAAACUACUAUAUUAAAAGGUCAAGUUUUCAAUGAAUAAUAAAGCAAACAAUAAGAUCUCAUGAUGAAUUUAAUGUAAUUGCAAUAAUUGAAAAAUGACACAACCAAAGUCAAAACAUUAGUUUUAUUUUACAUUUCAUUAAUUGUUGUCUCUCUAAUAUAUGUUACUUUUAGUCCAAUGUUUUGCCAUUGUUUCAAAGCUGUAUCCAACUUUCAUAUGAUUAUUUCUAGUCAAACUUUUCAGAAAAGAAAAAAAGAAGAAGAGUAAGUUCUACUCCUAAGUGUGAUAUUUGUUCAUUAGAUUUUGAAAGUGUUGCAAUCUUUGUACCAAAUUAACAAAAAUUAAACUAAUUAAAACACUUGGUUUUACGUCUAAAGUUUGAUGUAUUGGACAAAGUCUAUGAUAGGAUACUUCGGAUUUUUUUUUCAUAAUCUCUAUAGUGUAACUAAUGUUUGAUAAAUUAUAGACUAAAACACGAAUUUAGUUUCAAACUUGGAAAAUUGUAUAUCAACUUUUACUCAAGAUAUGAAAUAUGAUCCUUUUUAUGGUUUAUUUACUUUUUUAAUUGUAAAAUUUGUAUGUUUUUUACCACUUAAUCUUUUUAAAAUAUUUUAAAAAUUAGCUAAUUUGAAAACUGAGGUUGUUCAAGAUUGUAUUAAAAUCUAGAUCCAAUUUUGAAAUUUUAAUUUUAAUUAAAAAAUGUAUUUGAUCGUAAAAUUUGAAAAUAUAAUAGUGUAUGGCAAGUUCACAAUUUCUUAAAACAAAGAAUACAACAAAUUAUUGCUUUUGAAAUUAGACUUAAUGGUUAAUUUUUUCAAAAUUUGUUUAAAAUUUAAGUAUAUCAAACACGUUUUUAGACGUUUUCUUUGUAUUUUUUGUUUUCUAAAAUAUAAAAACAAAAAAUAAAUCCCGAACCAAAUUAAACAUAAAAGAAAAGAUAGUUUUUGUUUAAGUAAAAAAAUGGUUAUCUUAUCCAACUUAAUUAUUGCUUUUAAUUUUUCUUAGUAUGUUAGUUCUAGAGUUUUUUCACAAUUUCUACCAUUAUCUAUUAGCUUAAGCUUUUAGAUUAGUCCUAUUUUUUUACUUGUUUAGUUUUUGAAGAAUAUAAUAUCCACCGAUCUUGUUCAACAUUCCUACAUUAGUUUCGUGUAUGUCUUGCAAUCUCCCACAUUCAUACUAUAUUCAACUUUUAUUUCUUUACUAUAUUUCCUUUUAACCAACCUUGUGUAUUUUAAUUUAAUAUAGGAUAUGCCACCUUUUCUCGGGACAAAGUAGUGUGCUGUUUUAGUUGAAAUUUGAGUUAUAACAUUGUUUGUUCAUAGUAAAAACUAUUUUAGUUUGAGAGAAGAUAAUAAUAAACAUUGUACUAAAAAAACGAUAGAUAUAAAAUAGUAAAAUUGGUAACAAAUAGUAGAUACUGUAACAAAUUAUUGAGUUUUGAAAUAGUGUUUACUAUACCUAUAAUUUGAAACUUUUAAAAAGUAUUUACCCUAACAAUAAAUGGUUAUUAUUAUAAAAUUACAUAGUCUUUGCUCUAAAUGCUCCUUGAAUAUUCAAAUUUCUAAAGUCCAAAAACCAUCCAACUAGAACUUUUUGACCUAGUAAAAAGAUUACAUAUGCUCGAAAGUAAAAUCUAACCGCUUAAUUUUGAUGGGUAUGAUUAAAAUACCAUGUUCGUAAAAGAGAGUUGUUUUCCUAUAUAAUUUAAAAACAAAACUUGAUUCUAAAAAGAAAAAGUAGCUAGUUCAUUUAGACUUAAGUUUUAAGAUGUUACAAUUUUACAACUCAAUCUUGUUAGUUCCUCAAUUUUAAUAGAAGUUUUGAGAAGAAUUUUAAACACAUAAGUGAGAAAAAAUUAAAAAAAUUUCCUCAAGGUUUUGGAAAGCUAUUUUUUCUUAAAAUGGGAUUCUUUGGAAAAAUAUAAUUAUUUCUCCAAAUUUUUAUGACUUUCUACGGUAUCACAAUCAAUUAAUUUUUAAUAUGUUUGAAAAAUAUAAAGACAAUAAGAUACAAAUACUAAAUAUAUAUUUUUUAAAAAAAAAUCCUUAACAUUAGGAAUUAAAAAGUAUAUUUAGACAAUAAAAAUAAACAUUUGGAGCCAUGAUGGUAUAUGAGUCAAGUUUUAGAUUUUUAGAUCAUGGUUAAUUGUUGUAUAAAAACUAUUAAAGAUAAUCAAUAAAUAAGAUAUUUAGAUUUUUCACUCAAAACCAAUUAAUAGAAAAUAAAAUUUAUUAAAAUAAAUACAUUUAAGUAGAACUUAAAAUUUAAAUAAAACAAACUCAAAAGUUGAAAAUGUUAAAAUAAAAAUUUAAAAAAUCAUUUAAUAAUUUAAAUUGUAAUAUAAGACAUUAAUAUUGACUUCUAAGAUGGACAUAUAAUAUCUCAAUCAAACAAACUAUAGUUAGGUAGAUACACCAAAAAUAAAAAGAAAUCAACUAUCAAUUUAUACUUUUUAAACUUUCCUAAUUUUAUUAAUUUAAAGUUUAACUAAUAACCAAGUCUAUUUAAAUUCUCAAACUUUUAUAAAUUUAUCGAUCUAUACUAUACUCAAUUUUGUUUCAUUUGAAACAAUAUCGUCUAAACUUAUUAUUUUUAUCGACUAAACCCUUAAAUUUUUAUACGUAAAAUCAAUUUAGAGUCUCAGUUAUUAAUAUAUGAUUUGGUUUUAUAAUUGUCUACAUGUUCAUCGUAGUCAUUCAUUUUGUUGAUGCACAUGAAUAAUUUGCAUACAUAUAUACAAUGUUAACGAUGCUCUAAAUUGAUUCAUCUAUAAAAUUUUACGAAUUUAAUUGAAACAACUAUACAAGUGUAAAUAAAAUUUAGGAGGUAUAUUGGUUAACCCUUAACUAUGGUUGAUUGAGAUGGGCCAAGAACCGAUUUGAGAGAUUUGAGAAACUUGCAAGAAACCCACACCAUAAAAGGUUUGAAUAAGUUUUGGUAAUCUUUUUUGGUAAAACUAUCAAUUGUGUCUAUGUAUGUAUGUAUGUGUAUAUAUAUUUAUAAUUUAUAAUUAUAUGAAAGGUUGGAAGGUUGUUUUGCGUAGGAAGAAAGGUAGGGUUUCCCAAAAUUAGGUGAAGUUGUUAAGAGAAAACGAAGCCUUUCUACCAUUUUCUUACCUUAACACAAAUUCCAAUGAUCUUAUCUUCAUUUUCCUAACAACUUUUUGUCUUUGCUUUCUUCUUUUUCUCAUCAAUUAUCUUAUAGACCAACAUCACAAAUAUUAUUGUGCUAACUCCAAUGUUCAUCCAACCAUAACCUCUAUACAUAUCAACCAUGGAGAAGUUGCUAGAAGAACAAACUUUUUUUUAUCUCAUUUCUUGUUGAACCAAAAAAGAAAAAAAUGAAGAAAAAAUAUUCUUUAGAUUUGGAUGAAUACGUGCGUUUAGUUCUUGAGUUUAUUUUUAAAAUAGAUAUUUUUAGUUCUGAAUUUAUAAGUAUAGACUCAUUUGGUUCUCGAGUAUUCAAAAUGUAUCUUUUUAGUGUAUGAGUUUUUAAAAGUAAGUUUAAAAUGUUCCUAAAAUAACUUUAUAUUUUUAUUUAAAAUAAUUAUGUGGCAUCUUAAAAUUAGAAGAAUAACUUCUAAAAACUAUCUCUUUUCUACACCACUUUUUCUAAAAAUUUAAAUAUUAUAUAAUUAUUUUCAAAAAAUCAAAUAUAAAAUACUUUUAGGACCUUAUAAACCCAUUUUAAAAAAUUCAUAGUCUAAAAAAGUACAUUUUGAAAACUCUAAUACCAAAUGGGUCUAUUAUAUUGUUGUAAACCUAGGAACUAAAAGUGUUCAAUGAUAUCCCUUUGAAACGAGAAUGGAUGAAAAUAAUAUGCAUAAUUAUUUUGAGAAUAAAAUUGCAUUGCCAAUAAUCUUGUUUUAGAUGAAAAAUGGGUGUUGAUGCUAUAGGAACAUGCACCCUCAUUGUGGCAAAAAAUAGUAGCUGGAAGCAUAGUCUUAAUUUGAAAAUCAACUAACAAUUGUUGAAUUCAAACCCAAUUGUUGAAUUCAAACCAACUUAGAUAGUAACAACAACUCAUGCUUUAAUCUACCUUUCGAUCCCAACUAUAUGUAUCAAAUUGUUAUCAUUUUAUUCAACUCACAAAAGAUGGCAUGCAUCAUUUACUCCAACUAGUAUCACACCAAGUUAUAUGGAUUAUAUUAUUGUAAGUGACAUCAUGUAUGCAUUAUUUCAAUUUUACACAAAUUAUUGUGCCUAUUAAAUUUCCAAUCAUCAUUUUAGUGGGGAAAAAAAGCUUUCCAAACACCAUUUUCUUCACUAUUUCAAAGUUUUAAGGAUUAAGAUGAAAAUUUACAAAAGUAUGUUUAUUGUUGAAGGUUUUAAACUAAACAAAUUACAGAUAUAAACAUACAUAUUGGUACUCACUAAAACUAAAAAAUCAAUAAAUAUUUUUUUUGCAAUUUGUAUUUUUUUUUUUAAUCUAUAAAAACUUGCACCCACGAUAAGAAUGAUAAAAUAGAAGCUUCACUUUGAAUAAAUUGUAAAAAUAUUUUUAAAUUUACAAAAUAGAAAAUUUUGGAGAGAAAAAAAAAGUUGGAGCAUUAUCUUGAAUACCUCAACCUAACUAAAAAACUUGAGUCGUAAAUACACUAAUGGAAUAAACUUCAAAUACAUUUGUAACUAAAAAAAACUCCCCUAGCCAAUCAAACCCUGUGAAAAUUAUAAUUCCCGCUCCAAAAAAAAAAACCACCACCCUCAAAUCUCCACCCAAUUUCACAUCACAUUCUAAUGAUGCAGGCAUUACAAAUAGCAUUAAAGACAUCAAAUCUCGAUCCACUUUGAAACCCUAGCAAUUUUUUAAUUUACGUUCCUUUGCUUCACCGAAAAGCAUUUUUUCGCUCCACACAAAAUUACGUUUGUUAACUGAAAAGCAUCCCUUCAUCGUUUUCCUCCACCGAAAAGCAUUCUUUCAAAAAGUAUCCCUAUCAUCCCUUCACCGAAAAACAUUCUUUGGGUUGUUUCGACGAACAUUGAACUUUUUACAUUCAACCACUCCAAAAUCUCCAACCGGUUGAACAAAGUUCGAAAAUCUCCAAGGUAAGUUCUUCAAGGUCUUCAUACAUAUCAAAUUCAAGUAAGGACUUAAUUGGUGACUCAUUUGUUGUGGCGUGAUUGUAGAAAGCUUCUUUAUGAUUGAAAUAAACAUAAAUUAAACACAAUGUGAAAAAUAAUUAUUUGAUACAAGAGGCACAAAUAAAAUAAUUUUUUUAAAAAAUCAACUAAAAUAAGUGGAUAAUCAUAAUCAUGAUUAUAGGGAUGAUAAAACUUUACUUUUAAAUUAUUAUUAACCGUACGUACUACGUAUUAUAUAAUAUAUAUUUUAAAUAACUUCAAAUAUAAAUAAUACGAAAAUGUUGAAUUUAUGUUUGCCAUUAUUUUAGGGAUAUGAUGUAAUAUUUGAAUUGAAAAUAUUAUGAAAUAUAAUAACUCAGGAACAGUUGAAAUUCUCUUAACCAUUUUUAUUAUUAAUACGUACUAUGAAUUAUUUGAUAUAUUUUUUUAAAUAGUUUGAAAUAUAUUUUGUCAUUAUUUUAAGAAUAUAUGUUGUAAUAUUUGAAUUCAAAAUAUUAUGAAAUAUAAUAAAUCGAGAAAGUUGAAAUUCUCUUAGCCAUUUUUUCUUAGAGAAAAUUGUUAUUAAACAUAAGUCUUAUAAAUAAAAGAAAUAAAUGUUAAUUAAUUUGAUUUAAAUACUAAAAAUCUAAAAAUCUAUUAAUGAAUUAUAGACAUAUAUUUAAGGGAUACUACAGAAAUUUGUCAAACCCAAAAAUAUCUAGUUAAGAUUUUUCAAACUUAUGACUGCGUGGUGUUCCGUCUCAUUCUUUGCAUCAUGUAAGUAAGUUGUAUCUCCACAAAAUAUAUUAUCCUACAUAAAGGGUAUAAACGGGUAAAAAAGUAGAAAAAAAAUUAAAAGGGUCGUGUUGCCAAAAACUUAAUAUUUUUUUAAUUUAUUAUACUCAAAUUUGUCAUUCUCACAAAUUUCUCUUAAAUAAAUAGAGAGGUAGUGAGAGUUGAUUUUCUUAAUUUUGUGACCCAAAUGGAGAAGGGCUACUCAAUGGGCCAUUAAGGCCCAUAAAGUUCUUAUAUUUGGUUUGAAAACCAUUUUGGAUAUUUCUUCAAUAAUUUGUUAAUAGUGUAUUUAUAAGAAACUGUAGAAAUGCACACAUUGAAGUUGUGGUGCCACCAAGACAUCUACCAAAUAAAUAUCUAUUAAUACCUAUAAAAGCCUAAACCCAAUCAAUUGUGUAGGAUGGUAAUAAAUUAUUAGUACCUUAUUUGCUUAAUUUAUGCUAUAUAAAAAAUUGUCAAUUUAUGGUGAUUAAACCUUCCAUUUUAGGAAAUAUAAUGAGUUCGUUUGAAUUGACGAAAAGAUUUUAACAACUAAAUUAAAGUUAUUGUUGCCAGUUGUAGUGGUAUUUAUAUUCUUUUAAAAGGUAUAAUAUUAGUAAUAUACAGUGAUCUCAUAAACAAUGAUUACGUGUAGCCUAGGUUUUACUUAAUUAAUCUCAUACACUCUCCUAUCUCCUUUGCACAUAAAGAACUUUUUUUUUUCUUUUUUUAAAAAAUAUCACAUGGCGCAUUUCAGUUAGAUGCUAAUUCGAAGGAGAAAUAUGUUGGAAAGUUUGAAGAAAAUUGGAGGUGUAAUUAAUCGGAAAUAAAAAUUGAGAGGUAAACAAUGUCUCACCAUUUAGGUCACUGCAAAACAAGUUGGAAGUUUCAAUUUUCAUUCGAACUUAUAAUCUUACGAAUCUCUACUACAAAAGUUAAUUUAAAAAUAUUUAGGCAAAGGCAUAAGAUUACAAACUUUAAAAGGUAAUAGCCAACGUGGUGAAGUUAUUGUAUAGUAAAUCAAUUUUAGAAGUUGAGUACCGUCUUAGAGGUCAAAUUUAAAAGUUGAGUUUAUCUUUUUUAAAAGUGAAUCAAUUUUAGCUAAGAAAACAAAAUUGAUGUUUUAAGUGAUUUUAAAAUCAAAGUAAAACUUGACAAACUAAGUGUAAAUUUCAAACGUGAUGUUAGAUAUUAAUUUCAUUACAAAUUUCAGUAGGUAAUAUUUAGAUUAAUCAUACGAUUUUGGAGGAACAAUAUACUUAAAGUCUAAAUUCAAAUUAUGUUUCCAAUUUUUUUGGGUGACACUAUUAUGGUUUGAGCUAGAGAAUCCUUGAUUUUUCUUCACUCUUUGAAUUUAGUUUUGUACAUCAAAUUCAUCCAAUACAAAGAAGGCACAUUUCAAGUGCAUUUCAAAUGGAUGGAGAUAUUUUUGAAGGGCAACGUUAUUAGUAUUUUAAAUUCAUCCAAUUUUGGAUUGUUAAUAUUGAAGAGGAACCCCAAAGUCAAAGUCAGAAGUAGUUUGGACAUUGAAGCUACUAAUUAUUAUAAUUAUUACUAAGGCAGUAAGAAGUUUAAACUAAUUUUUUUACAAUAAAAAAAUCAAAUACCUAAAUAUUCAUCACUUAUUUAAUGCACACCUACCUAUCCCUCCAAUGCUACGUAUGAUAUAUAUAUAUAUAUAUAUAUAUAUAUAUAUAUAUAUUGUAUGCAUUGAAGCAUACAAUUCAAACAUAGGCUUGUUUCUUCAUAUCUCUCUAUAUCAUGAUAUUUACAUCAUUCACUUCACCCAUAUACUGCCUACAUAUAUUUAGUGGGUAUAUAUAAUUUCGUGUAAAGUAUGCUAUUCUACCAUCAAAUUCGUCUCUACAAUUGAUGUCCUUCAAUGCAUGCUUCCUUGAGUGUGUCUCUUACUUUAUGGUAGUUGAUUUAUAUAAUUGGUACUGUGUUGAGAUUGGUGAUUUUGGUUCGUUUAUUAUUUCUCCAUUACUUCAUUUUUAUGCUCUCAAACUCCCAAUUGUUCUUCCAUGUUUGUUGUGUGUUAGUAUGAUGUGUCUCAACAUCCUGCAAUUUGUGAUUUGUUGGAGAAGUUCUUAAUUUUACUUCUACAACAUUGCUUCUCAACUACAUAUUGUUUCAAGGGAGUCAUAUCUCUAACAUCACUCUUAUUCCCAUUAGACUUUCUCGUGUUGAUAACCUGCCUCUUCUGGAUGAUCUUCGUACCUUUGAUGGUGGGUUACUUUAUUCCUCCUUUAUUGAGAAAUAGAAUUUUCCAUAUUCUAGCUAUCAACUAAAUCUUGCACUUUGAGUGAAAUUAUCCAAGAGCUCACUGAUAGUCGUCGUACCAUUGAUUCUCUUGUGCACUCUCUUAGCUUGAUCUUAGCUAGUUCUGGUGAUGCUUCUACAUCCAUCGUUGAUCCGUCCAAUUCCACUUGAUUUCCUUUUUUGGCCGUUAAGGGGGAGAUGUGUUCGAAGUUGUUGGGUAUAUGUUUUGUUGUUGAUGGUGUUCGUAUGUGCUUGACCAUAAAAUAAAUUUUGUAUAAGCUAAGGGGGAGUUUUUUUUGUUGGUUGUAAAAGUUUUCUUUUGUCGUUUUAUGGUUAUUUUGUUGCCUUGUUAAUAACUUUCCUUUUUUCUUUGGUCAUAAGUUGUGGGUGUCUUAAUGUUGAGUUGAUUAUCUUUCCUUCUUGUGAGAUGGUCUCUAUUAUUGAUUAUCUUUCCUUCUUGUGAGAUGGUCUCUAGAUUUUGACCUAGCAAGUGCGUGUUGUGGUUGAAUGUUUUUGUGUUCGUGAAAGAAGCUUUUGUGCUGUGAAGAAAGAUUGUAGCUUGUGUUCAUAAUGAAUGUUGACUACUGACAUGUUAUUCAAUAUUGAUUGAGAAGUUUGAAUAAUAUAACAUUUAGGAGAGUCUCUAAUCAGACUAUAUUACUAGAGUUAUUAAAUUCAGGGGAGCCUGAUUUUUGCAAAGACAAUCAAUCAAAGUAUCAACAACUUAGGAGAUCCUAAGUGAUCUUCUAGAGUAAUCUUGUUGCAUCUCAUGAUAGCCUAUUAUAAAAGAUUGACUAUCAUACUCUAGUAAACAUAUAUUUUCUCAAUUUGGGCGUAGUCCCAACAUUAGGUAUAAAUCCAACCUUGUUCUCUUAUUCAAUACAUUUUAUUGUUUCUUGAGAACAUUCAUUUCAUAUAUAAUAAUGUUUUUGUUAUAGAUGAAUACAUGGUUUUAUCUUCAAUUUGUUUUUGAAUUAACGAUCGUGCAUGAAAUCAAACUAUCAACUUUUGUAACGGUAAGUUGACACAUUAUUUAAAUCUUUAAUGAAAGUUGAACUAUUUUGUAUAUUCUGUCCAGAAACGUUAAAUUUAAAGGUUUCUUCUCCAACAGACAAAUUUUACUAUAUAAAUAAAACUCCAAUCCAAGUAAAGAAAAUGAAAGCAUUUGACCGAAUAAAUCUUAAGUAAAUAAUUGUUUUUUUUUUACUAGAAGUGCUUAUCAUAAAUGUUUCUGGUGAAAUGGCAAAGUGGUGGUGAUUCUUGGUGAUUAGAGGAGACCUUCUUCUUGAGCAACUCUUGUAGGGUUAUAUCCUUUGCUCAAUUAAUCUCCAUGAAAACUAUAACAAAGUGACUCAUAAUAUGACACCUAAUUAGGCAAUAAUUACUUAGCCUCUUUUAAUUUUGUUGUUUGGACUCAUUUUUCUCCUAAUUAGUUCGCCCUCUUACUUAUUAUUAUUGUUAAUGAUGUGAAUAAGAGCUUUUGCUUUCUCCUCUAUAAAACAAAUAAAAAGAAAUUAUUUUAAAUCAUAAAACUACUACAAAUAUUUAUAAAUACAACAAAAUUUUACGAUCUAUCAUUUAUAAACGCGAUAGUCAGAAAAAUUGCCAUAUUUAUAAAUAUUUUGGUUUAUUUUAUUAUAUUAUUUUAUUUAAAAUUUGGCUAAAAAUUCAACAAAUAUUUGUAUAAAAUAAAAAUAAAAUAGGUUAAAAAUUUUAAAAAUAAAAAAUCAAAAUAAAAAUAAUUACCGAACAUUACUUCAAUUAAUAAUUAUUUAUAUUCAACACAAUAACUUAAUAAUGAGAAACUUAACUAGUUUUAUAACUUAUAAAUAUAUUCAACAAAUCUAUUUUCAAUUAAUCAUUUGUAUUUGAAAAUUUUAAAUUCUCUGCUAAACGUUUUAAGUAAUUACAUGAUCCAGCUAACCUAAGUAAGAACUUGUUUAAGAUAUAUAUUGUCAUUAGGAGGUGAAUUUGUAAGUUAGAGAAUCUGAAGAACAUAAAUUUAAAAAUAAGAGAUUAAUUGAAAUAGGUUGUGAAUUAGUCGUACUAGUUAUCAGUACACAACAAACUAAGAAAUUUGUUUGUGAACAUGGUUUUGUGUUAAAUUUUCUUUUUGUAGAAUUAUUAUUUGUAAUAUAAUGUAUUGAAUAAAUUAAAAUGUUUGUUCCUAUAGUUUGGAAGAAGAUAACUUUAGGUUUAGGGUUUAUAAUUUACUUUUAUGUUUUUGAUAACAAAUUCAUAAAUAGCCUAAAUAUAAACAUUAUACAUGAAGUAUGAAACCAUAUUAACUAAAUUUAAAAUUUUAAAAUAAACCACAUGGACCAAUAUAUUUCUAUCAUUUUAAAAUUUAAAAUUUAAAUUCUAGAUACAAUAAAACAUGAAAAUUUAAUUUUUAGAAUUUGUAUUAUUUAGAUUACAAAAUUCGAAAACAGUUUUUAAAAAUACAAUUGAGAUUGUCUAGACAAGAUAUGUUCUCGAAAUUUAGUGAAUCUGAAAAGACAAAAUAGAAUUUAAAUGGCAAACCAAACGAGUCCUACAAGUUUCGAUAUUUUGGAUACACGAGUAUAUGUUAUUGAAUUAAAAACAAUAAUUUUUUAAAAUAAAAGAAAAAAAGAGUUAAAAUAGAGGAGAGACAAGUCACGUGAGGGGAAAAGCAGAAGUUCACAUGGCUAAAUAAUGGGUGUCAUCCUAAAUGGCAUUAAAAUAAAAAGUCAAGACUUGUAAUCAUAAAUGAAGAUUGCAGCUAUGUGUGUUCGUGUGCACCAAAUAAACUAUCACUGCCAAUUAUAUAAUAAACAAACUAAUGUUUAUAUGUUUUGUGUGUUGAACAUUCAACAAUACGUUGGAUCGAUUUAGCCUCAUCAUCGCAGGAACAUCAUAUAUGGUCUCAUAGAUAGUGUUACGAUGAUAUUGUUUCUGACGAAUUUAGACUCUUCGAAUCAAAUCAUGUUUAUCAGAUACAGUAAUUCAUUAACUUUUAAAUAACUAAGAUACAAAUACAUGCAAGAAUACGCCACUUUUUAAAAUAUGUAUGUAUGUAUACUAAAUGUAAUCCACAAAGUAAUAUACGAAAUUAAGUGAAUAUGGUUUUAUGGUAUAUAUAUUUUCCUUUAAGUAAACCAUGGGUUAAGGUUAAAAUUCAUUUUGUGUAUAUAUAUAUAAUUGAUUGGUGUAUCCUCUUCACGUAUUUGAAAGAGAGGGUUACACGUAUUUGAAAUUUAAAUGAAAAAGUCAGAUUCUCCAUUUAACAUAUCCUUAUGUAUCAAUAUCAAAUACAUAUCCAAUACUGAUUUCUACACACUUUUAAGUAUAUGCAUGUGCUUUCAUAAGUGAGAUCAAAAGUGUGCAACUAGCAGAGAGAAGAAUGAUCGGGACCUCCCCAAAUGGUUGCCUCCUCCUUUUGCCUAUCUUUGUCAUGUGGUGUGGGAUGGAGACGAGGGACAUGGGCAUGGAGGAGGUUUGGAUUGGGUUCUAAAGAAUUAUGAAAAGACUGUCACUGAUCUUGAGAAGUUUGAUACGUUCAUGUCGGAGGUUUAGGCUCAUGCUCUAUAUGGUGUUGAUGAACUGAAGGGCCAUGAUCUAUUGGAGUAUUUGCUCAAUCAUUAUGGAGUCUAUAAUGCCCUUAUUGACGGGGCCUAGAGGUCAAUAUAUCUAAAUAUCUCCAGUGAAAGAGAUUUUGAAGGUGUGCUAAAGUGGCAAUGUGUACCAAUUCAAAUACACAUAUUCAUAUGGUAGAUGGGUCACUUUAUUUAGAUGAAUAAUUAUGUUUCUAGUGUAACACUUCAGCCUCUAACUCUAGUUUGAAUAAUUUAUUCUCUAUUUCUUAUUUAUUUCUAAUGAUCUAGUAUUCCUACGUGAUCAUAACCAUCAAUAAAAUAAGAUUAAAUGUCAAUUUUUUGUUACAUGUCAAUUAAUUUUUAUAAUUUAUAACAAAAUAAUUUAAUCCACGUCUAUCAAUUUAUAAUCGUAAAAAAUUUCAUUAAAUCUUAAUAUAUUAUUUAUCUGGUUAAGGAUCAAAUUGUUACAAUUUUUAAAGUAUAGAGGUUAAGUUGUUACUUUCGAAAAGAGAUUAAAUUUUGAAGUUUUUAAUCUCUUUUCGAACAAUAGUUUGAUUUCGAUUUCUUAGCGUACUUAAGAAAGAAAGAAGACUGAAGACAACAAAUAGAAACGAAGAGUGGCCACAAGUAUAAAAACAAGUCAUUUAAAUACUAAAAACAAGACCUAAAUCUAUACCUUUUCCUAAAAAAAGAAUAGUUUUGGAAAUAUUACUUCAUAUUAGAGUUUCACUGUUGGUUGUAUACAGAAGUUGUCGCACAAGAUCAUAUCUCACUCAAGUUGUCAUUUCUGCAGUUUAAUAAUUUUCUUAUUUGGUUGGUUGUAAUUAUUUUUCCUGCAUAAUUUUCUUUUCUUUGAUGUGCAUAAUUUGAAUGGGAUUGGUUUCCUUUUCCACGGCGACUAUUUAUUUGCAUGAUAUAUAGUGCAUUUGUUAGGGUUAUGGAUCUUUUUGUAGGUAGCCCCAAUGUUCUUCCAUUCAAACUAUGCAUGUAUUGGCUUGUGUUUUGGCAUCGCCAUGUGAGAUCAUCAUUGAAGCUUUUUGUUCAAGAAAUUAUUUCUUUUUUUCUUUUGGCAUAUAUACAAGAAAUUCUUAUUUACGAUUUCAAUACUCGAGAGUAGAGUCUCUCAAUCUUAGGUAGAGUCCAAGACUUUUACAGUUUGGAAAGGAGUUAUCCAAUAACGUAAGAGAGCCUAAGUUCUAUAAGUGAAAAUCAUUCACGAGAAAAUGAAAAGAUAACAACUUUUGAGAGAGAGUCUCACAUACUUAGGACAACUAAGUGUAUCGUCUCUAAUAUUUAACGCUACUUAGCUUAGAGACGGAGCCUAAGUGAUAAUCAAGUUAAUUAGGUUCUACAUGUGUAUCAUUGUGAUCAUUAUUUUACAAAUAUGUAUGUAUAAUAUUGUAAAUACUUGACUUUUGUAUAUUAUAGAACAUAUUUUUGGGUUUUGUCCCAAGACAUAGUAUAGGUUAUCACCGAAUUAGAUUAUCAAUCUAAGUGUUCUGAUCCUUUAAUUUCUUGUUUUGUUGUGUGUUUAUUAUCUAUUGCCUCUGAGUUAGCUUGAUUAUCUUGUGUUUAAUAUCCCUAGUAGGUGGGACAAAUCACUUAUUAAUUUUUACUUCUAUUUCGAAGUGUCAAAGAAGGUUUAUAAAUUUUCAAUUUUAUGUCUAAAAUGUUCUCGAGAUCUUGAAAAUUAAUUAUUAGAAUUGUUUAUCUAAUAUUUUUAUUGAGUUUUUUUUAAAAAAAUUCAAACAUUCUUAGAUUAAAUUUAUAAUUAGCUAGACUCAAUCGUUUGAUAAUGAUUACAUUUUUUGUUUUCUAUUUAUGAAAUUUAUAUGCUUAUUUCCUCGUAAAUUCUCAAAUUAUAAUUUUCACAUUGAACACUUGCUAAUAUUACAAUCAAUUGAGCGACAAUAAAAUUUUGAUUAAACAAAAUUUAAUAAAUUAGAGAAUAAGGUAUAAUAUUAUAAUUUCUUUUUUUAAAAAAAGUAUGAAUAUUAACCCCAAAAAUUUGUGUUUAGUCACUAAAAAAAAGAGUUGAAACCCAUCUCUCACAAUUAGUUGUCACAGCUUAGUUAGGCAGUAUUAUAUUUUCAUAAUUAAAUUUAAACUUAUGAUUACAUUUAUGGUUAUAAAGAUCUAUAUAUAGUUCCAUUGUUUGGAUUAUUCGAAUAUAUAUUGUACCAAUUAUAAUUAAUAAAAUCAAUAGUUAAAUUCUAUAAUUUGUUUGAGAAAUUAAUGAAUAUGUUUUUUUUACGUAUUUUAUGAAUUAUUUAAAUUUAUUGUUAUUAUUUCCUAAAACAAAUAUAUGGUAUAAAUGUUACUAGGUGUUUCUUUCUUUGUAGAAUUAAUCGAGAAUAGGAGUCGAAGUGUCUCUUCCUCUCGUAUUUUUUCUUUAUAUAGUUAAAAUAAUGUAUCAAAACAUUGUGUGUUGCUCGCAAAUCUUUGAAAGAUUAAGAGUUUUCAAUUCUUUCUACUUCUUGUUUGUCGUUGUUUUACAUUGUAUGUAGUUUGUACGUAUUUUGAGUUGUUAUUUUGAUACUCAAUCUAAUUUCUAAGAAGAUAGAGAGAAAUUAACAUAGCACAAGAGAUCAUCGAUAAUGUUUAACAUGUAAUUACGUAACUUUUUAUUUCACAAAAAUAAAAUUAAUAAAUUGGAAUGAUCAAAAUAGUCGUAGAUCAUCAACUUAAAGUUGUUAAUUAAAUCAAAUACAAACACAGUUUGAAAUUCUUGAGCAUAAAUUGCUUCAUUUUUCAAAAAAGAAAAUAUUAUUAAAUUCAAUAAGUUAAUUAUGCAUGGUUAAAUUAUAUAAAUGAUUUAUUAAAUAAUUUAAUUUAACUUUUUUCAAGAUAAACAAAAAAAAAAUGGUCAGGCAGGAUAUUUAUAUCAAAUUCAUUAUUGAUUAGGACAGAGUUUAUACAAAAUUAAUAGGGCGGCCUAAGGGGACUUUACUCUUUUGUUUUUAUUUAUGUGGUAAGGUUCUCUAUUAUUCCAAUUAUAAUUUUAAAUAAACCAUUUCUCAUGUAUUUUAAUUAACAAAAUUUUUAAUUUUUAAUUAAUUAUUUGCUUUAAAUCUUAUUUAGUAUGAUAAUGUUUAUAUAUAUAUUUUUUUUUUCAUAAAUUAAAAAUCAAAAUUUAUUAACGAUUAUUUACCCAAACUUAGUCAUUUAUUUUUAAAUCUGAGUUGUAGAAAUUAAAAAUUAUGUUUUUUUUUAAGUGGUUAUUGUAAAUGGUAGUUGAGUGGUAGCUUUAUGAAAACUUUUUAUAACUCUUUCUUCGUAAUGUAAUAUUGUAUAUUUAUUACUAACCAUUUACCAACAUACUAAAAUUAGUGUAACAAUAAACACAAAAAAAGAGAUGUUGAAAUAAAUAUAUUUCUAAAACAUAUUAGAUGUAUCAUAUAGUAAUUAAAUCUAACAUUAUUGCUAGACUCAUGACACUAAUAGUAAGUUGAUUAUGACACUUCAUCAGACAUUCUUGUGACCAUAUACAUGGUUUCAAUAUACAUAUAUACCAAAUCUAACUUUUUUAAGAAAAUAUUGAAAAAAAAAACUAUCCUACCUUAUGCAUGCAAUUGUUAUUAUUAUAAUAAUAAUAAUCAUUAUUAUUAUUGUUAGUUUGGUGCUCGAGCUUUGAAGUGUCUACCACGUCUUUACACUUUUUAGUUUUGUGUCUAAUUGGUUCUUCGACGUUAAGAUUUAUACACGACUAUUAGAUUUUUGACUAAUUGAUAUAUUCAAUAUUUUUUUAAUUAUAAAUAUAGUCUUUAUAAAUUUGAAUUUUACAAGUUCUUUAUAAAUCAUCAAACUUUAACUUUAUAUAUAAUUAAAUUAUUAUUAUUAUUAUUAAAUAUAACACGAUAAACUAAAAUAUUUAUAAACAUGAUAAAAUAUCAUAGCCUAUCUAAUUAACUUUAAUUCGUAUAUAGUACAACGUCCAUUUUUUAUAAGUUAAGCAAGUAUAAAUGCGACCAUAUAUACAUGCAUUUACAUUACUCAAUAAUAAAUAUUAAAAGAAUACAUGGUUUUGAUGGUAAAAGUAAUUUUUUUAAAAAUGAAUGAAACUGAGAGAAGUGAAAUAUGAGAUAUGCAUGGGAAGAAAUGAGAAAGAAGAAGAAGAAAAGAAAAAUAAUAAAUACAAUAAAGUAUGGAAAUAAUAAUGAUAAUAAAUUAGAAUAAAGAAAAACGGCAACGAGCAAUGGCCAUAUGAGAUUGGGAUGAAGAGAAGGUCGGCGGAAGAGGAAGGAGAAAGGUAAAAGAGGGAAGAAAAAUUCCAAACCUAAACUCUUUUUUCAUUUUUCAUUUUUCUUUUUUUUGGCAUUUUAAUUGUGUUAACAUAUGGUCAUAUUAAUUAUCGCUGUAAGAGUAACCCUUCUAAGCAUCAACACUAGUCUUGGAUAUACUUGAUUCUUUCUCGUUUCAACAUUCACAUUUUUUCAUCGUUCUUGAUAAGUUGACACUCUUCUUGCUUUCUCUUUCGUUACUUGUUAUUGAUUUUCAAUCACUUGAUUAUAGAGAGUUGAGUCAAAGAUUAUGAAACGUUGUUUGUCUAUUGAAUGAAAUUAUAUUAAGUGAGAAUUGAGAAUGUGUAGCAAGUGUAAAGUGGAAAUAAGGGCAAGUAUCAAGUCGGUGAGUAGUGAGCAAUGAGCAUUGUCACUUAACUUUGGAAGGUUGUUAAUUAUGAUAACUUCACGAUAGAAUGAUGCAAGCAAAAUGUUAAAAUAAAUAUUCAAUUUUUUUAGAAAAUAAACUCUUUUUUUAUUUGACCGAUGAAAAGAUGACAUCUAUAUGUACAAAAAUCUUGAAAAUAUAUACAUAGAUGAGAAGAAGGGAAAUGAAAAUUACCUUCACUUUUAUUUUAAAAUAAAAAAAUAUAUUUUUUUUACAUCAACAACUUAAAAACAAAUUUUUAAAAUAACUAGUCCAUACUCGUAUAAUACAUGAAUUAACAAAGGAUAGAUUAGGACUUAAACAUCAAUAACUAAAAUGUUGAGUUUUGGACGCAACUUAGAGAUGUAGAUUUUGAUGACAAAAAAAAUGUAUAUUUUUUUUUCUUAUUUCAAUAGUGGAGUUUUUAAUAUAUACACAUGUAUAUGUGUGUAUAUAUUUUGAAUAAUAAAAAAUUAAAAGGGGGAAGAAUGGUGCAAUAAAAAGUCAUGCAGCCAUGAUUACUUACCUUAUGCAUUCCUAACCCACUUUGUUUUUUUAUGCAUGAUAAAGUGAUAUUUUGUUUGGGAAAAAACAAAUUAUGACCAACAUUCUCGUUUUGUUAUUAUUUUAACUUGUUUAGUAAAACCAAUUUGGAGCAAAAUCAUUCCUUGGUUUUGUUUUCAACUCAUCUUUUAGGUUGAAUUUUAGUUUUUAUUUAUAUUAUAAUUUAUUUUUAAAUAUUAAAAAAAAAACAUAUUAUACAUACAAUUUGGAUGUUGUUACACGACUGAAAGUAGGUGCAAGCCAUUGCAAUGCAAAAUUCUUGGUCCACUACUAUGCAGAGCCAAACCGGUAUUUUCUUAAGUUGUAUAUACGAUAUUCCUGCUUACGUAAAUGAAAAAGUGGAAAGAUUAUGCCUAGGAGAUGUUUGUAGUUGAGAAAACAUUGAAGUCGAGAGAAGUUCCAUGAGAAGAUAGUCAAAUUAUUUAUUUGCCAUUCGAUGAGGGUUUACGUGACAACACUACAAACAUGAUAUAUAUUUAAGAGAUGCACUAAAGAUCGAUCUAAUUUAUAUAUGUAUUUGUAUGUAUAGUUAAACAACAAUAUAUAAAGCUAAGUUGAACGAGUGAUAAUACAAAAUGUAUUUAAAAUAUUCACGUUCACAAACACUUUUGAAGAGCAAAGAUAAAUGCGAUUAUGAUAUGAAAGAAGGACAAAUGAAUUGAUUUAUAUAUUCCAAAUUUAAAACAUACACUUUUUGUGAAUUCAUAAUGAACAUGUAGAUCUUAAAAUCGAAAAAGAAAAAGUAAAUUUUCAUCAAAUUGAUUAUUGAACUAACCGAGUAGUUAUAGUAAAAAAAAAAAAUUAGGGGAAGUGAUUUUUGUGUUUAAUUAACAAAGGAAUCCAGGUAAUGAAACUAAUUUGAAAUAGUACUCCAUUAUUGUUAUAGCACUAAACUAAAUGUUUGACUUGUAAGAAGGAUAAUAUAUACAUAUCUAUGAAAAUAAAAAAGAACCCAUGUGACUUAAAAUCUUUCAAAAUUAAUUCAUGCAGUAAAGAAAGUCAUUUUUUUAUAAUUAAUAAAAAAAAACAAUCCGUUACAAGUACAACCAAUAGAUUAAUCUUGAUAAUUAGUCAUAUAAUAUUGCAAUUGAACAUAUAAAUAAAGUUAUUUAAAAUUAGAUUAUUUAUAUAUAUAUUAGGAUAAAAGGCAAUAAUUAUAGAGAAAAAUGUUUAGGUUAGAGUUAUGGGUAUUAUGGAGAUUUCACAUAGGUUUCAGUUAGAAAAACAAAAAGAAAAGAAAGGGGUAAUUGGAGUCCACGCGCGGUCCAAAAAGCGUGAGGAAGGGGCCCACUCCAGUUUUUUCAGUUUUAGUAAAUAGAAAUUUGGUACAGUUUUCCGCACCUGAUCCCUCCCCCGUUUUACACACAACACUUGUCCUUGUUGCAUUGGUCAUCGCCUCAAACUCGGAUCUGCUUUUGUUUCUUUGCUUACGUGUCACCAUUUACUUCUUUUUCUUUUUUCCCUUUUUCUAACAUUCACCUCUAAAUCAAUCUUAAUUAUAAAUCCUAUCAAAUUUAUCUUAUAUAUAUUUCUUUUCCUUUCAAUCUAUUUUAUUCUUUUUAGAACUUUUAUAGGAUUAAAUUCCAAACUGUUAUUAUUAUUAUUAUUGUUGAAGAGUUUUUUUUUUUUUUUUUUUUUGACAUAUUCAAAAGGGUUCGUAAGUGUAGGCACUAUUUUAUCAUUAUAGAUAAAUAAACUGAGAAGAAAAUUAUGGAAUUUAUUACGAAAGCACUAAAAUUAGAAAUAAAGAUGAGAGGAAAAAUUUGUAUUAUGUAAUAUUUUUCUCCAAGAUUUUUGAAAGGAAAACAAAAUUCCAAGUUUAGAAAAUGGAAAAACCCUCUAUUCUCUCAAAUGUAAAAGAAAAAGAAAACAUAAACAAAUUCUAACAAAUUAGACAUAAUCGGCAAUUUUCUCUCCUUCCAUCUAAUUCAUAUAUUUAAUGUUUAAUUACAAAUUUCCAUUUUCUUUUCAACUAAAAUAUAUAUAUAUAAAAUUAGAAUUCCAAAAUGGGCAAAAUCUUUUGCAUUAAUCACUGAAAUAAAACCCUAAAAGGAUAUCUUGUAAGAAUAUAUCCACUACAAUUGAUCCUCACCGUCCGUUAUUUUGUUCAACGGUUGAGAUGUUUCCGCCACUCGUGCUUAUCAUUCCUCUUCCUCACUCCACUGUCUCCUUUCUUCGCAUUCUUCUCCUCUGUGUUAAGAGAGAACAAAAAAAUGGCUAACUUCUUCUUCUUCUUCGAUCAUCUUUUCGUUCUUGACCCAAUCUGAUGCUUAUAUUACUGUAAUCUAAACAUUAAUCAAUAAAUAAAAAAAACCCCAAGUUUUGACGAACAGAGCUAUUUUCUAUUUUUUUUUUUUUUUGUGCCCCUUUUGUUUGGAUUCUUGUUUUGAAGUCAUGGGGUUGUAAUUUUUUUUGUUGGGAAUUGGUUUUUUGAGACAUUCAAGCGAAACUCACUUGUACUUUUCGAUUUUGAGCUCGUUUUUAGCUCAAAGUUGGGAGCUUUUUUUUUCUUCGUUACCCAGUUCUGUUUUUGGGAAUUUUUGUGUUAGUAAUGGUUACCGAUACUUAUUCGAAAUUGGGUACUGAUAUUUCACUGCGAUCGGCGCUGAAAAGUGGCGAUUAUGGUGAAGAUUUAGGGAUGUUGAGAAGACAACAAAGGCAACAACAGCAGCUCGAGGCUGUGAGUGACAGAGAGAAGGAACUCAACCUUUGCCGGAGUGGUUCUGCGCCGCCGACUGUUGAAGGCUCUUUAACCGCCGUUGGGGAUAUGUUUAAUGCCUCUGACUUAUUGGGAUUCAACAAAGCCGCCGGAAAAGGUUUCAUUUCUGAUGAAGAGCUUCGUUCUGAUCCUGCUUAUGUUAACUAUUACUAUUCCAAUGUGAAUCUGAACCCUCGCCUUCCGCCGCCGCUGCUCUCUAAAGAGGAUUGGCGGUUUGCACAGCGGUUACACGGCGGAGGCGGCGCCGGGGGGUUGGGUGGGAUUGGAGAUAGAAGGGAAGGUAGUAGAGGAGGUGAUGAAGGGGUUAAUCGGAAUGGGUCACUUUUCAUGUUGCAGCCUGGAGUUGGAACCAAAGAGGAUCCCGGUAUCGAUUCAAGGCGGGUUGCUCGUGAUUGGACCGGCGAUGGCCUUAUCGGGCUGCCGGGGUUAGGACUUGGGAGUAGGAAGAAAAGCAUUGCUGAGAUCCUUCAGGUGAUGAUGCUUUUGAUUGUAAUAUUUAUAUGGGUCUUGUUUUCUUUAGAUUCUAUUGUUUUGCUUCAUAUAUAUUUUUUGGAAGAAUCAUUUUCCCUUUAAAUCGUUGUGAACUCGAUAAAGUUAUCAUUUUUUUGCCUACAGCUCUUAUGAUCCUAACAUUCCCAAUUGUAGAUUGUUUUUUGACGGAAUUACAAUCUUAUAUUUACUGUUCUUAUCGUGUAUAUUGCAGUGAUGCCUUAUAAAAUGAUCUAUGUUGUGGUCAGCAUUUAAAAAAUGCCAGCUUAGAUGUGCCAGUUUCUCAACUUGUAAGGAAGAAACACAUGAAUAUUCUGAAAAGAUGUUCAUUUUUCCCUUACAAUCUCAAAUAAAACCUAUAUUUUUGUAAAUUUUUUCUUAUUAUUCCUCAUACUAUAAGUAGGCAAUCUAUUUACAUUUUUUCUAUUGUGUGCAUUAUAAAAAGAGAGCCAUGCUUAACCUUGUAAGCUUAUUGUGCAUUGGGUGUAUUUCGAGCUUUAACAAACACUAACUAUAGCAAGUGAGAUUGGUUGUGUUUCAUUUUUUCUUCUGGUAGAAAAUUUCUGCAGUUAAGUUACAGUUACUUAGUUUGGUUUUAUUUGAUGACAGGAUGAUAUAAGCAAUGGAAUGAAUAUCUCCCGACAUCCUUCUCGUCCGACUAGCCGCAAUGCAUUUGAGGAUACUUUGGAAGCUUCAGAAAGUCAAUUUGCUUACUUACAUCAAGAUAUGGCAACAAUCGGUGGGAACAAACAGGGCUUAUCUGCAGUUCAAGGAGUUGGUGCCUCUGCACCUCAUACUUAUGCAUCAGCUGUAGGAGCCUCCUUGUCUAGAAGUGCGACUCCUGAUCCUCAACUUGUAGCCAGAGCUCCAAGUCCUCGUAUUCCUCCAGUUGGUGGGAGGAUAUCUAGCACUAUGGAUAAAAGAAACGCUUCUGGGCCAAAUUCUUUCAAUGGGGUUUCGCUGAAGGCGAGUGACCCUUCAGACCUGGUGUCUUCUUUUUCGGGCAUGAAUUUGUCAAAUGGUAUUCUUGAUGAUGAGAGCCACUUGCGGUCAGAUAUUCAGCAGGAGAUUGAUGAUCGUCAUAACUUCUUCAAUCUGCAAACUGAUCAAAAUGAUAUGAAAAGGUAUCUAGGUUUGAAGAACACAGACUCGGGGAAGUUUCAUCUGCAUUCAUCUUCUCAUUCAGCUAGAGGAUCUCAUCAAAAUAAUUCUCUUGCGUCAGGUGUUGAUCAAUCAGAAUUCAACAAGCAAGCUGUUUCUUCCCCUACUUCAUAUAUGAAGGGGCCGUAUAAACAAACACUUAAUAAUGCAAGAGGUUCACCAUCUCGCAAUCAAAAUAUCGACAAUGGAAAUUCUUCUUUCUUGAAUUAUGGAUUCAGUGGUUAUACUACUAAUCCUCCAGUUUCCUCAAUUGUUGGGACCCAUCUUGGCAGUGGUAAUUUACCUCCACUGUAUGAGAAUGCUGCUGCUGCAUCAGCAAUGGGAAUGAGUGCCUUGAAUAAUAGAGCAUUCAAUGGAUUGGCUUUAGGAUCAAGUAUGUUGGAAACAGCCAGCGAAUUUCAAAAUAACAACAGGUUGGAAAAUCAUAAUGCGAUGAACGGUAUGCAGUUAUCUGGAUUGGAUCCAUCCUACAUUCAAUAUUUGGGAUCAAAUGAAUACGCUGCUGCACAGGUGGGCGGGAUUAGUGACCCUCCAUUGGAUAGUGAUAGUUUGAUGGGUAAUGGAUAUAUGGAUUUAUUGGGAGUCCAAAAAGCUUACCUGGGAGCAUUGCUUUCACCUCAAAAUUCACAAUUUGUUCUUCCUUAUUUUGGUAAAUCCGGCAGUCUAAAUCAUAACUACUAUGGCAACCCAGGCUAUGGUCUUGGCAUGUCGUAUCCCGGAAGUCCAUUAGCUGGAUCCCUUCUUCCUGGCUCUCCUGCUGGAUCUGGUAAUGCCCUCAACCACAUCAGUAAGGCCUUGCGCUUCUCUUCGGGAAUGAGAAAUUUUGCUGGAGGUGGCCUUGGAGGUUGGCAUUCUGAAGGUGGUGGCAAUAUGAAUGGAGGUUUUGUGUCUUCUUUGCUAGAUGAAUUCAAAAGCAAUAAAAGCAAAUGUUUUGAACUUUCAGAAAUUGCUGGCCAUGUUUUUGAGUUCAGGUACUCGGCUCUUGGCACUUUAUACUUCUAUGCUGUUGCUAAAGGCAGCCUAACCUGAAUGAAAAUGUUUCUUUCAUUGUCUUUUUAAACAGUUCUGAUCAAUAUGGAAGUCGUUUCAUUCAGCAGAAGCUUGAAACUGCUUCUGUAGAAGAGAAAGAUAUGGUUUUCCAUGAAAUUAUGCCACAAGCUCUUUCCUUAAUGACUGAUGUGUUUGGUAAUUAUGUUGUUCAAAAGGUAUUGUUUUACAUUUAACAUUUGUUUGAACUGGCUUGUCUAUAAUUUUAUUAAGCAGAUGAGAUCAUGGAAUGACAUGAUUGAUGAUUGAAUAACUAAUAAUUUGUUUUGGACUUAAUUAUGAGCAUCUGUGGCAUCCAGUUUUUUGAGCAUGGAACUGCAUCCCAAAUAAGGGAACUAGCUGAUCAACUCAACGGACACGUGCUAGCGCUCAGUCUUCAAAUGUAUGGUUGCCGAGUGAUUCAGAAGGUCUGUGUUGCCUUUGCUUUUUAAGGAAAAUCUCCAGAUUCCUUUAAUAUUAAAUUAUCUUUCCUUCUUUGACGUUUCACUGUUCUCUCAUACAAAAUUUGUGUUGAAGCUGAAAAUGUCAUCCAUUUUUUUUCCCUGUAACCAAAAUAUUGUGAUGCAAAUAUCAUUUCAGGCAAUUGAAGUGGUUGAUGUUGACCAGCAGACUAAAAUGGUUACAGAAUUAGAUGGUCAGAUCAUGCGUUGUGUACGUGAUCAAAAUGGGAACCAUGUUGUACAGAAGUGCAUCGAAUGCAUUCCUGAGGAAGCAAUUCAGUUUAUUGUUUCAACAUUUUAUGAUCAAGUUGUUACAUUAUCGACUCAUCCAUAUGGUUGUCGUGUUAUACAGGUAAGGGAAUUUAUUCUUCUAUUUUUGCAUUUUGUACCAUCUCUGAUUCUUGCAAACUAAAUUGUGAUAUUAUGUGGAACUUACAACACUAAUGAUUAUAUUUAUUGGUUGUAAUGAUUAAAUCAUACAACAAUUCUCUCUCAGAGAGUUCUCGAGCACUGCCACAACCCGAAAACACAGCAUAUAAUGAUGGACGAGAUUUUGCAGUCUGUCUGCACGCUGGCUCAAGAUCAGUAUGGAAAUUAUGUUGUGCAGGUUUGACAUUAAAUCAAGACACUCCUUUAAUUACCUUUUGCCACUGAAGCACUUUAAUAUACUAAUUUUGGUCUUGUUCUUACAGCAUGUAUUGGAGCAUGGGAAGCCACACGAACGUUCUGCUAUUAUAAAGAAACUGACUGGGCAGAUAGUUCAAAUGAGUCAGCAGAAGUUUGCCUCCAAUGUCAUUGAGAAAUGUCUAACUUUUGGAACUUCUGCUGAACGCCAGGCCUUGGUCAAUGAGAUGCUCGGUACCACAGAUGAAAAUGAGCCCCUUCAGGUGUUUGUCUGCAUUCCACCUGCACUUUUUUCCCUUCCAUAUGAUCAAGAAAUUUCCCCACCCUCAACCGUCCUGAAAAUGGAAGUUAACAAUAGGAAAAUAUGUCUAAUGCUUUUGUAUGACAAUUUUUUGGAGUGGGAACUCACUGUCUGCUUUGAAAGGAGAAAUAUAACAAAGAUAUUCUUUUCUCUACUGCAUGCCUUUGUUCAGAUCAUGACAUUUUAUUGUCUUGGUACCAAAUGGAUAUUCUCAACUUCAGAGCAUUCUUUAGAAGAAACAUCUUAAUUCUACGGAUAACUGAUUCAUACAAACGUAUCUCCAUUUUCUUUUCCUACAAUUCGGAUGGUCGAAUGGAGUGACAAAUGUUGUAACUUUCUUCUUCUCUGUUGUUGAAUCCAGGUUAUGAUGAAAGAUCAGUUUGCAAACUACGUUGUACAGAAAGUGCUGGAAACUUGUGAUGACCAGCAACUUGAACUAAUUCUUAAUAGGAUAAAAGUUCAUCUCAAUGCUCUGAAGAAGUAUACCUAUGGUAAGCACAUAGUUGCUCGGGUGGAGAAACUUGUUGCUGCUGGAGGUACGAUCUCUCCAUCUACCAGUGCUUUUUGCUCUUUUGUUCAUAUUUACUUUUGGACAAGUCAGAACAUGCUAAACUGCCAAAGAGGAAUAGAAUCACAAUUAAAAAUAAAAGAGGAUAGCUAGUAGCUGAACUGUUCUCAAGUUUGUUUGCAUUUUCGAUACUGAUUGAUCUUGAUUGAUACUGUACUACUUUUUGAUGUCGAGGUAUCUAAAACGAACUUACACUGUAUGACAGAGAGGAGGAUUAGCAUUCUGACUCCAAAGCCAGCACAGGUGGUUGGUUAGGAAAACAAGGAAGAAAGUUGUACAGCUAACCGAGGAUAGCACAAAGCACGCGGUGUCUCUUUCCGCUUCCGUUUUAUAUCUCUGUCUAGUAAGUAAUAGCUGCUGUAUCUAUAUGAUUCAGAUAGAAGCUGACAUGAAAUAAGGAAAAAAAACGAGUACAAAAAGUAAAAAAAAAAUUGUUAAAAAAAGGAACUGUUGGCUGUACAUUUUAUAAUCUUGAGAGUAUAGAGAAAAUGAAGGUUAGAUGAAGAGAGAAUUGAGGGACAGAUGAACAAAAGCUGAUGGCUCUGUCCCUAAAGAAAAGAGAUAAGAGGUUUUAGUAUUUGAGUUUUUGUUUUUAAGGGUGUAAAAAGGGAGAGGAGGAAGAGGGAAGUAGAAAUGUUUAAUGGGAUGACGACGACGACGAUCUACGAUGAUAUGAUCGAAUCAUGGGUUGUACAAAUAUUAGCUGGUGGAGUUAUGUUUUUCUCUCUUUUUUUUUUGUUAGGAUUUGUUUUCUUUUGAUUAUGUAUGAGAUUUUGAUUCUUCAUCUUUGUUAUUUCAUCAACUUUUUUUCUUUCUUAAAGUUGAGUUUUUACUCUUUUUCUUUUUUGCUUGUAAAAUGUUCAUUUAGUUGUCCUUUUUGUUGAAUUAUGUAUUCAAUUGAUGCUUGCUGAGAUGAGAAAUCUAUUAUGGUUUUAACAAUUUUGUUUUUAUUUUAUGUUGGAUUUGUUUUAAUUAGGUGUAAAUUUCAAAAUGUUUAGUUUUUUUUUUUUUGAAAAAAUAGAAGGUUAUCAAAAUUGCAUUUUCUAAAUUUAUUUUUUGUUUAAAAAUGAACUUCUAAUCUUUUUUUCUUACAGGUCUUUUGUCAAAUUAAAUUUUUUGAAAAAUCAAUAUUUGUUAUGUUUAUACAUAAAUUUGAAUGUUAGGUUUAUUUUGGAACUUUAAUUUUCUAAGUUAUUGUUUCAUAGAUCCUAAAUUUAUUAUGAGCUUUAUAAUUUAGUGCACAUUAUGACAAUGUGUUAUAUUUAUAAAUAUUCUUAUAUGUUUUGUGAUUUAAAAUAACUUUUCUUUUUAAAAAAUUGAUAAAAAAAACAGUUGUGAUUUCUUAUGGAAAUAGAUUACAAAAUUUAAAAAAAUAGAGAAUGAGUGUAAUUUUCAACAACUUAUUUUUAAAAAAAACUAACACUAAAUUAAGACUUCGCAGAAUUGUCUAAUUUUAUCUAUAUUUGUUUCUUACAUUGAAAAUGUGUUUAUUUAUUAUUAUUAUUUUUAAUUUUUCAUUCUAUAACAAAAUCUUUAUUUAGUUCUUUUAAAAAAAUCUGUUUUACUUUAUUGGUAUAAACACCUUAAUGUAUAUUGAACUUCAUGAAUCUUUGUAUAUGCAAUAAUUUUAGAAUGUGACUUCCAAACCUCAAACUUAUUUGUUGAAGGUUCGUUUGUUUUAUUAAAACCUUUCGUUUUCUUUUUAUUUCGAUCUUGCAACCUGGAUAAUAAGCAAUGAUUUUUAUCUUUUCAUUUUCAUUUGUAAAGAAUAAAAAAUGGUUGAUCUUUUCGGAAGUAAAGAGACCAAGGUGAAUCAUAGCUGAGCAAUGAAAAGAAAUACAAGUGUGAAGAGUGAAGAGUGAAGACUGUGAACACAAACUUCAGAAGCAAAACAUAACAUUUUGCACAUAUGAUUGAGUGAAAAAAAGAAGAAAUACAACAAUGGUUUGAAACACAAAAGUCACAAAAUGAGAAACAAAAGUAAGAAAUAACUUUUAUUUUGAUAUGUGAUUUUGGUUCCACAAAAGAAGAAGAUGAAAGAACAAAAAGGCCUGAAGAAUAUAUAGAUGAGAGGAAUCUCACAUAAUGAGAGCACUCAUUUCCUUUCCCCACAAAGACACAACUUGAUGAUUAGUGUCAUGAAAUGAGUUAAACACAACACACAAGCUUUUUAAUUUAGAAAGCUCCUCUGGUAAUUGCGUCUUCAUUGGCAUUGCCAAGAGCAGCCUCAUUCAAGUAAGUCUCAGCCAAUUGCACCCUCUUCACAUUCUCUUGUUCUUGAACCAACAUGCCACCAUACUCCAACAGCUUUUCAAGUGACAUCGUUGGCUGCUCGAACUUUGGUGGUGGCUCUUUCGAGUUCACAAGCUUCUUCCCUAUACUCUGGACUCCAACUCCGGUGACCCACUUCCUUACUUCGUCAUCGUACACUCUCGCCCUUAGAGCACCGAAGAAAUCUGUCCAACAAAAACAGGCAUACAAGAGAGUUAAGUCUCUAGCGACCAAAAAUGGAUUGUUAUGUUAUGUAAUGUAAUGCAAUGUCAUGUCAUGAGACAUGAGUAGUAACUGACCGAUGGAUUGGCCUGGGAAGGUGUCGACCAACUUGACGAUGUCAUCAUCAGCGACAUUGUCGGUACGGAAGAUACCUUUGCAGACACCGAUACGGUCUUCCCUAGUGGGUGCCCAGUAGAAUUUCUCCAUACGACCGUCACGGAUGAGAGGAGCGUAGAGAGUGGAGAAAUCGUUACCAGUGACGAUGAUUGGAACUCGAGGGUUCUCCUCCUUGUUGUACAUUCCAGGGAGUUGGACAUUGGUGGGGUUAUCAGCGAUGUUCAUGAGUGUGGCGUUAACCAUUUGGUUGUUGACUGUGUAUUGAGUGGUACCACCAAGACGACCAGCACCCGCAUCCAGAUCAUUGAUGAAGAGGCAGGACAUUUUUCCCUUCUUGAUUAUGUCAGCGGCCUCACGGUACCGUUGUCGGAUCAACUUGGCUGGCUCUCCUGCGUUCCCGCUUUCCAAUUCUCCUGCACUCAUCAUGAUUGGGCUGUCCAAACGGUCAAAGUGUUAGAAGAGCAAUCCAUUUUUUUGUAUAAAGUAUGAGUUUUAAAAAAGUAGGAUUAUGGACUGACUCACGUGAUUCCCAUCUUGGCAAAUACAAGCUCACAUUGGAAGGAUUUUCCUUGUCCUUUGCCUCCCCACAGACCCAAAAUCAGAGGAACCUGAACACGCAAAAUUUAUAUCUAUUGACAUUGAAUUUCAUUACCUUACUAUGUAAAUAUAAUGACUUUUAUCACUUUUAACAAGAUAGACGAGUUACUUCGUCAAUUUGUUUAGAUCCUGUCCAAAAUGAGUGAUAGCGCUACAAUGUUUAUAAAAAACCAACAGUUUUGACUCAAAAGCAUCACAGAACUCUGUUUAGACCAAUGUAAAGGGUUAGAAACCUUGAUGUUUGGGAGGGACAGGAAGUUCUUGGUGAUGUGAACAACCAAUUUGUCCAUGAAAGCAGGAGCAAUGUACAAACCACCCAAUACAUUGUCCAUGCCAUCAUACCUACAACACAUACAUAAACAAGAUGUAUCAUCUCUCAUAAAACAACCAACAAAUUAUGAAUAUAUAUAUAUAUAUUUUUUUCUUUUUCUUGUUGUGUGUCUUACGAUUUACGUCCUUGACUAAGAUACUCAUAAGAGCUCAUAACAGCAUAAUGAGUUCCAGCUUGCAUGGGAGCUUGAAACACAGAAUCCACCAUUCCCUUUCCUCUUGUGAUGUCCUGUUGGUCAUCUGAUAUAUCGGUUCCAAGUCCGGCCCAUCUGUCUAUUUUUUUGGUCUUCUUCUCGAGAUUCUCGUCUGAGGUUGAUUCCACUGCCAUCACCUUGAAGCUACCCGAGGAAGGCUUCGGGUUGACAACUCUGGAGUUGACCACUUUCUUCAAACUGUUCCCAAAGAAGACUGAACUUGGAACCGAAGUUGUGGAUCCAGAGCCUUUCAAGCUUAGCUGAAAUUUAGAGUAACAAACUUGAAGAUGGUAUGGGAGGCCUUAGAAAUAAAAAUACAAGUGAGGAAGAAGAACUUACCGGUGCAUGGUUAACGACUCCGACAGAGGCAGCGGAGGCGGCCAUGAGGACUUGGGAGUGUGUAAGUAUUUGGCAGAGGGAAGGUAGAUUUGGAGAAGGAUGAAGAGGAAUGAGGAGUGAAGAGUGAAGAAGGACUUUAUAGAAGUAAAGGGAUGGAGGUUUUGAGUCCAGUUGGAAAAAACGAUAUCCUAACCAUGAGUUUCAGAAUUUCCCAACAACCACACAGUUGAGAUUAGCUGAGAUGACACGUGGCGGAAGGAGAAAGGGGUUGUGAGUUCAUCCUAAAACACUCCUUUAGUGGUUGAUUUUAAAGGGAACUUCUUCUCCAUUAAAAUUUUGCCCAUUUAUUUCAUUAUCAUCCAACCACAGGAACCCUAACUUAAACAAACCUCACCCAUUGCUCCAUCUUCUCAUUCCAACCUAAACAACCAUAUAAAUUCUUACCUAUACUUUAGAUUUGAUUUAGAAUGAAAACUUUUGACAAUAAAAGUAAGACUCUACUUACGUUAAUCUUAGUUAACUAAAUAACAAAUAUGUUAAGAAAGUCAAAAUGAGUAUAGUUCAACUAACAUACAUAAUAGUGUUAUCAACAUCAAAGUUAGAUAAUCGAUUUUUUUACUUGCAUAUUAUAAAACAACUUCAAAAGUCUUAGAAUGCUAGACAUCAAAACAAUCAAUCAUCUAAUAAUAAUAUAAGAUAAAAUUGUUAAAAAAAAAAAAAAAGAAGAGGAAAAGUGUUGAUUUCAACUCAGCUUCCAAAAAGAAUUAAUUUGGAUCACAAGUUCAUGAGAGGCCCAUAUGUGCAUACCUAAUUUGGAUGUACACUCAAAAUAAUUGAAAAUCAAGUCAUUGUAAUUUCAACCAAAACGAGAGGUGAAGAAGGAAAGAUAAGGAUAGGUUCAUUUUCAAUUUCAGCCUUUCCCUCUUCAUAACCAAUAAACCAUAACCCAUAACCCAUACUAUAUUCCAUUUCGUUUUCCUUUCUACUCUCUACUAUUCUGUAUUCUUUGCCCUUUCACCCAUUGGCUUCAUUUAGUCCUUGGGCCCCAGAGCACGAGACACACACUCGACCUCAUCUACUAUAUACAUAAAUUGACACUUCAAAAAAUAUUAAUAUAUAUCACAUAAAGUCUUUUAAUCUCAUAAGUAACGUAUAUUGUUAUCUAAAUUUCUAAAAUCAAAUUAUUAUUUAGUGCAAGGAAAAAGAAGUUCAUGAAAAUAUGACGUUCAUUUAAAGGGUUUGGGUAUAUGAAUGAGUUAUAAAAGGUCUAAAAUUGAGUAUUAAAUUUGUAUGAGAAAGCUAAAUGUUGAGGCCAAGUUUGAUUGCAUGAGUGACACACAUACACAUGGGUCCAAGAAAAACCCCUUGACAUGGAAGACUAUUGGGCUUUCAAAACUGAGAAAAGCCCAAGAUUAUAAUUAUUGGCAUUGCUAAGGUUUAUGUCUAUCUAAAAAAGAAAUAAUAUUAUAAAUCGAAAAUAAUAUUUUAGUUUAAAAUGAGAAAACUAGAAAUUAGAAUUAAUUACAUCUUUACAAAGAAUUUCUCUCUUUCUCCUUCAAAUCUAAAUUAAAAAGAUUUUUUGUAAAGAAUAUCAUGAAAUUGGAAACAUUAAUUACAAUUAAGGGGAAUUGUUGUCAAUAUAUAUAAAAUAUAGCAAAAUAAAAAUUAAAUAAUUUAUAUAGAGGUGGAUUAAUUUUGCUAUAUUUUGAAAAGAAAAUAAAUUUAAAAACCACAUUUAUAACUUAGUCUAAUAUAUCAUAUAAGUUUAAUAACUGUUUUCUUUUAUUUUGUUUUAUAAAAAUCGAAUUUAUUAUUUAAUUUUCUUUUUUCAUUUUUAGUUGAAUUCUUAGUAAUAAAAAAUGAUGAUUAAUAAAUACAUGAACUUUCAAUUUCAACUUUAAUAAGCCUACCUAAAAAAAUUGUAAUAGAUAAAUAAAUUUUCAAUUUUGCAUCUAAAAGUCUCACAAAAUAUAAAAAAUGCUUAAUUCUAUUAGAGAAAUUUUAUUUCUUUUCUAACUAAACCUUAAGUUUUUAAUUUUGAUAUAUUUAGGUUUAAAUUAAAUUUUGAAAAAAUUAAUAGGUUUUCAUAUAUACACAUGGGAACAAAUUGUUUUUAAAAACAAUAGAUUAAAUUUUAAAAACCAUUUCAUUUUUAUAAAUUUACAUAGGAUCAAAAGAUUUAAAAAAAAUGGAUAGAUUUGAUAUAUUCAUGUUUAAAUAAAAGGAAAUAUUUUUUUAAAAAAAGAUAGAUUUUAUUUAACCAUUUCGGGAACAAUUUUUUAAAAAGAAAAUUAAUAUAUAUUUAAAUAUUCACCUUUAGAUAAAUGGCAAUUUUUUUAAAAAAAUUAGAGAACAAUUUUUUUGUAAAAAUAAAAAAUAAAAACAGAUUUUGUAGGGAAAAUACUUUUCUAAAAAAAACAAUAGAUUUUUAAAAGUUUCUAAAUAAAUUUAUCUAUAUUUAAACUAUGUAGAAGACAUUAUGAAGAGAAAUAUUUGAUUUCCUCUCUUUUAGAUGUGAUAGGAUUAUGUUAUGUAAUUUGACAUUUAAUUAAUGAAACACCAUAGUUUUCUUUUUAGAAUAUCACAUCAAACAGUAACACAUGCCUCUUUUUAAUUCUUAUCUUUUAACAUCAUACGUUAAUGAAGAGAUUUUAAAGAAAUCAAUUUAUAUUAUUGACUAAUAUAUCUAGAAUAAAGAAAAAAAUAUCACAUUUAUCUCCAACUAAUAAAAUUAUUUUAAAAAACAAUCUUAUUUUAUCUCUAACUAAAAUCUCUUUGCUAAAUUUUAUUAAAAUCCAUAUAUCUAUUUUUUCUUUUUCUUUUUUUGUAAAAUAAAACAUUAGGUUAAAGUCGUAUAUCCUCCCUCUUUUUUCUCUGUGAAAAUCAGCCAGUUAAAUAAUUAUAUGGGUUUUUUAAUGUAAAAUCAUAAUCAGAAAAUUAGAACUUAAUUACACAAAAUAGUCUUUAAUGAAUAUAGUCAUAUAUUCAAUUAAUGUAUAUAUAUAUAGAUCAAAUAGUCAUAUCCAACUAAUGACCGGCCUUAUUAAAUUAUAGUAGUAGUAAUAAUUAAAAAAAGUAAUAAUGUCACACCUCUAAAAGUAUCAUAUUUUAAUUUUAAAAAAAAUGUAGUUCAUGAAAGAAGAAAAAAUUAAAAUAAAAUGCAGUUCAACAAUUAAAAUAAUAUCAUUAACAUUGUUGAUAAUUAAUGGUUGAAGGUACAAUUCUUUUUCACCCUCAUGGGAUUAAUAAUGCUAUAUUAUUCCCCACCCCCCCAAAAAAAAAAAUGUAAUUAACUUUAUGCUAAAAGCCAAACUCUUUAUUUGGUCAUAAAUCACUUCCGCAAUUUCUUUUCUAAAUGUUUGAUUACCCUAAUAUAGCCAACUAUAGUCCAAUCUAAUUCAACUGCAUACUUUCAAUUGUUUGUCUAUUUUAACGUGACUAGAGAAAUUUGUUUAAUUAAAUUUUAGCCAAACAAUUGAGUUCAAAAUAAAAAUAUUUUAAAACGAAAAUGAUUCAACCUUAGUUGACAAGUAGUAAUAUUUAUUCAGCGUGUAUUAUAAUGAAAAUAUCAAUCGUAAACAUAAAAGAUAUUGAUUUUCUCAAAACAAGCUUAAUCUCAAUAACAAUUGAUAUGAACUAAAUUGUUCAAUUUUUCAUCUAUACAACUUUUGUAUUCUAAUUUUAAGUUUGGUUUUCAUAAUUUUCUGGUCCGAAUGUUUUACAUUUUAUUUUGAAUUUCAAAAUAUUUUGUUUUUUUUUUUAAAUUUCAGCCCUGUUUUAAUUUAUUUACUAGGUUUGAAAAUUUACACCUUAAUUGCCAUUUUUUUUUUCAAAUACUAACUUCCAGUCAUUAAUGCCUUUUUAAAAAGAUUUUUUUCGAAGACGUUAACGUCUAUCAAUUAAAUUAAAAGAGAUUUUUAAAAAAAAUUAUAAUUUAAUAUUUAUGAUUUGCAUUUAGAACUUAGUUUUGAUGGUUGGAUAAAAUAUGAAACUUUUAUCAAACCAAAUAGACUAUAUAACAAAUUUAGUUCAAAUUUUUCCUUCAUAAUUAUCUUAAAUAAAAUUAUUACCACUAAUAUUAAAUCCAAUAAAGUAAGGUUCCAAGGUUAUCUUGUGUAAGCUUAAACUUUAGGUAGAGACACAAACGUGUGACUCAAAUUCGAGUAUAUACCUAAACGAUCUAUAGUAUAUGAAUAGGGCUAGGUGUCUUAUUUUAGAAACACUAUGAAUGUGAUUUGCUUUUGUAGUUAUAGUAUAUACCUAAACGGUUUAUAGUAUAUGUGAUAUAGUAUUAUAUUAUUAGUUUAGAAAUAGAGCUUAAUAUUUUAAUAUUUAAGAGUGAUUUAAAUAUAAAAAUAUGAAUGCGGAUUCAUAUUUGAAAGCUCGAAAUGAUGAAAUGUGAUUUAAAUUUACAGAAAAUGAAUUUAGAUUCAUGCUCAUGAUGCAUGUUGAAAUUAGUCAAGACAGACAAAAUAGUAAAAACUUAAAAUAUUAACUUUUGAUUUGACUAUUUUAGAAUAAUAUCAAAAUCAAUAAGGCUAUGUAAACUAGAUGGUUGAUCAUGAUAACGCUCACUAUUCUAGUAAAAGUGUUGGGUUUUCUUGAUGCAUGAACAUGGAACUUUGCAUGUUGGUUUUCUAUAAAUUCUUUUGUUCAAGAAAAAAAAACAUAUGAAAAUUUUUCGAACCCUAAUUCAAUUGUCAUCCCUUUCUCUCCUCCAAUUCCUUCAUUCAUCAAAUCCUACAACUCAACUCAAUUUCUUCGUUGAUCAGAUUCUACAACUCAAUUAUGUGGAGAGAAAGUAGUAUUUAUAAAUUUAAUUUUUAAAUAAAAACAAUCGGGACCAAAAUAUGUAAUAUUUUAAAACUAAAACACCAACUUAAAGCUAAAUAAAAAAUUUAGAGAUGAUAAAGUAUUUUUAGAAAAAUAUAUAUAUAAUUGGAAUGUGGACAUAGAAAUGAAGAUGAAAUGCAAAAUAAAAAAAAAUAACGGUACUGUCAUUUCAAAGACGUAAUAGUUGAAAAAGGAUAGAAUUAAGGGAAGUUCAAAUGGGAAAGAGACAAAAAUUGAAAAAGUAACAUAUUGUUUCAAUCAAAUCAAGAGUCGUUUUGUCUAUGCUUUUCAUUUAUUUUAUUUCAUUUUUGUUACCAUUACACUAUAUUAUAAAAGUUGUAUGUUGAUUGACAGCUUAACAUUAUUAUACAAAUAGAAAUUAAUUUAAAGCACCAUGGACCCAAUUGCUAAAACCAGCCCCCCUUUAAUCUUAAUAUCUUAUCAUACAUAUAUUCAUCAACAAUUAAACAAUUAUAAAGUAAAGCCAUGCAAAUUUACAAAUGCAUUACUUUUCAUCGUUUUGCUCAAAAUCCCAUUACCACUCUCCAGUCUCCUCUAAAUAUUUCAUUUCUCAUGCAAUCAAAAUCUUUAUUACCCUUUUCAUCAAUUUGUUUCAAAUAAAAUAUAUAUUACUUAACAGUUUGGUUAUCUAUUCAUCAACUCAAUUGACUCACUCUCUUAGUCUCCCAAAUCUAGAUUUGAGCAAACAUAAAUCAAACACAAUUUCAAAUACAUAACCAAAAAAGAAAUUAAAGCUCUUAAAAUAUAUACUAAAUUGUUAAUUAACAACAAACAUACUCUAUUUUAUACCAACAUGGUAGAAUAUUGUCACCUCCUAAAUAAACACUUCUUCCUACGACUUCAUUAAGGAGCUUUAAAUCCUACUCUUCUUUCAACUUCAUUAAAUAUAACACAUUCAUAUUAAUUAAUGGACUAAACACUUCAUACUAAUGUGGAAAUUUAUAACUAAACUUUGUAUACUGCAUCUUUUAGGAUAUAGGGAGAAAAUUGAUGAUUUUAAUUAUAUAUAUAUAUAAUCUAGAAGAAUAAAAGUAAAUAUGGAUUGAACUGUUGAUUAUGCUGCUUGAAGAGGGUUGGUAUGUUGGCAUUGGGAAGACAAAAAAGAAGGGUUGUGUUCUUUUCCCACUAAAAUGAAACCCCAUAAUAAUUAAUUAAGUGGCCAACAGCCAAACUCCAUUAGUUAAUUUUUAUUUUAAAGAUGAAUUAAAAAUAUGAAACCAUGUUAUUAAUUAAUUAAUUAAUAAUAUGUAAGUGUAAUAAUUAAUAUAGGAUAAUUAUUAUAGGGAAAAUUGAAGUAAAAAUGAAAGAUGGAGACAAAUAACUACCAAUGAGUCAUGCAAAUCUAUGACCAACCCCUAUGCAUUUUGUGUUCUUUCUUUUUACUUUUUAUGCACAUAAAACGAUUCUAUUGUUUUUUUUUUUCUUUCUUUCUUAAAAUACACCAACCCAUCUCUCCUUUUCUCUUUCUCUCUUGAUUUUGACUCAAAAGGGCUUGCCAAAUUGUAUUUUGCUUAAAAUGGCUCUUUUUCCGAUGACAACAAAAACUUAUAUUCUUGUGCGGGUGCAAUGAAUUUUGAAAGCUUUUACCUAUAUAUGAUUCCAUCAAACACAAUCAACAUUAUCGUCUCCCUCCUACAAAAUCUGAAAACCAAAAUUUUAAAAUUAAAACUUCAAUAAUAAUAUGUUUUCAAAUACGUGUUUAAUUGGUAAGAGAUUUAGGAUUUUACCUUUAAUUUUGAUUGACUAAAAAAUAGUGUUUUUAAUCGUCUUAAACCCUGUAUUUACGGUUGUUUACGAAUAUUCUCACAUUCACUUAUUAUUAAAUUUAAAAAUGUUACACAAUUUAAUUACAUUCUUUUAAAAUCAUAUUUUCUUUAUUCAAAUUUGUUACUUAAGAGUUUUUAGUAUAAAAAAAAAUUAAAAUGAAUGACACCAGACAAAAGAAAUGAUUUAAACCUUAAAUCUUAUAUAUUCGUUCAAUUUUUUUUAAAAAAAUGUUGUUCGGAUUUUUUUUUAAGGCUUAAUAGUUGGUCUAUAUAUAUUUAGUUUAAAGUUACGUAUGAUGUUGAAUUGGAAAAUCAUAAUUAUUGGAUCAAAGUGAGAUGGGAUGAGAAUAUUUGUCCCUAUAUCCUUUACUUCAACCACAACUCCAACCACUGACCUAAUCUCUAUUUUUUUACAUUGUACCCUUAAAUUUUUAAUAACAAUAAUUUUGGACCCUUUGAAUUUAUAGAAAUGUUAAAAUUGACGGAACUCUAAACUUACUGUAAUUGUAAAAAUGGAAUAAUUAUCAAUAAAAUAUAUACAAUUAUGUAAUGAUUGAGGUUCAAUUAUAAAAUUUGAAUGAGAUUAAGGGUUUAAUUUUUAAUUUUGAAAUUUUAAGGGUAUAGUUGCAACUAUAGAUGGUUUUUGUAAUUUUUUCAAAGAUAUAUGUAUAUAAUAUGUAUCUUUUGAGUUUUUAAAAUGUAAUGGUUCAUAUGCAGGUGUUAUAAGGAAAAAUAAUAGGGUUUUCUAUAGACAACUUUAUACUCCUUUUCCCUUUUAUGUAAUGUACAUAUUUUUACUCAUCAAAUGUUAAAUUGUUAGAGUUUAUUGUGGUUGAGAUGUCUGAUAAAGAAAACACAAAUGAAAUAGUUAACUUAAUUAAUGAAAAGGUUAAAAUUUUAGCUCUUCUAGAGUCUUUAUCUCAAUAAUGGCUUGGCCCCCAAAGGGGGAUUUGAGUUUCUUAAUGCAUUAGGUAGGUUCAUGUUGUGAAGCCAAAGUGAGUGCAACUAAAAAUGGUAUAUUGUACCUAUGUUAACAUCUAUAAAGUAUAUGGUUUGAAUCUCUGUGAUUUCUAGUUUUCUAUUACAUUAAAAUAACUAAUUUUGGUAUAUUGUAUUUAGUUUUGUUACGUUGAAAUUAUUUCACAAUAUCAAACAUACAAUUGAUUUCUAUAAAAAUAAUUAAACUCAUGUUUAGGAGUAAAUUCCAACCCGAAACUAUUUUAGUCAUUUCAAAACUAAGAAACAUGUCUUUUAACCUAAAAACAAACAACACUUCAUGAAGUUAGGGUUAUGAAGAUAAGAAUGAUGUCCAAGUAGGUUUUUGAGAGACUCAUAAUAAUUCCCAUGAAGAAUCUUUCGAAAAAUAGGCUCUUUUAAGGCACAAAUUGUGAAAAAAAAAGAACCCUUACCCCAAUGUGAGACUGACCUUGUAGCCCAUAAAGGAGACCCCAAAAAAUAAAGCACAUACACAUACACACAACUUUUUGCUAAAAAAGUUAUUAUGCCUUUGGAAUAGAACAAAAAAAAAAAAAAAAACCCUACCAAAAAAAAUAAAUAAAAACAUACAUACAAAAUGCAAAUGAUGGGUUAUAUAAAGACCAACAUCUCUUCUUCUUAAUUUUAUCAAACUUGUUCCUUUUUUUCUUGUACUUUAAAGUCUACCAUAAUAAUUGAGACAAUGACAGGCCUUAACUCUUCUAAUUCUUCUACUUCUUGUGGUGCUUGCAAGUUUCUUAGAAGAAAAUGUAGUGAUCAAUGUGUUUUUGCUCCUUUCUUUAGCUAUGAUGAAGCUACUUCUCAUUUUGCAGCUGUUCAUAAAGUGUUUGGUGCUAGUAAUGUCUCUAAACUUCUCUUACACCUCCCCACCCAUAUCCGAAGCCAUGCUGCCAUUACCGUUGCCUACGAAGCUCUUGAACGCAUGCGUGAUCCUACUUAUGGUUGUGUUGCGCAUAUCUUUGCAUUGCAACAAGAGGUUGUUUUAAAACCCUAAAUAACUUAAGCUGAUGGGUUAUAGUAAACUUACGUGACAGUAACAUUUUUAUUCAUAUAGGACCACUUCAAAACUCUAAAAAUUUAAAUAGAUGGUUACAUUUUAUUCAUAUAUAUUCUUUAACACUUUUAUAAUUACUUGACCAAUAUACUGUAUUCUAAAUUGUCAUCAUUUAACUCAUAAGCUUAAGUUAUACUCUUUCUUAAUUCUAUCAUCCUCUUGUAGGUUGCUAGCUUGCAGGAGGAGAUAGAAAUUCUGGGGAGCCAAAUUGCGAAUUUUGCCACAACCGGUGGGAGCAUUGCAGCGGUCGAUAAUCCAUUUAUAGAUCAGGUUCAAGUGCCACAGCAGAUGGAUGGUUUCGGGAUGAUGAACACAAAUUAUUAUCAAAAUGAGCUAGUUUCUGAGUUGCCCUACCAAAGUUUUGAUAAUGUCCAAAACGAUAAUACUACUGCUCAAAUGAUAUCUCCAUUGUUUUGUUUAGGGGAAGAAGAUGGGGUUUUUGAGUUUUCCAACUCAAAUAAUGUUGUUGAGAGUUCAGCCUUUGAUGUUUCAGUUGAGGAGAAUUGUAUUGGUUACCCAUGGAUAGUUGGAUGAUGAUGGACAAAUUUUUUUGAAGUUUUAUAGUUGGCCUUUGGCUUUAAAUGGAUGAAUAAUAUUAGUCUCUUUGUGUUAGAAAAUAAUUUUGUUAUAUUUCUUAUAUAUUAUCUAUCGGUUGUUUACCGAUUAAGGCUUAAUGUUUAAAAAAAUGUGUUAUAUAAACUUUUUAAUUUUAGAGGUGGUGUUGUUUCACAAUCGAAGAUGUAACAAAACCAUACAUGGUUAGCCAAGUACGUAAAUUUCUGUAUAUUUGUUUUUCAAUUACUUUAUAUUUCAUGUUCAUUCCUUGAAUUUAAUUACCUAAAUGGGGAGAUCAAACGUCAACAAAAGACUAAAUGAGAAAUUGGGUAACUUAAUAAUUAAAUGAAAAAAAAAAAUAUUAUAAGCUCACUUUUUCAUAUAUUCUAAAAGAUUGUUUGAUUUUAUAGUAUUUUACAAAAUGAUUAGUAUUUGUGGUUAAAUUAGUGUAUCUCUAGAAAUCAUAAAGUAAUAAUAUAAUAAAAUUAAAGCUACAGUACAAAACAAGUGAAGAAAAGUGUUUAUUAGAAAGAUAUAGUGUAUAGUGAAGGGAGAUAGGGUAUUUAAUAUAGUGAGAAAGUUGAAUAUAAGUAUAUGAAAUCUAGAUAUAAAAAGGUACUCAAUAAAAUACUAGUAAAUUAGCUUUUAUAAAAGUAUAUACUCUUUUUGUUCUAAAUUACUUCUAAAUCAAGAUCAAACAUAAGCAGAAAUAAAACUAUUCAAAGCAUUAAAUUAUUAAAAAAUUUGAUCAUCAACAACUUUAAUUCAACUAUUAGUUCAAUCACGAUAGAUUAAAGAAUCAAAACUAUCAACCUUUAAAAUAGCAAUAAGUGUUGUAUCUAAAGCUAUAAGCUAAGGAUAGAAUCUUAUAUUGUUUUAGUACUUUUAAAGUGACAUAUGAUUGUAAAGCUCAACGGCUAUUCGUUAGGAGAAAACUUGUAAUAAUCUCACACCGACUAUUCUUAUCCAAAAGAAGAUUGACAUAAAGAUGAAAUCAUUUGGAAAUGUAGCUUUUUCUUUAAGCAAAUUGGAAAGAUUGAAAUAACCCUUUUCACUUUAGAAGUUUGAAUUUGCACUAUACUACUCUCCCAUUUGAAUUAUUAUGAGUACUUUUGAUAAAAUUAAAAUUAAAAGUUGUAACAUGUUAUAUUAUAAUUAAAGACAUACCCAUCCUUUGAUAGGUAGCUUUAGGAUGGGCUUAUUAGCAUCAUGAUCACCACACUAUGAAAGGCCCACCUCCCAUUCUAAGGGGAUAAGAAAGACCAUGCACCCAUUUUUCUUUCCCAUAAACCCACCAUGUGUCAAUCACUCCCUCUCCCCUCUUAUUUAUUGCUCUAAAGGGGCUCCACUAUAUAUUAUUUUACUUCUUAAACCCCCUUCCUCUCUUUCCCUUUCCACCCUCAUUCUCUUUUUAUAGCUUCUACUUAUCAGGAUCUUAUUCAAUAGGGUACCCCUCCUAUACUAUAAUAGCUCUAUUUUUCUCGAGGAUCUUAUUCAAUAGUGGAGGUUCUGUUUCAUGUAACUUAACAAUGAACAUGGAGCUCUUACCAUCAAUUUGGUAACUCUGAUGAAUUUUAUUCGGAUGAGUCAUCGAAUUUGAUUCAUCCUACGAAUGAGUUUUCAUCAGUCCUUUCUUUUGUUAGGUGUGAUCACUCUUGCUCAAACUGUGUAUAAUUGUUUUGGCACCCUCCAUUCUUCUUCUAUAUAAGAGAUGCUAUAGGUUUGGCAUUUCCAACUAGGUGCCGUCGAUAUGAGAAUGAUGUCCGAUUUAGAACAUUAAAACAUUACUUGUUUUGGCUUUGACUCAUAAGUGACUUUAAAAGUCAUCUUCAAUUCAUCGUAUUUUAGAUAUGUUGUAUUUUGCUCAAGAUCAUAAAGGGCAUGUUUGAUAAAGAAAACAUAAAAUGAGAAAUAAUAUCUAACAUGACGUUUUUUUUAAUCAAUUUGAAUCAUCAUAACAUAUAUGGUGAGUCCUCAAGAUUCAACAAGUCAUUAAACAGGACUUCUUUUGUGAUAUUUCCUUGAUUGCUUGAAGUGAAUUUAGUUUUUCUAAAAACAUUCGAAAGAGAAACCAUUAGCAACUCAAAACAAAGAAUAUGCCAAUUGGUUUGUAUUGAGAUCAAAAGAACUGUCCCAAAACAUUUGAAGCUUUCAUAUACAAUGUUCCAUGGUAGCUCCACACCACAGCCUCACCUGCCCGUCUAACGACCUCAAUAAUUCAAGCCCUUUUACUUCGGGUACAAAGCUCAACCCUUGCAAAAAUUUUGUUCCCAGUUUAUUGACAAAACAAACACCUUACUAAGAAAUUUUUUCAAAACCAUCUGCACAAAGGUAAGAUUUUGGAAGUCUUGUCAUUGGUAACAAAAGUAGAUUGUGGUUGUCAUGUUUCUCAAAAGCAUAUUCCCAACAGAAAUUGGUCAAAUCAACUAAAAAUGAAGUACAGUCAUAGGUGACCCUAAAACAAAUCUAGUUUAAUUAAGGUAAGUGUAAAAGUUAAAAUCAGUCAUUUCGACUGGAUUCUGAAUGUUCCAAAAUCAUAAUUCAAUACAAUUGAUGAUUUCAGGUUCAAAUUCAUCAAUAUAAGAGCAAGAGACCUUUCUUAUAUACACCAUUCAAACUCAAGAAACCUCAAACUUCAAUUCAUCCCAGUUUUCACAUUUGGCAAUGUUGCCCACAUAGAAACUACAUCCAAUAGCCAACAAAAAAAAAAAAUGUAAGCAUCACUUGUUGAAAAUUCAACUGCUUGGAAACUAAACAAUUUGGAAUAGGAUGAAUGAACUAUAACGUGUGUUAUCCAUAUGUGUACAAAGCAACUAUUGUGAUGUAAAUCAAUCAGUAUAGGUUGGUUGAAAUCAAAUUUCAUCUUUUAGAAAACAACUAGAAUUACAAGUCCAAGGAUAACUUGCAAAUAAAACCAAUUUGAAAGCCAUCUAUGGGCAUACUUUUCAACCCUAAAAAAACAACCAUCUUGGAACAUUUCCUAAUCGACACCAAUUUAUAUUGACUAAGAGCAAUUUAACAAAGAAAAGUUAACCUUGACAAAUAUGAAAGUUUAUGAUGGUAAAAUAUGAAUUUCAACAAAAACGAAUUUACUGUAAUAAACGGCUAAAAGUCAUUUGAUUAUUGACAGCCACGUCUAUGAAACAAACAGCAAAGCAAUAGAAAAUGUAAAAAGUUCACCAAAGAGAAAACCUAGCCAAUUAUGCAUAUUUAGCUUCCGUGUUUGAUCAAAUCAGCUUGAAAUAUACGGGCGUUGUACAUAAACUAUUGUUUGAGAAGUUAAGAGUAUCUACCUUCCAUUUUAAUCAUUUAACACAAUGCUAAUGAUCCUCACUAAUUAUGUUUUGUUAAAAGCAUUCAUCAAAAGCCAAAUUAAACAAUCACAAGAAAUGUUAGUCUCCUGGUGUUCUAUUAAUUUUUGUUUAGUAAUACAAUUAAGACGACGGCCUCCACCGGUUCUAUUAUUACAUGUUUGUUGACAAGUCUGGCCAUAUAUUAAACAGUAAUUGAACAUUAGGGUAAUGUUUAACUAUCAAUGUAAUGAGAUAUACACCAAUUCAAAGAUAGCAGCACAAAGAACUAUAUUCAAACAACACUUUAUAGAAAGUGGGUGGGAGUAGUUGAAAAAGAAAAAUUCAACACUCAAUUGGAUAACUCCUUAUAGAUAACCAAAUCAAACCAAUCAAUUUUGUCACUUCCUAGACAUUAUUUACCUAAAAAUCUUAUUAACUUUACCAAUAAAACCAAAAGAUAACAUGAAGGUGAACUAGGCCUAACGCAACCAUUUACAAAUCCUUAAAAGGAUUUAUUUCAAAGGUUGCAAUAGUUUGAGAGUUCAAUAGUCUAGAAUCAAAAGUCCAAAAUACUUAGAAGUGCAAGAUAUAUCCUAUGGUCAGAAGGGCAAUGAGACUUGGAUGUGUCUAUGCAAAAAAAGAUAUCGGAACCAUCCACCAUAUUUCAAUGGUAGUAAAAACACAGAUGCCCUAAAUUGUUAUAACUCUAGUUCCAACUCUCCCUAAUAGAUUUUAUAAAUGUUCCUCAAAACCAUAAAACUACGCAUAGUAAGAAGAAAUGAGCAUAGAAAUAAAGUGAAAGAGAAAGAGAAUAUGCAAGUAUUGUAAAAGGGAAAGAAGCACGUACCUGAUCAAAGAAUAUUGUGGCUCCAAACUCAUACAUCCACUUGUUCCACCUACACCACUAGAGAUUCAUUGAUUCUGACCAAAGAUUAGAAUUAGAAAUUAUACAUAUAGAAAGAAAAAUCCCCAUAUGAUCAUAGUUAUUCUCAUAUGACACAACACAACAUUACAAAAGAGAAAUGAGUUUCAACAAGAAAAAAGAAAGGAAAACCAAAGUAUAAACAAACAAAAUCCUACCAGCUCAACUUGAUAUAUAUAUAUAUAUAUGUGAUAAUUAGACAAGAUGUUUAGCAGAAAAAGAAAUUUGAUCGGUUCUCAAAGUUCAAACAAAACUAGCACCUACUUAUCCCUCUUCUUUCUCUCUUACUCUCCCUCUAAUCUCUUAAAAUGGAGGUGGGGCUCUCGGAAGACUCCAAAUCAUCUCAUGUGAAGAAACCUGACCAUUUGUCACCAAAUUUGGGGUCAUAUUGUAAACUCCCAUAGAUGGCUGCUGUUGCUGUUGCUGUUGCUCCCCCAUGCUCUGAGAUGUUGAAUUGUUCUGGCUAGUUCCAGACUUGUCUCCGGCGGCAACCUCCUCGUCCUCUAGCGGUAGGCGCUCGAAUGUCGCAUUGGUGAAAGUGGCAGCGAUUACAAUAACUGGACCGGUUGCCACGAGUGCACCGACGACAAUGCCACCAACCACCUGCCCCUGCCCGCCAGCUAAGUAGACAGUUAAUCCAGUAGCACCCGGUGGAGCUGGGGCAGGCAAAAAAGCACCAGAGAGCGACAAUAUAUCAAAUCGACCCUGUAGCGUAAUAACACCGCCAGAGGCACCCGGAUGCCGGAGAGUAACAUUGGCAACAACCCCAUUUCCACCGAGAACCGAAACUCCUCGCUGCCGGCGCUGGGCAAAGUUCGAGAUGCUUUCAACGAUGUCGCUGCCGCUACCAAUUUCCAAAACGUGGCUCCGAAGGGCAUCGGGGCUCUCCUUAGUGACCACCACCGGUGGCUUCGGCUUGUUCUUAGAUCCCGGCGGCCGGCCACGAGGGCGGCGCGUGCUUGAACUAGUGCCUGGUUCGGCUCUUUCAUGACUACCGGAGUUGUUCUCUUCAUCAGCAACUUCUAAGCUUUGCUUUAAUGGAGUCGAAUAAGGGUUGCUGGUGCUGCUAUCUGUGGUGGUGGGUAUGUUUUCAGCCCACCAUCGAUUCGCCAUUUCUUCUUCUAUAUUUCUUUCUCUUCUUCAAGAUUAUUGAAACCCCAAAAAGAAAACCCAAAACAAAUAUAUAAACAAAACCAAAGUGGGAAUCCAAUGGGGGCAAGCAAAAGAAGUUUCUAUCUUAUUUUCCCUUUAUUCCCCUUUCCCACACACUUUCUCUCUCUAAAAUGAAUAACGACAAAGAGAGAAAAAAACGACCCAGCAAGUUAAAAAUAAAAAAUAAAACAAAAAUCUAGCUAACCCCUUGACACUGCUGCAGCUUCUUCCUUCUUUCCAUCUCCGAAAAAACAAAACCCAGAUCGAUAACUGCAAUAAAUCCACCUAAAAUCACAACCCCGUCACUCCAAAAAUCAAAACCCUAAUCAGAUCCAACAGUCACAAAAAUAACAGUUUUUUUUUUUAAAAAAAAAGGACAAAAACAGAGAGAACCCCAAAAAGACGAGGUAUAAAAUCAGAGCAUCAAAUGGAGAAAUCAAAACCGUGUUGGAAAAGCAAACCCUCAAUGAAGAAUAAGAAGAAGAAAGAAAAAACCCAUAAUUUCCUCGAUUAAAAUAGGGUGCAGACAAAAGGAAACAAUGUGGGGGGUGGUUCGAUUCAGGAUAUAAAUACACACAGAAGGGUUGGCCCAGAAAACUGUACCUAUCUUUAACGUACUCAAAAGGGUCAGAAAAGAAAAGAAAAGAAAAAACAGUACAAAGAUCCCGAGAGGACGGCUCUACUUCUUCUCUGCUCCUGCUGAAGAAGAGGGCGAUGAUGGAGAGACGGGAAGAAGAAGGGGGUGGGGGGCCGGUUUGUUUAUCUCUUUUUUAACUUUGUACGAUAAGAUUUUUGACAGUAGUCACUGUAGAAUCACAGUCUAUGAAAGCGGUUUAGGCAGAGAAAGUUUUUUCUUGUCCCCCACUUGCAACUCUGCUCUGUUUUGCUCAGUUCAAGUUGAAUUGAUGAAGGGCAGGCUGUACAUUCGGUUUGUGGUUAAGUUCUUGGGCGGCAAGUUUUUAUGGGGAUUGAUCUUGAAGAAAAGGGUACGUGUAGGGCUAUGAUUUGGAGGAGAAUGGGGGAAGUGUGGGGUUCGAGGUCACAGUCUGAGAGUACCGACAAAGGUAUUGAAAGGGGGCCAAAGCCAAAGAGGGGUUAAAGUUUUUUGGAUUGGGGAUUAUUGUGAGGAUGAAGAAGAAGAAGAAGAUCACCGCCAAAAAGCAAAGGAGGGGUUUAAAAGCAAAUAGCCCCCCACCACAACACCAUAAUCCCCCAUUCCUCACUUUGCUCAUUUUGGGCCAUUUGCCUCUUUCUGGUAUGUUUUCAGGUUCCACAUCAUCAUAUCUUGUGAGAGAGAUGGGGUCUAGGGAAUACUUCUCUUUAAUUGCAAUUAUGACCCUUUUUGGAACUUUGUUUCCCUUUUCGUCCCUAAUUGUAAUUAUUGUUUUGUGGAAGUCCUCUCUGUGUUUGUUCACUACAAUCUCAUUCAACUAAUUUGAGUUUGUUAAGAAGAGUUUAGCCACACUUCUAAUAUGCCUAUACACCAUUUUAGUUUAAAUCUUCCACUCUUAUUUUGUAUCCAGGCAAAGUUCUCAUAAUACCUCUAUUUAUACCUCUAUUUAUUGUGUGUCCCAUCAAUGUAGUUAAAUCUAUUCAUAUCAUUAUGACAUCCAUCAUCAACACUCUUUUAAAGAUACAAUAAUACCUACUAACAUUAUUGCAACCUCCAUAAAUAUUAAUAAAAAUUAAUUUAUAUUGUGAACACAAAUAAAUUUUCUAAUAGAUCUCUUUUACCUUACUUGUCAUUGUGCGCUUUUCAUGGACUUGAUGGUUAACAUGUUUCAUCCAUAAGAGAUCAUCACAUCAAUUCGGUGCUCACAUUUUGAUAUCUCACAAAGUUUUAGUUUAGUAAACAUACAAGGAGAAAGAUCAAGACUCUUCUUUUGAGAUUACUUAUUCUUCUCGUUUGAGUGAUUGAAUAAGACUAUUUGUAGGUUCUUCCUCUUAUAUAAAGAUGACAAUUUCAAGAAUACUUUCAAUGAUCAAGGUUACAAAGCGGUAAACUGUGUUUGAUUCUAUUAUUUUUCAUUUGAUAUAUAUUUAUUUGGUCAACCGAUCGGGCCAAACCCUAAGGCGUUGAUUUUUUCCUUUACGGGAUGCACACUUCCCUAGACCCUCCUCUUGACGAUACCCUAUAGUUUUACACAUGCUGGUGUAUUUUGAGUCUUUUCUUGAGUAAAUCACAAUAAUGUACUUAGCUGAUAGUUUGAAUUCUAUUUUCAAAAAUUGUUUGUAGAUUUCCUAACCCAAACAUCACAUAUUUUGAAAUCACAUUUUUAUAUUUUCAAUUUAUCAAAUUUUUUUUAUUAUUUUUAAAUUUAAAAUGGAGAAUUAUGCUAAAUGAAGAUAGAAAUCAAAGUCUUCCAUUUAAAAUUAUAAUAUGUAAUAUAUAAGGUAUUAUAUAUAAUAUUAUAAAAUUAAUAAAGAAAAUUUACAUAAAUGGAAGAAAAUGUAAAUUAUUUACAUCUUAUAGCAAAAAUAAAAAUAAAUACUUUGGACUUGUGUUAAAAUUUUGGUUAUCCAUUUUGGACUUAGAUUAAAAUUUAGGGUAGUAAACAGUUUGUUAAUUCUUAUAUUUUUUUAAAAAAUAGAAAAUUGUAAAAGAAAAUAGCAAAAUAGACAAAAAAAAAAAAAAAAAAAAACUAUAAUUCAUAAAAAAAUGAAAGAUAAUUAAUUUUUGUUUUUAAUGAUUUUUUCUAUAAAUUAUAAAUAGAUUUUUCUUUUUAACAUAAAACACAAUUUAUAUUUGAACAUAAUAGUUCGGGUAAUUAUGACUAAUUAUAUAGUUUACAAAAACUAUAUCAAACACAAUUAAACACACACAGUUUAAAUUAUAAUCCAAUUUCCAAACUCUAUUACCAAACUCAUGUUUGAAAACAUGAAAUACAACUCUUUUUAAUUUACCAUUUCCAAAUUAUAUUUAUUUUAGUCUUCUAUUUUUAAAAUUUAUGUUUAUUUUCGGAUGGAUUUCAUAUUUGUGAUAAAGUGAGAGGAAUUUCAUUUGAGUUUUUAAUCCAAUUCUAAAAAUAAAAGUACUGUUUUGCAACACAAGUUAAAAAUCAUAGUUUGGUUUUUGAAGAUAUUUAUUGAAAUUCAAUAGGUUUUAUAAAGAUUCUAUAGGUCCCUAUAAAAGUAGUAUAUAAGGUUAACUUUUCUUUUUUUAAUAAACUCUCCACCUAUUUGAACACUUUUUUAUUUAAAAAAAUCACAAAACUAUUGUGUCGACACAAAAUUAAAAAUUUAGAAAUCUGUUAAUAUAUUUUAGAGUUCGAGAAUAUAAAUAAAAUUUUUAGUUUAAUCUGAGUUAUAACGAUAAAUCACUACGUAAUCUUUAUGGUCCAUUAGGAAAGAAAAUGGACGAGUUGUUCACGUGCAUAAACAAAAAGUUGAGUAAAUUUAUAAGAUUUUAAUAUAAAUGAUGGAGAGCAAAUUAGAGUGAAUUUUGAAUUUUAAAUUCCAAAAUUGAAAGAAACGCUUUUAAAAAAAACCAUAAUGAAAUGAUGUGCCAAAAAUAAUUUACAUUUUUAAAAAAGGAAUAAAAUGAAUUGGUAAUUUAAUUAAAAGAUUUAGGAGUUUGUGUGUUUUGAAAUUAAUAUAUAAUUAGUCUAAUCAUGGUUAGUAAUUAUUUUGUGCUUCUUCUAGAAACUUUAAUGCUUUUUUAUAUUAUUUACUUUCACAAAGUUAUUUAAUUGUUUGAUAAUAUUUGAGUUUUAAGAUGUUAUAUUAUAAUGUUGAGAGUUUGAUAUUUGCCUUUUCCUUUUAUAGAAAAAUAAAAUGUAAUAAAUUUGAAAUUAAUUUGUCACUUUUUUCUAUUUUUGAAAAAAAUAUUUUAUUUAUCUUGAAAUAUCUAUUGUUAUUUUAGAGUACGAUAAAUAUUUUGUUUUACGUAUCGAUAUUUUUUUGUUGCAUGAGUUUGACAUCAACGUGGUGAAUUAAUAUUUUAUUAACAAUUUCUUUUUUAUUAAUUACUAUUGUAAAAAUAUCCAUAAAAUAUAUUAAAAUGAUUGAAACAACCAACUUGUAUUGUUUAAAAAUCAUAAAAAUAUUUAUUUACUAAUUUAUAUAUAUAUAUAUAUAUAUAUAUAUAUAUAUAUAUAUAUAAAAUUAUUUAUUGAAAUCAACAUUUUACCGAUAAUCUCGUAAAAAAAUUUAAAAUUAAGAAUUAAAUAUUUUCUUGAGUAAUUUACAUAAAUGUAACAAAAAUUCAAAAUGUUUACUGCUUUCAUACCAAAAUAAGAAAAAAUCAUAAAGCGGAUUUUUUUUUAGAAAUCUAUAUAUGUGCUUGCAAUUUAUAUCUUCUUCGUUAUUUAUUAAUCUUAUGUCAUCUAAGUGCAAUUAAGGUCUGAGAUUGAAUAACUAAGGACAUCUUGGGACAAUAUAUGUCCAAUAUUAAAUAAAAUAAAGGUAGAAUUCUUUCAUCAUGAACCACAUGAAUAACACUAAGGCGCGAGAUACAAUAACUAAAGGAAUAAUUAUUUCAUCUCGAUGCAUGAUAUGUCCAUGAUCAUAUAUCAAAUCUACAUGAUCGUGUAUCACACUCACAUAUGGCUUAUAGCUUAUAUAUUGUGUGUUGACCGGGUAAUUUUGGUAUUUUAUAUUGUAGGCCUAAAAACUAUCUUCGUUCUCAAAAUUAUUCUAUAUAGUAUAAAUGUUUUGCCGAUUUGUUAUAUAUUUGUAAAAACCUCUAUUUUCAUCUGGUUUAUAUACAAUGGAGUUUAUAAAUGACUUUUCAUAGUUAGACUAACUAUUCAUAGUUAAUUUAUAAAUAUUAAAACAAUAUUAAACUCUAAAACUAUUCAUAGUUUAUAAAUGGAGUUGUUGGAGUUUAUAAAUAAACUAGUCAAUUCUUCUGUCUUCUAUCUCUACCGUUGUUGGUGGAGAUCUUUUUGUGUCUAAUCAACUCUCCUCUACAUAUGAGAAGGGUUGUUUGUUGGACUUUUUGCAAGAAAUGAGUUAGAAAAUUGUGGUCACACUACACGUGGUCAUAAGAAACAUUCUCCAUGUUAAAACCAAAGAAUUAAUGUCCUUUUAACGAAUAAAUAAAUUGAGUUUAAGCUUAACAGUAAUUGACAUGAUAUGGAUGUCGAUUUCCAUUUCUAAAAGAAUUCUCCUUGGUAAAAAAGGAGACAUCGAAGAGACCAAAAGAGACUCUUCAUUUGGAAGAUCAAUAGCUUCUAGACAACCAAAUUCAACCAUCAUAUAUAUAUAUGUAAUAUAUUGGUUGAUGUAAUAAAGGAAUACAUAAGUGUAGCUUUUGUAGGUCGUGGAGAAAAUAAGAGAGAUUGGUAAAGAUAUAAAGUAAUUAUUGAAAAGUUGACGAGUCCCAUGAAAUAAGAAAGAAACGUGAAUACAAAGGAAUGAAAUAACUUUAUUUCUUUUUUCUUUUACGUAGAGAUUCUUAAAUUGAUAACGAGUCCCACCAUUUGAUUCUAUUUUUGCAUUUUUAGUAAACAUCAUCAAUUACAUAAAACAUAACUAAUUAGUAUCAAUUUUUCUUAUAUUUUUUUUUAAUUUGUUAGAUUUUUCUUAUAAAUUUUUGAAUGAAUCAAAUUAGACCGUAAACUCAAAUGGUUAAAUCAAUUUUAGCUGACUAGCUGAUUUUUUUUUUUUUUUUGCUAAUCCACUAAUUAAUUUUAACCUAAAAUAAUUAUAAAGAAAACAUCCAUAAGCUCACUCAUUUUAACAAAAUUAAAUGGAUGAACACAUAAAUUGAUGGCUUGAUAAUAUUUGUUAAACUUCUCAAAAUUCAAUAAACAUUUGCCCUAUUAUCAUUAUUUUAUAUGUGUGUUUUGUGAUUUAUUACUUAUUAAAUUAAAAAGAAUUUAAAGUGCAAAACUUAAAAAUUUUAGCUUCUAAAACUUAUGUAAGUUUGAAUUAGAUAGUAAUAAUAAAAUUGAAAUUCUAAAGUCUAGAACAAAAUUUGUUUUUUUCUUAAAAAAAAAGAACGAAAUUAGAGAACACUUUUGAGAUUGGAAGGCCCAAUCAUUUUAUGAAUACAAAAAGGAGAGAUUCUCGUUGUCCACUCCGGGACACAUUUUGAUUAUUUACAAAUUGAAGGGUCGUUUUCAAAUAUUGUCUUAUAACUCUUUUUUUUUUUUUUCUUUUCUAAAUAGUACUUAUUAACUUGUCACAUAAUAGCUUCAAUUUUUGAAGUCAUAAAAGCUAACCAUCAAAAUAAAUAUCCAAUGAUUAGGUUCUCAUACACAUACGUCCCAAUACACAAACAUUAUGGACCAACUCAAAGUAUCUAAGUUGGCAAAAAAUGAGUCUAUCAGUUUAUUAUUCAAAAAUCAAUUCAAUCCAAUCCAAAAAAUCUAGGGUGACUCGAGUUGGGUUGACAUAUUUGUUUUUUUUUUUCAUCUCUCCAUAAUUUAGAUAAAUUUUCAUAUUGUUUUUUAAUAUGUUAGGUGAAUAAAUUGUCAUGUAUAUAUAUUAAUUUAAAAUCCAAUCUACAAUGGCCAUCCAAAAGAAGUUUUACUUUUAGGUUUUAGGUUUAUAUAUAUAUAUAUAACAUAAUCUGGUUUAGUUAGGUUAAUUUGACCCCUUACUUGCACAAUUCGAUUACCAAGUUCAACUUUUUUUUCCUUCAAUUUUCUAAUCCAACCAUUACAAUUUGAGUUGGGUAAUACGGGUUGAUCAGACUAUAAUUUCUUUUUAAUAUCUCUAUAAUAAAUGAAGAGAAGAAACAUAAUAUUAAUAAUAGUUUCAUCUUUUUUGAAGAUUGAAUAACAUCUACUUAUACUUAUGUUGUCAAUAAUAGUUUUCGUUUUCAUUUACCUAAAAAUGGUUUUUUUUUAAAUUUAUUUAUCACUGCGUACUUAAUUAUUUCACCUGUUUGUUAACCUCCUUAGUAUUGCAUGUCUAUAUGUUAAAUCUAUCAAAAGAAAUGAUUUACAUAUCAAUCCACACACAUUAGUUAGUGAGCGAUAUACAUGAUUGAAACAAAUUAAUUAGUAACAAUUGAUUUACACAUAACAUUCUAUUAGUAGCAAUGAUUUACAUAUGUUGUUAAUAGAUAUAAUAAUGAACUUAUUAAUGGUAGUGUAUGAUAUAAUUACUCCUACUAAUAAAGAAACAUGCAAACGAGCCUAUAUAUAAUAAAAUAAACUAGAAAAAUAUAUCAAACAUAUAUGAUGAUAAAAAGAAAAUUAAACAAAUGAUCGAGAUUAUUUUUAAAUAUAAUAAAAUGAGUUAAAUAUCUAUGCAAUAUAACCAAACCUCACUGUAUAUAAUUUUUUGUUUAGAUUAAAUGCUCUAAUGUUUCUCCCCACCCUCAUUCAAAUAUUUUAAAUAUUCUAAUAUAUAUUUCUUAUUUAAAUAUCAUUCGAAUUAUAUCAACAUGUCAUUUUAUUUAAUAUCUCUUAAUACAUCAAUUAUUUUAUUUAAUGUACACUUGAAUGAUAAAUGUAAAAAGCUUCCUAAACAGUUCUUACGGUAGAAACACUUAAAAUGAUUUUAUCACACCAUUAAGAUUAUUGAUAAGGUUUUAUCAGAGUAUAGAGACUAAAUAAUUCUAACUUACUCAAACCAAAAUUGCAAUUAAACUUAAAUAUGUUUUCCCUCAUUUAAUAUAUCAAAUAUUAAUUUGGACGUUUUAUAUUUUCUAUCAACUUAUCUGAUCCCUAAUUGGAUUUGUUGGAGCUAGGAUUGAGAGGACUUAUGAACUUACAAAUUAUAAAUUACAAUUACAAUGGUAUGAACUUAAUUUUCAUUAAUUAACUAUAGAACACUCUGCUGUAUAAAGCAUAAAGUUGCACACUUACAUGAGUUGUUGGUAAUUACAAUUGGUCAAUGCUCACCUAACCCAUGUAAUUACAUUUAUUCAUUCAUUAUCAUUGAUCCUAUAAUAAUCAAUUUAUUUAUUAUCCAAUCAUAGACCAUUUUCUUUUAAUUUAUUACGUGUUUAAUUUGAAUUUCUCGUUAAAAGAAACAAAAAUGUGUGACAAUGUUUGAAAUAUAUAUUAAAUUUAUGUUUUUAAGUAUACCUUUUGCUGUUUUUCUUUUUCUUUUUCUUUUUUUAAUUUAUGCUUUUUUCAAUGAAAAUAUGAAACAACGAAAAUUUAAUAUUAUACUCCUAAUCAUUUUAGUAAUCACCUCAGUGAUAUUUACCCACAUGAAAAAAGAUCUAAAACUUGUAGAAACAUUAGAACAAUUACCUUUGAGAGACAAAAAUAUGUAUAAUCAAUCAAUCAACCCUUAACACGAUAUGUUUGUUAACUAAAGUCAAGAGAAACUCCAAAAAUGGUAAUAAGAUUAAGUGCAAGGAAAAGAAAAACAUCAAUGAAAACAUUAGGAAAGAAAAUCAAUUGAGCAAUUAUUGUACUUCCCUAAGUGCAAAUAGGGAAGGUACUAAGUAGUCAUCAAGAAGUGCCAACUACUGGGUAUUGAUUGAUUAAAAUGCUAUCGAGUUUCAAUAUUUUGAUUCAGUUACAGACACGAACACCGUACACUGACAACAAAAUACAACAAAUAUAUGAUUGACAACCAAGUGUAAGAUUGGAAACUAAAAUGAUCGGAGUAGAAUUCAUUUUGUGAUCAAGGAAACAUCUCAAUGAUGAUAUUAGAGCUUAAAAUACAGUAUAAUGAUAAUUACAAGUACCAGAACCCCAAUUACUGACCCGACGAUCCAUUUAUUUCGACUGAUUCUUCGAGACAUUGUGGUUAAAACUUUUUUACUCUUAUCAAUGGCAUCAUCUACCCCAUGAAGCUGUAACAUUGAACCAUGUUGUUAACAGUGGAACUAUCCCAAGGAUGCUUAAAAGGGAUAGAAAUUAAAAUGUGUGUGUUAAGUUUAAGGAAUUUUUUCUUUUAAAAUGAAGUUUAAGGAUGCUCAUAGUUAGGAACCAAGUUUGUAUCUAUGCAUCUUAUGGAGUUAAAGGAUGUUAAUGACAUCAAAAAUUGGACUUAAUACUCAGCCAGAACAUAAUAUCAAAUAUCAAGACAAAACUUACUCUCUUAUGGGACUGGAGGAGAGUUUCCCGCUGUUGAUGCAAGUCCUGGAGGAUUGAGACACCGAGCUCCUCGGUCUCCAGCAUGGUUCUUCUACUCUCUGUGAUUCUUUCACCUGACUGAUUUAUUCUCUCUAUGGACAUUGUCAUCCUCUCUCUUUGAUCAGCUGAGGCCUGUAAGAAUGUCAGUAAAUAUAAUAACAAUUUUAAAUUAAACCUAUGGAAGACAAAUAUACUUUAUUUCAAAUGAUGAAUUAUUGAAACUAAAACAAUAUCUAUAUAUACGAGAUAUGCCAUUGAUACAUGAUGGAAAUUCACAUGAUGCUAUAUAAUAGAAACACAUCCAGAAACUGACACUAACUCCUGAAACAGAUUCCGUUUAAAUUAUUGAGACCUCACACAGCCAUUGAGAGAGGAAAAGAUAAGUACUGUCUAUCAACAAAGCUUAGAAACCAUCAUCACUUCAAUCAAAAGAGUGGUUGAAGAAAAAUAAAGACUCGAUAAGAUGAUCAUAUUGCAAAGGUUUAUUAAAUAGAAAGUUCUAUAGCAACUCUCAUGUUUCCGGAGCGCCUUCAAUUUCAAUGACGGUAUAAAAUACCAAAAGAGGAAAAAAUAUUAAAGGGAAAUUCUCAUUGAUGGAGUUUAAAAAAACUUCCAAUUGAAAAGGACGGAGAAAAGUGGGGAGAAUUUACACCAAGGGACAACCAUAUUGAUUAUAGCAUUACUUUAUAUGACUAAAACCAUCCCGAGAACUUAAGAUAUGCAAUAACUUUAACAAGAUAUUACCAUUUAAACAUAGGAGUGAAGAUUCAAACCUACAAAGGAAGUUAUUAGUGUUUUAACUAGUUAAGUUUACCCUAAAACAUAGGCUACUAAAAUAGCCAAAAUCUCAAGACUGUUUGGCUACUUCGCUAAUUGUCACUAAGUUUUGAAAUGGAAUCCUAUGUUAUCUAAAUAUGGUAUUGUGAAGCUUAACAGAGAUUUGAUCCAAAAACAAGAGUUGGGAUUAGAUUUAAGAAUAGUGAACCUAAAGAACCACCAUACAUGUUGGUCACUUCUCUCAUUGCCAAUUAGUUUUGAGAUGAAACUCAUGUUAUCUCAUAAAGACAAAAUCAUUUCAAUCAACGAUAAGCUCCCUCAAAUUGUUUCCAGACUUAGAACCCAACUCACGAUUGAAGAAGCAUUAGUGAGGAGAUAAGAGUAUAUGUAGUACUUAAAAUUUGAAGGCAACUGUAAAAUAUGAAUGAUGAAAAUCUACCAAAUGAGCAUCUGCCAUUCCAGACUCCAGCAGUUCUUCACGAGCAGCCUGAUCAGCAUUAGGUGUUGUCAAUCUCUUAAAUUCCUUUUUCAGUUUUCCAAGAUCAGCUUUGUACUCCCGUAACUUAGCAAGUAGGGUAGCUUUUACCCCUGGCUGCAAACUUCUAGCCUCAAGAUCCAUUUUUCGGAUCUAGAGAAUCAAUCAAUAAAGAUUAAACAUUGUAUGCAUAUCAGUAUGAAUUUAACCAACUUGAAAAGAAAAAGAAAAAGAAAAAGAAAGAAAGCCAAAAGGAGGCUCUUUAAACAUACCAAAACUUCAGCCUCAUCCAAACUAACUUUGAUUUCCGAAAGCCAUUGCUGUUUCUGCUCUGCAAUUCAGAUAAAGUUAAAAUCACCAAACAUUCCAAUAGUUCACGAUCAAAAUAAGAGUCUCUCAAUAAUAAACUUCUUUUUCCAGUUCAUUUCCAAAGUAGAAUCCAAUUCUGCACAAUCUAACUCUAAAGAACCAGUAAGAAACACUAAAAUUCAUCCCAACUCCAUAUUCAUAUCCUUUCUCACACGGUUUAGAAAACCCAGCACCUACCAAUUGUAACUCAAAGAUCUCCAACCACAAUUUAGGGAUUCUCUUCGAAAUUCUAACGACCAAAUUCUACUUAUCCCAUCUAUCUAUGUUGAAACCAGAGGCGAAAUAUAUAUAGAAAACCUGAAUCGGAGGCGGCGAAAGAGUUGGAUUUCCGAGAAACAUUGGCGGAGAGUUCACAAUAUUGGCGCUCGUAACCCUCGAAAACCGUACUCAUAUUUGACUGAAUUUUGGUGAAAGACUGAGAAAAGGUUACUUAGAGUUUCCGGCAACUCCUCCCCUCAAAAUUGGGAGAUCGGAAAUUGGAGAGAAAAGGAAAGGAAAAAGGGUUGGUGAAGAACAGCCACCGAAAUUCUCUCCGUGGUGGCUCUGAAGUAAUUGCCGAUGCCGACAACCACAAUAAGGCUUUGCUUAUUUAUUUCUCAAUUUUCUAUCAAUUUUUAUCAGAGCUGUUUGAACUACAAAUUUAUCCUUUUCAUAAAUUGAAGUAAAGUUAAUGAUUCUCCAAAAUGUCUAAUGUUUUCAUAGUAAAAUUCAAUUUUUUUUUUAUUUUGUUGAUAUAUAUUGUUUUUGACUUCUCUUGUUGUUCACCAAUUUGCAAUUUAUUGUUUACAUUCAAGUGAGGAAUUAGAUUGUAGUUAAGAAAGAGUAAUUCUUGUAUCCUUGGGAGUUGGGACUUUACCUUAUGUCCUUUCCAAGUGGGGAAUUAGAUUGUGAAUCUAAUUUUGUUUCAAGUCGACUUCACCUUCUCCUUUGUUGCCUCCUUUUCUUGGAACCUUUUUCGGUUGUGUGUUGUGUUUUUUAGUUUUUCUCUUGAGGAAAAAAUAAUUUGGUAAAGUUUGAUUUCACCAUGAUUGAAAAUAUAUUUAUUGUUCUCAAAUUCAAUUUAGAGUAGAGUUUGAAUUUCUUGUUGUUAAGCUAACAAAAAUGACAAUCAUCCAAUUUAAAGAAAAAAACUUGAAAACUGUAAUUUUUCUAAAGAAAAAUAUAAGGUGAGCUUGAGAUUUAAAGCACUAAAGUAUUAGACUAAAAUUAUUAAAUAAACGUUGGUGUGUAACCAUUAUCUGAUGUAUAUAAUGGUUUUACAACUAAAAAUGUUUUGAUAAUUGCUCCAAUCUUUUCAUUUUGCAAAUCUAGUUUAAACAAAAACACAAAAGCAAACCCCAAACAAGUUCUUGCUUAAUAAUUAAUUAAACCAAAUAAUUUGACUAUUUUUAAAACAAACUUUUGGCCUCCAGUUUUGGUGUAGUUAGAAUUUGGACAAUUUUACACUGAAAAGUUUUUAGUUUUGUUUCAAAAUUUACACUUUUUUAACUCUGAAUUUCUCACUAUCUUUCAGUUGAUAUUGUGAAGUUGUCUAUUAAUUGACUUAAAAGAAAUACAUGAAUUACAAUUGAUGUAGUUUUCACUGACUUUUCUAAUACAAUUAAUAUUAAUUAAAAGAUAUAAUAUCAUAUCAUAAUUAUUUUAAAUUAAUGACAAAGAAGAAACGGAAUAUUAGUUCUCAUGUGUAGAAAUUAAUAAAAGAUAUAAGAUAAAAUAUUGAAAUCUAAGAACCAAAUAAAAACUAAAGUAAAGUUGCAACGUUCUCAAAUCAUAAAGUUAUAAAAGAGAGCUUAUAAUUUUCGAAAUCCAAAAGUGAAGAAAAAAAAACCUAGACCCAAAAUUUUAAGCAAUUCAAUUGAUUUGCAAAAUAAUUCAGCAUAUUUGUUGGAUACUGAUGCAUCAUUGUCGCUUAAGAAUGUGAAGUUUAAGUAAAAUUGAAAUCUAAACUACUACCUCCUCCUUCUUCCCUAACGUUCAAAACAUUUCAUUGGAUUAAACCACCCAAAACACAUCAAAGAUUUUUGGUAUCAAAGCUCACUUGAAAAUUCAAAGUUGAGACUGCCGGUAAAAGAACACGUCUUACCUAUAAUACUCUUAAAGUUGGAAGUUCGAUUUGCAGCCUCAUUCAAAAGAAAAAAGGAGGAUUUUGAGUGGUUUUUGGUUUUUGGUAAUUACCAUCUCUUUGACCACCAAUGCUGCAAGCUCCAUGAUGCCAAACAAAAAAACACAAUGAUCUGAUACAAAAUGUCAAUAAUUAUCGAACAAUGAUGGUUCCAUUCCACCUCAUCCAUCACUUUCAUUCGAUUCAACUCCCUCCAUUUAAAAUACCCAAAGUAAGCAUACUACACUUAACAUACCAAGUGCUUUACUAGCAAACUUUUUGAUUCUGUACAUUACUCAGCAAAGAUAAUACAAAAUAAUAGUAAGUACAUGCUUCAUUCAAGGAUGAAUGACAAUAUGCUUCCAGAAUUCGGAAUGUUAACGAAAGAGAAAAGACAAAAGAUUGAAAUCUAUGCCUAAUCAUACGAGGAUACGUAUAACAACACUAACAAACAUCAUGGUUUAGAAUGAGACUAAAAUUCAACUCUGAGAACUCUGUGAUCAAGAAUUGUAGAAUAUAGAAGAAGAAACGCCUCUCCAAAAGAGAUGAAAGCCUGGAAGUUCAUAAAGCAUACCUGGGGUGGUUCCGGGACACAAAUUUACUUCAUAACCAUCCCUCUAAUUGUAACAAAGGAGGCUCCAAGUAUAGAUUUGAAGUGCCCUAUCUCCAUUCUGUAAAUUUAAGAUUAUCUGGAUGGAUACAGACUAAUUCUAGACAAAAAAAUUUAAUCCUCAUGGUCAAGUAUAUGCAUUGCGACAUCACUUGCCGAAAGAAGCUGAGAUUUCUGUUUGAAUAAACCCUACCCUCCAGUUCCAGCAUUGUCGGAUGCUACCUUUUCAGUUGAAGAAACAGAGUUUGCUUCACUAGAAGUUAGACCACCUUUUUCACCCUGACCAAGUACACGGUUGGAAUCUUGAUCGGGGAAGACUUCCGAUUGCAACGAGGGAGAAAUGUUAUUUACAUGCAACCAUGUGAGUUCCCACAGGCUAUCUCCACCUAGAGCACUCCUCUGAACUAGCACCCCCUUAGUUUUCAUAACAAGCAAGUUAUUCUUGAGAAGUUCAGGCACCAACUCCUGAAGCUUCUCACUUCUUUUUCCUCUAACUUUAGCUUUUGCAUACUUUUCCAUUCGACUAAGAACACCAAGCCAUAGCUUGCAGAAGGUUGUUAAUUGAGAAAGAUCCUGGAGCAACAGUAAGAACACUUUUGACAAGAGUUUCAUGGCAAGGAUCAGCGUGCCUUCCAUGUUUCUGUAAUCUUUCUGAGAGUGUCCUUGUGCAAUUUCUAAUAAAUCGUCAAGCAUUGUGAAGAUCACGAGAUCAAAACACUGUAACCACAAAUCAUGUGGAAGGUUGAUUUCAUCAACACCUGUCAAGCACUUUUGCAAUGACAAUAGAGCCUGGUUCCUAACCUCCUCCCUUUGGUCCAAGCAAAUUUUUCUCAACCCUUGCACAAGCCUCAGCCACAUGUCUCCAAUAUCUUGUGACAUUUUAAUGGCUUCCUCCUCCCUUGCAGCUUCCUUACCCUCCUUAGCCCACCGUCCUAAACAAUCAACAGAUCCAGCCAUAAGAUCCAAUGCACGCAAAGAGCGUUCCGCCUGUCCAACACGAGACUCAGCAAAUUGCCUUGAGGCAUCAAUACAGAGGGUAUAAUUUGCUGGCAACAAGUGAGCACCGUCGGACACAAUGAAGAGUAGAGCAUCAAAUCCUGCCUCAGAAGCCUCUGGAUGUCGAGCUGUAAUGGAUAGUAGGGAUGUUAUUGUACGCCAUCCUGAUGGAGAUCUAAUAUGAGAAGCAUUUGCUUUCACUAGACGACUGACUUCCUGUGUAAUUUGCUCACAGUAUGCAUCUGCUACCCGAGCAUCUAGCUUCAAGACAAGUUGUAGAGAUCUCAAAAGUUCAUCAGCAAGGUUCUCUUUAUAAGGAAGCAAGCGCUGGCAAAUCCGAAGAAGUCCGAAAACAGCUUUCUCCACCAGAGCACAGGGCAUGACAGUUGACUGGACAAUGUUAGAUAUAUGAUCAUACACACCAGGCCAAAGAAGCACAAUUCUAUCUCGGUUAUUCAAGGUAAUGGCAAUCAACAAUUCCAGACAGAAGACUGCUGUAUCUUCAUCCUCAGGAGAGCUGUUCCCUUUCUGGGGCCGUCCUGCAGCCCAUAUCAGUGCUUGUGCCAGCUGUAACAGAGAUUCAGCCUGUAGAAACUUGCUCUCUGUAAAAAUGCUGUCAAUAUUGCACUUUUGAAUGGUUUGAAGGGUGCGCUGAUGAGCAGCAAGUUGUUGUUCGGUGGGCUGUGACCUUGGCUCCUCACUGUCAAGAGAUAAGAGCUGACUGAACCGACCCAUUAGACCUGAGGAUCUCUUGGGAGUUCCAAUUGACUGUAUAUGUGCAGCAGAUAAAGAACUCGUAAGAGGCUUUCCAUGCCCAGCGUCAGCAGAAAGUUCUGAUUCAUCAGCUGCAUCACUGGCCACACGAGCUGGUAAAAGACCAAGCUUGUGCAAUCGCAAGAUGCAAUCAAGGAUGUUUCUCCAACCUGUGCGAAUGAAGUCACCAUACCUGUUGGCUAUGGUGAAAACGGUCAUAGUAGCCAUCCUAGCUUUUGUAUCAUCACCAAAUGCCAGCACAGGCUCCUCAACAGAUGAUGGGUUCAUGAGGGUUGUGAACUUGCAGAGGGACACAACAAGAUCGUCAAGUACAUCUUCAAGGUGAUGGCAUGCAGAGAUCUUUGCAACAGCUAAGAAUCCAUCAAUACAUGUUUGAUAGACUUCUUCAUGUUCUGCAUGAUCAAAUACCACAGAUAUAGCAGCAAUUGUUGGCCCUGACAUUAUAGCAAACAUAUCACGAUCAAGAUAGGCUUUAGAAUCAGACACGAUGAAUGGAGAGGAUUUCUUAGAUUUAUGCAUCAGAUCUAUCCAUCGGCUUGGGGUCAUUUCAGGAAAACCAUUUCCUUGCUCCGGAGUAGUACGAAUCUCAUUCUUACAGAUUGAGUGAUACAAUUCAGAGAGGAAAUCUCGUGGAAGAUCAUUGCCUCCAUUUAUGUGCCUGCUAUUCCGAAUGAAAUCUUCUUCCGUCAUCUUCUUUUUCACUUGAACAUUGUGCUGAUCUGUAUUCAACAUUAUAAGUGAAUAAGAAAGUAGAAGAGCAGCAUCCUUAUUUACAAGAAUUUGAGGCGACUGUUCAUAAUAUCUCUCAGAGAAUGCCUCAAGCACCCUUUGUAUCUUCUGUGAUUCUCCAGGGAGUCGAAAAGUUUCCAAAAACAGCCGCAAAGCAGUAUCCAAAUUCAUGUCCUGAAAAUCAAAAGUCCAAGCAAAUUCAUGAAGAACCUGGACACAAAACUCAUCAUGAUUUCCAAGGAAGUCCCCAACCAGAUUUUUAUCCAAACCAGCAGUGUACCUGAAAAAGCAUGCUACACUCUUGGGAUCAAGUUUAUCAGGCAAGAGAUGGGUUCCUUGAAGGAACUCCAGUCCUUUCUUGGGAUCACGAUUAAAGUGAUCGGCUCCAAUCAUCAAACGUCUCUUAAUGUACUUUUUCCUUCUCACAAAUGGAACCCAUUGAGUAGGAUCACUGUAAUUUUCACAUUUAACCAUCCAGAAAGGAGUAUAUUCCUCAAGGUUCACAGGAGUAUUUUCUAGUCCAGCUCCAUUACCAAUCCUCUCCGCCAUUCCUUGUAUAACGGCAAUGAGACCAUCCAAAGCAAGGAUAUGCAUUGAAGACAAAGGACAAUUAACUGGAAAAGCACUCUUGGACAGAAGAUUAGCAAGAUCUUCAAAGACAUUACUGCAAGUUAUGUCACAGUCUAAGUUUGCAUACAUCUCCACCAUAAAGGUUUUCUGCCUACAGAAAUCAACAAGAGCCUCCAUGGCAACCUCCUGCUGCUGAUAUGAAGCCCCAUACCUGCUCUGGGCAAGCCUCAAAAUCACACAUGAAAAGAAAGCCUCAAGCUGCAACUUCAGCUCAGUGCGCAGAUGGUGGUAGAGAUUGAGAACAAUGCUACAAACCAUUGAAAGGAUUAGCGAGCUUGUUGACAAACCAAAUUGCAUAAGGUUUCGAAAUAAUUCAUCUUGGAUUAAACUCAAUAGCCUAGGGUGAUGGCGGAAGGAUGGGCCACCCAACUCUAUUGCUGAAUUUAUCAAUCCCAAGGCAAAGAGAGGAACAUCUUCAUCAAAAGCCAUGGUAUUUGACCUAGCUCCCAACUCCAUAUGCUCAACUAGAUUUAACAAUGAACAGAGGAAUCGGAAAAUUUCCACCAUGCAGGGGACCCCAUAAGGUUCAUUCAUAAGAUGAAAGUCAAAUGGAACCGUAUCCUUCGCACUACCAUCCUCAAGUAAAUUUUCCUCCAUUCCAGUUGCCAUCAGACCUGAUGAAGGAUUAGAGUCAAAAUUGUUGGAUGAUGAUUGACCAUCAAAUUCAUGGCCCACGUUGCCAUUCUCCAGAAGCCUGUUUCCAAGCACAUAGUCAUCAUUAGCCCCCCGGCCAGCCUGAACAAGAGAAUAAAUUUCAUAAAUUAUUUUAACAAUUUUGUACUAAUUUUUGCCAAAGAGCAACUUGAUAAUUUCAAUAUCAAAAUAAAUAAUGUGAGGAGUCAUUCUAAAUGUAAGAAACAUUAACAAAAACAUAAAAAUGCAAAACCUUGUAUUGUGGACAAAAAUUAUUUUUGCUAGAUAAUUUUUUUUAAAAAACAGAAACAAAAACAAAAACAAAAAGAUGUAUCCAUCAACUUUCACUUUCUCUUAGACAAAUUCUAACGCUCAUUAUCAACAUCAUCGUCAACGUGACUAAUAGGAGUACCUAAACUUUAGCACUUAUAUGCAUAUAUAUAAAUACGACACAUAUAUGGAUAAGAAAUAAUUUCAUUGAUCGAAUGAAAUACCCAAGAUAUCCAAGGGUACAAAAGGUGAUCACUUUAUAUAAUUUAGGACCAAAAUUUCAAAGAAAGUGAGCAAAACAGCUUCUUUGAAAUUUUGACUCCACUCAGCCUUGCAAAAAAAAUAAGCAUAACAGCUUCUUUAGGAGACCCAAAAUUGCAAAGAAGCUGUUAUGCGUUUUUUCUUUUUCUUUUUUUGCAAGGCUGACGCAGUCAACGAUCCAACUCAUAAGAAUGGGCAGAUAUCUCUCAAUGUAAAAAAACUUUUCUUCCAAUCUAAUGGCAUUUAAUCACAGUUGUCCACAGAACAUGAGCGCAAAGAUAAAAAUGACAGCAAGUACAUUCUUUACCAAAUUUCACUACUUAUGACCUCAGUAAUUGACAUGGAACCAAGAUGAAACACUGACGGUUAACACUGAAGAUCCAACAUUGUAAGUAUAUGUUUAUUACCCAACAAAACUAAAAACUAAACUGAGAAACCUGUAAACCGUGACCAUGGUGCAACAGCUAUCUCAUACUUAUAAUAAAGAAAACCCAAUCUUGAUAAAAGCAUCACAGAUAAAUGAAAAAUAUCACGUUCACUUUAGUCUUCAAAGGAGAUUAAAUUUAAAAUGAAAAGGAUAUAACCAGUAUUUCAUACCCAGAGAGAUAUAGUAAGGGAACUUCAACUGAAAGAAAAAAGAUACAUACCAUAAGGUAAACUUCAACUGAAAAAAAAAUAUAUACUAUAAGGUAAAGUAAAACUACCGUGCACAAAAUGAUAAAUUUCUUUUCCAUUAAGCUUCAUCACACAUCUAACUAUCCCACGGUUUAAAAUGUAGCUAUUGAGAAAUGCAGAGAAUAAAUUAGUACCUCCUGUUUGCUGGAACUGUUGCCAUUGACCAGUGCACGUUCUGUGGUAUUGAUUUCUGAAAGAUGUGAAAAGAUACACCUAACAAGCUCAUGAACUGUGUGGCGAGCUAUCCGUUGCAAUAGCUCACCCUUGGUGGCUGCUUGAUGCACUAUGCGGAAACACGUAUUAACAAUUGUGCAGACAUGCUGAUUGCUCAACAUAAUGGAUGCCUUACUUUUCAUACAAGCAAGAAGGACCUGAAGUAUUUUCAUCAGGACCAUUUCUUCUGAUGCAGGAUCUGUUAACUCAAAUCUACAACAGGUAACAGCAUCAACUAUCAAGUGAACAGAGUCUCCAGCGUUCACAGUAUUUUGAUCAAUCAUGUCAAGAGUUAAAAUCUUGUACACAGAGGAUAAAGCAACCCCAGUAAUAGGUGCCCCAGUUUCAUCCGAUCGAACUACAUCUAAAAAUGGUUGAAGAUACACAGCAGGGUUGAUUGUAUGCCACGGAUGCUGCCAUGAAUAUAUCUGUUUCCUUAAUGAUUUCAGUGAUUGAAUUAAAGAGUGCUCCAAUUGAUCAUCACCUGACAUAUAUCGACCUCCCCAUCUUACAUUUCUUCUCAUAACUGCCAAUACAGCACCAAUUUCUGAAUUAAUCAUGCAAGCCAAUGCAGUUUUAUUUGUAUAUGUGACAUCACACUCCUCAGGUUCUUCCUCAAUUGCAUUGAUUCCAGUUUGCAGCUUCAGGCGCCCCAUCUUUGGAUAUGUUCCCUUCACCGUACUAAAGUUUGUUGAGUACUGUGAGAAGAUUGAGUAGAAACCUUGCUAACUUGAGCAAUCGCUGCUUAAGUGGAGAAGAGAAACAUAUUUAUUAGCAAUUCAAAAUUCAACGAGCCCUAAAUUAAAAGUUGGCAUAAGAACUCCAGCUAAAAUUUUCCUAGAAAGAAAAGAUGUACUAGCACAGUUCCAAAUUUAAAAUUUCCCUAAUCAAUUUGAAAAAUUAGAUAACCCAUCAAAGUUAAAAUUUAAGUUCCACUAACCAAAUGAAUAAUAGAUUGACUUCAUAUUUAUAAGUUUCAUUAUAAUAAAGAUAUCAUUCCAUAAACCACAUCCCACAAAGAUUGACGGGAGCAAUCACGCUAGAAGACGGCUCAUUUCAAGGAAGUAGAUGUCUAAAAACUGUUUUUUGUUGUUCAUAAUAGGAAGUUCAUGCUUUUCUAUAUUUUAUUUUUUUAAGGUAAGAAAUCAAACAUUUAUGAAGAAAAAGGAAAGAAUUUACGAAGGCACUAGAAAAAGAAAAAAAAAAGACACCUAAACUAGCUACAAGAACUGGUUCUAGUUCAAAAGAAUUAAACUAAGCUGAUAAAUACAGAAAGACCGAUUAGCAUUACAUAAAGACAGCCUCUAACCUCUAAAAAUUCGGCUAUUCCUUUCAAGACACAUCCUACAAAAUAGCACCCAAAAAAACAAACUAACAACAAUAGCAAUAACAAACAAACCACAAGUUCUUCCUUUAUGACUGUUGGUGAUAUAUAAUUAAUUUUGCCUUCAACCACUAACUUAAACUUUUGGAUGAAUUGAUGGUUUAAUAUGGUAUCAGAGCAGGAGGUCCAUCAAGGUCUUGUGUUCAAGCCUUUGCAUUGUCGUUUCCUCCCCAAUUAAAAUCAAUUUCCACUUAUUGUUCCUUUCAAUGUUUCAAGCCCACAAGUACACAAGUGAGGUAAAAUUGAUUCCCACUUGUUGGGCCUUUCAAAUAUUUCAAGCGAUCAAGCCCACAAGUGAGGGGAAGUGUUGGUGAUAUAUAAUUAAAUUUGCCUUCAACCAUCAGCUUAAGUUUUUUUAUGAAUUGGUGGUUUAAUAAUGGCAAAAGAGAGAGUUCAUCAAAACCUCCUCCACAAUCGAGCAACAGUCCCUAUCACACGUCACAACAACUCCAAACAGCCUAAAAGACUGACGCACAGGAAACAAACAAAUAGGUAGCUCCUCCACAUAUUCCUAUUGAUGACAAAGUAAACACCACUGAAAACACAUCACUAAGGAUGAAUGUUGUUGGACAAUAUCCUGGAUGUUCACUCUACCAUGUAAAACUUAUGGAGCAAAGGACUGCACUUUCUUAAGGUCUGCACCUUCCUAAUAGAGGAAAGACCAAGGUGUUGGUGAAACUCAAAAUUAUGCUAGAUCUAAGAUUACAUGGAAAAGAACCGACCACAACCAUCAGUAGUCAAUAAUCAUAAACAUCAGAAUGAUCCUCUGUGCAAGCCAGAUGAAAAGUCUGCAAAAGGGUAGGAGACAGGAAUAGUAUUGAGUUUGCUUUAGCCUUGAGUUCCAGAAGUCCGCAUUCUUUCUUAAUUUCUUUCUGAUUAUAUAACAAAAUCUCAAGUUACUAGAAACAUGAGUCAAGUAUAACACCACGAAAAACUUGGGAGCAUACUCAUCCAUGAAAGUGCAACUUAUUGGGUAAAUUGAUUGAUGUCUCAAGCAAUAAUCUAAGAGUGUGGAAUGUAAAGUUUGGGCCAUCAUGUCUUUCUUCUUAAAAGAAACAACAAAGUUUGGACAGUAGGGGAUGGGUCAGAGCGGGGAUGAGAAAAUCGCAAAGAAAUGUAACUAUUGAAAUAGGCAACAAAACCUACUUGUUUUAUCAGAAACUUCACCGGGAAUUUUUUCAUCAUUUAACCUAGCACAAAGUGCAUCGACUAAGAACUUUUUUGUGUCAAUAAGUCUACACUCUCAUUAAUCGUAAUUGUAGUCGUCUUGGCAAUGGCUGGAAACACGAACAACAAUUUAAGAAUGGAUAAAGGAGAAAGAGAAAAAUAGCACCCAAACUCGAAAUUUGAUGUAAAAUCUGAUAAACCUUUGAAAUACCCACCUUCAUUUUUGCUCUCCAAUAUUCAUAUUUCAAAUUUCAUAACGGGAACACUUUUGAGAGCUAUAAUACGAAUCUUGUAUCUACAACGAGGAAAAGGGUACACAACCUUGUAUAUGGAUCCAAAUUCCACACACAAAUUCGAGAAAUCCAACAAAUGCAACCUGACGCACACUAAAUUAUCAUAGUUAAGCCCGUAAAAAAGAAAGUGUCAAAUUACAUCCGUGUCAACUAGAGGGAGGGUUGUUGGCAAUUGAAUAGAGUACGUUAUAGUAACUUCCUGAGCAACCCAGCAAGCGGUAAUGAAGGAGAACAAAAGAGAAUCCUACUCGAUCACUCCGGCCACAUAGAUGUACAAGGAAAUGUCUGUAUACAAAUGAAACACAGAAAUGGAGGCCAAAGAUCUAGAAAGAUACGAAUUACCUGUAAUGCGUAGAGGAGCAAAGCCGGUCAACACAGACAGGAAGAAAAGCAGAGAUCUAGGGAGAGAUUAAAGAGCUUCACUUUUGGCAGUGUAAACUUGAUCUGCCAUCCAUGGCCUAGAUGCAAAUCAAAACGAGAAAUGCCUAGUAAACAAGAAAUCUUGCAUAAACUAGGAAUUAUCAAACUGAACAUGGAUCCAGGGGGAAUUAGAAUUUACCUAGAUCAGAAACAAUUGGAAGACGAAAUGAAGGAGAGGUGGCGUCGGAAUGGGCACGGCCGGAACGGCGGUCGGUAAAGGGCGGGGGUGAGCCGUAAGGGAGGCGACGGCCGGCGAGGAGUGGGGGAUCUCCGUUUUCGCGUCUACGACAGUGCGAGUGGAGGAGGGAAGGGAAAUUCUGAAAGAAAUGAAAGAAAGAAAUUUUGAGAGAGAAAAAAAAAAACAAUGGGAGUAUGUGGAAUAUGAAUUUACUAUUUUUUAUUAUUUUUAUUUUUAUUUUUAAAGCUUGGAUUGAAUUUUUCACUCCUCAAAUUUUUUAAAUUUCCAUACUAUCUUAACAUAUGAUAUAAUCGAUCAAUUUUAUUUAUACAACAGUUUUUUAAAAAAUACUUACAUUAUACCAAGGACAAUCUCAAAAGCAACAAAAACUCACAUGUCCACCGUGAAAAUACAAAAAAAUAUCUUAGUCAACAUGCGACUAAUCGGUCAUUCAUAUAUUACCGUCUAAACGAAUUAUUUACGAUCAUUUAGGUCAUUAUACACAAUUGUGUAGUUUUUUUUAAUGAUGAAAAAAAAUACUUCAAAUCUAAACGAUCAUGUUGAUCAUACUAAACGAUCGUGUUGACUAUGGUAAAUGAUUGUUUAGAUCAUAUCAACACAAUUAUGUAAUUCUUUUUAAGCAAUGAAAAAAAUGCUUCAAAUUUAAACGGCCGCGUUGACAAUGAUAAACGAUCAUUUAGAUCAUGUCAAAAUGAUAUUUAAAAGAUCUUGAAAUUUUCGAAUAUGAGGAAUAUAAAGUAGCUUCAAAAAAUCUUGUCAACAACAGUGAACAUGAAGUAGAAUACUUAAAUAGAAGAAUAAAUCAGUUAAAAAUAUAAGAAAGAAAAUCUGGAAAUAGAGAAUGAAUAAAUGACAAAGAAGAAAAAAAGAAAAGUGACGAAUCUUCCACGAUAUUCAAAGGCAAAUAUGGAAAUUAUCAAAAUAUUGUACCAGGUUUUUCAUGGGUUUUUGUUUUUUUGUUACACGUACCGUAAAUAUUUGUGUGUUUCACUACAUUUAUGAAAAUUAACUUUUAUAUAAUAUAAAAAAAUGUAUGUAUUUAAAAUUAACAUUAAUUGUUUAAUACAUAUUCCUUCAUACGUCAAUAAUAUUUACAUGCAUAUUUCUAUAGAUUCGAUAAUUGUUCUGAUCUUUGUUAUUAUUCUUGUGAUUCCCAAAAUUGUUUGGACGUUUGUUGAAUCUUUUAACAACUUUAGAAAAUUGUUUUGUAAACUUAGUUGUGGAACGUGUUACAGUUCAUUAUAACAUUUUUCUAUCUUGAUAGAAAGUCCUUCAUUGUUUAUGGAGUGAAAGGCAACAACUUUUUCCUUUUUUUGUCUUCUGUCGUAAUUGAGCAUCUCAAAAGUGUGUAAAGAUCCAAACAAUUCAUCAAUUUUAAUAUUUCAAUGUCUUAACUUUCCUCUGUUGCAGUAACUUUCAUAUAAAAACGUCCAGGUAGAGAUCUUAGAACUUUUCUAACAAGUUUUGACAAAUUGUAAGAAAUUAAUAUCACAGGUCACAUAUUGUACGAGAUACUUGUUAGAAUUUAUGUCAUAAAACUUGUAGUUUGUAAUCAUAUUCUAUUCAAUAAAGUCGUUAUUUAUACUUUAAUCUUAAAGUUAAUAAACUAAGGACUCAAGACUAUUAUUUAGUAAAUUUGAACUUUAUUGAACUUUAAUCUUAAAGCUAAUAAACUAAGGACUCGAGGCUUAAUCUUAAAACUAUGAACUCUUGUUCGCACGAGAUUAUUCUUAGAUCUGCAUAGGUGAUGACAACUCAUUAAUGUUGGCUCAUUAAACCUCCCAUUUCAGGGUAAGAUUGGGUGAAUAAUUGGGGACAUAAGGUACAAGACGUAAUUCACUCCUACCAGAGUUAGUAGAUAGGUUUCUCUUAAUGACUUAAUCCAAGUCUUAAACAAGGGGCCCCACCCUCUAGUUGGCCCGAGAGAGAUUCGGUUUAGUAGUUGAACCUUAAACCAUUUGUUCAAUAGCGAAAGUUGUGCAAAACUAAAUGAUAGGUGAAGAAUUGGGCGAAUAAGAUGAAGAGAUGGGGAACAGACGCGAAAUCGGUGAUUUGGCGGUGAAGAAAUAUCCGAAGAAGAUGAGAGAUGGGUUUCAAAUGGAACAAAAAAAAAUUAGGGUUUCAAAUAGAACGAAUGAAACUAAACUGAUUUGGUCGUGAAGAAAUAUCCGAAGAAGAUGAAGAGACAUGUUUCAAAUUGAACAAAAAUUUCUUAAGGUUUCAAAUGUAACAAACAAAGCUAAACCGAUCGAAGUCCAAGAAUGAUUUGAAUGUUUGCAGAGAUUUUAACGUUUACAGAGAUUAGAUUGAGCUUCCCAUUAAUGACAAUAUGUAUAAUUUUAUGUUUUUUUGAAAAAAAUUAUAUUUUCAUAGGGUUUAAUUUGAUGUGAGUUACGUGAACGAUUACUUAAAUAUAGGUAUUUUUAUUUAGGAUUUAAGUUUUUACCUGUGUAAGGGCAUUUGAGCUAUUGUCACAUCUAUUUUUUUUCUUUUUCAUAUUUUCUGUUUUUCUAUUAUAAUAAUUUUGCUAUUUUUAGGAAGUCCUAAUUUUUCAUUGUUCUUAUAGGCUCUAAAAUUAAAUUGUCAAUAUUUUAUAUUUUACCCUACUUUUAUCAUUUACUUAUAUUUUCGCGUCAUUUUCAUGAUAAAUUUAUUAAUGACUACGUUUUUGUCAUUUUUUUUAACAAUGAUACUAUUUUUAGAAUUAACUUGAGAGUACGGAGGAUUUUUUUUAAAAAUAAUGUAAAAUUUGAAACAUAUUUCAAAAAUAGGGUAGUUGCAAAACUAUUUUCAAAAAUAGGUGUUUUGAGGUGAAGUCGUGGACGGGGUACACGACUUCCAUGCAGUGGCCCCCACA
rnacentral:lncRNA from 1 species